rnacentral:lncRNA from 1 species
CCCAGACUCGGUUUCUUGGUUCCGUCCCAAAACGCCGAAGAAAGGCACAAUGGCCUAGAAAGGGACGGUCGGACUUGGAACGGGGUCCGAGGCCUCGAAAGUCCACAUCUAGCUAGUGGGUGGUCCGAUUCUGAGUGAUCUCGAAGUUUCUUGCCCACAAAAGCCGAACGGUGACGCCCAAGACUCGGUUUCUUGGUUCCGUCCCAAAACGCCGAAGAAAGGCACAAUGGCCUAGAAAGGGACGGUCGGACUUGGAACGGGGUCCGAGGCCUCGAAAGUCCACAUCUAGCUACUGGGUGGUCCGAUUCUGAGUGAUCUCGAAGUUUCUUGCCCACAAAAGCCGAACGGUGACGCCCCAGACUCGGUUUCUUGGUUCCGUCCCAAAACGCCGAAGAAAGGCACAAUGGCCUAGAAAGGGACGGUCGGACUUGGAACGGGGUCCGAGGCCUCGAAAGUCCACAUCUAGCUACUGGGUGGUCCGAUUCUGAGUGAUCUCGAAGUUUCUUGCCCACAAAAGCCGAACGGUGACGCCCCAGACUCGGUUUCUUGGUUCCGUCCCAAAACGCCGAAGAAAGGCACAAUGGCCUAGAAAGGGACGGUCGGACUUGGAACGGGGUCCGAGGCCUCGAAAGUCCACAUCUAGCUACUGGGUGGUCCGAUUCUGAGUGAUCUCGAAGUUUCUUGCCCACAAAAGCCGAACGGUGACGCCCCAGACUCGGUUUCUUGGUUCCGUCCCAAAACGCCGAAGAAAGGCACAAUGGCCUAGAAAGGGACGGUCGGACUUGGAACGGGGUCCGAGGCCUCGAAAGUCCACAUCUAGCUACUGGGUGGUCCGAUUCUGAGUGAUCUCGAAGUUUCUUGCCCACAAAAGCCGAACGGUGACGCCCCAGACUCGGUUUCUUGGUUCCGUCCCAAAACGCCGAAGAAAGGCACAAUGGCCUAGAAAGGGACGGUCGGACUUGGAACGGGGUCCGAGGCCUCGAAAGUCCACAUCUAGCUACUGGGUGGUCCGAUUCUGAGUGAUCUCGAAGUUUCUUGCCCACAAAAGCCGAACGGUGACGCCCCAGACUCGGUUUCUUGGUUCCGUCCCAAAACGCCGAAGAAAAGCACAAUGGCCUAGAAAGGGACGGUCGGACUUGGAACGGGGUCCGAGGCCUCGAAAGUCCACAUCUAGCUACUGGGUGGUCCGAUUCUGAGUGAUCUCGAAGUUUCUUGCCCACAAAAGCCGAACGGUGACGCGCCCAGACUCGGUUUCUUGGUUCCGUCCCAAAACGCCGAAGAAAGGCACAAUGGCCUAGAAAGGGACGGUCGGACUUGGAACGGGGUCCGAGGCCUCGAAAGUCCACAUCUAGCUACUGGGUGGUCCGAUUCUGAGUGAUCUCGAAGUUUCUUGCCCACAAAAGCCGAACGGUGACGCCCCAGACUCGGUUUCUUGGUUCCGUCCCAAAACGCCGAAGAAAGGCACAAUGGCCUAGAAAGGGACGGUCGGACUUGGAACGGGGUCCGAGGCCUCGAAAGUCCACAUCUAGCUACUGGGUGGUCCGAUUCUGAGUGAUCUCGAAGUUUCUUGCCCACAAAAGCCGAACGGUGACGCCCCAGACUCGGUUUCUUGGUUCCGUCCCAAAACGCCGAAGAAAGGCACAAUGGCCUAGAAAGGGACGGUCGGACUUGGAACGGGGUCCGAGGCCUCGAAAGUCCACAUCUAGCUACUGGGUGGUCCGAUUCUGAGUGAUCUCGAAGUUUCUUGCCCACAAAAGCCGAACGGUGACGCCCCAGACUCGGUUUCUUGGUUCCGUCCCAAAACGCCGAAGAAAGGCACAAUGGCCUAGAAAGGGACGGUCGGACUUGGAACGGGGUCCGAGGCCUCGAAAGUCCACAUCUAGCUACUGGGUGGUCCGAUUCUGAGUGAUCUCGAAGUUUCUUGCCCACAAAAAGCCGAACGGUGACGCCCCAGACUCGGUUUCUUGGUUCCGUCCCAAAACGCCGAAGAAAGGCACAAUGGCCUAGAAAGGGACGGUCGGACUUGGAACGGGGUCCGAGGCCUCGAAAGUCCACAUCUAGCUACUGGGUGGUCCGAUUCUGAGUGAUCUCGAAGUUUCUUGCCCACAAAAGCCGAACGGUGACGCCCCAGACUCGGUUUCUUGGUUCCGUCCCAAAACGCCGAAGAAAGGCACAAUGGCCUAGAAAGGGACGGUCGGACUUGGAACGGGGUCCGAGGCCUCGAAAGUCCACAUCUAGCUACUGGGUGGUCCGAUUCUGAGUGAUCUCGAAGUUUCUUGCCCACAAAAGCCGAACGGUGACGCCCCAGACUCGGUUUCUUGGUUCCGUCCCAAAACGCCGAAGAAAGGCACAAUGGCCUAGAAAGGGACGGUCGGACUUGGAACGGGGUCCGAGGCCUCGAAAGUCCACAUCUAGCUACUGGGUGGUCCGAUUCUGAGUGAUCUCGAAGUUUCUUGCCCACAAAAGCCGAACGGUGACGCCCCCGACUCGGUUUCUUGGUUCCGUCCCAAAACGCCGAAGAAAGGCACAAUGGCCUAGAAAAGGACGGUCGGACUUGGAACGGGGUCCGAGGCCUCGAAAGUCCACAUCUAGCUACUGGGUGGUCCGAUUCUGAGUGAUCUCGAAGUUUCUUGCCCACAAAAGCCGAACGGUGACGCCCCAGACUCGGUUUCUUGGUUCCGUCCCAAAACGCCGAAGAAAGGCACAAUGGCCUAGAAAGGGACGGUCGGACUUGGAACGGGGUCCGAGGCCUCGAAAGUCCACAUCUAGCUACUGGGUGGUCCGAUUCUGAGUGAUCUCGAAGUUUCUUGCCCACAAAAGCCGAACGGUGACGCCCCAGACUCGGUUUCUUGGUUCCGUCCCAAAACGCCGAAGAAAGGCACAAUGGCCUAGAAAGGGACGGUCGGACUUGGAACGGGGUCCGAGGCCUCGAAAGUCCACAUCUAGCUACUGGGUGGUCCGAUUCUGAGUGAUCUCGAAGUUUCUUGCCCACAAAAGCCGAACGGUGACGCCCCAGACUCGGUUUCUUGGUUCCGUCCCAAAACGCCGAAGAAAGGCACAAUGGCCUAGAAAGGGACGGUCGGACUUGGAACGGGGUCCGAGGCCUCGAAAGUCCACAUCUAGCUACUGGGUGGUCCGAUUCUGAGUGAUCUCGAAGUUUCUUGCCCACAAAAGCCGAACGGUGACGCCCCAGACUCGGUUUCUUGGUUCCGUCCCAAAACGCCGAAGAAAGGCACAAUGGCCUAGAAAGGGACGGUCGGACUUGGAACGGGGUCCGAGGCCUCGAAAGUCCACAUCUAGCUACUGGGUGGUCCGAUUCUGAGUGAUCUCGAAGUUUCUUGCCCACAAAAGCCGAACGGUGACGCCCCAGACUCGGUUUCUUGGUUCCGUCCCAAAACGCCCGAAGAAAGGCACAAUGGCCUAGAAAGGGACGGUCGGACUUGGAACGGGGUCCGAGGCCUCGAAAGUCCACAUCUAGCUACUGGGUGGUCCGAUUCUGAGUGAUCUCGAAGUUUCUUGCCCACAAAAGCCGAACGGUGACGCCCCAGACUCGGUUUCUUGGUUCCGUCCCAAAACGCCGAAGAAAGGCACAAUGGCCUAGAAAGGGACGGUCGGACUUGGAACGGGGUCCGAGGCCUCGAAAGUCCACAUCUAGCUACUGGGGUGGUCCGAUUCUGAGUGAUCUCGAAGUUUCUUGCCCACAAAAGCCGAACGGUGACGCCCCAGACUCGGUUUCUUGGUUCCGUCCCAAAACGCCGAAGAAAGGCACAAUGGCCUAGAAAGGGACGGUCGGACUUGGAACGGGGUCCGAGGCCUCGAAAGUCCACAUCUAGCUACUGGGUGGUCCGAUUCUGAGUGAUCUCGAAGUUUCUUGCCCACAAAAGCCGAACGGUGACGCCCCAGACUCGGUUUCUUGGUUCCGUCCCAAAACGCCGAAGAAAGGCACAAUGGCCUAGAAAGGGACGGUCGGACUUGGAACGGGGUCCGAGGCCUCGAAAGUCCACAUCUAGCUACUGGGUGGUCCGAUUCUGAGUGAUCUCGAAGUUUCUUGCCCACAAAAGCCGAACGGUGACGCCCCAGACUCGGUUUCUUGGUUCCGUCCCAAAACGCCGAAGAAAGGCACAAUGGCCUAGAAAGGGACGGUCGGACUUGGAACGGGGUCCGAGGCCUCGAAAGUCCACAUCUAGCUACUGGGUGGUCCGAUUCUGAGUGAUCUCGAAGUUUCUUGCCCACAAAAGCCGAACGGUGACGCCCCAGACUCGGUUUCUUGGUUCCGUCCCAAAACGCCGAAGAAAGGCACAAUGGCCUAGAAAGGGACGGUCGGACUUGGAACGGGGUCCGAGGCCUCGAAAGUCCACAUCUAGCUACUGGGUGGUCCGAUUCUGAGUGAUCUCGAAGUUUCUUGCCCACAAAAGCCGAACGGUGACGCCCCAGACUCGGUUUCUUGGUUUCGUCCCAAAACGCCGAAGAAAGGCACAAUGGCCUAGAAAGGGACGGUCGGACUUGGAACGGGGUCCGAGGCCUCGAAAGUCCACAUCUAGCUACUGGGUGGUCCGAUUCUGAGUGAUCUCGAAGUUUCUUGCCCACAAAAGCCGAACGGUGACGCCCCAGACUCGGUUUCUUGGUUCCGUCCCAAAACGCCGAAGAAAGGCACAAUGGCCUAGAAAGGGACGGUCGGACUUGGAACGGGGUCCGAGGCCUCGAAAGUCCACAUCUAGCUACUGGGUGGUCCGAUUCUGAGUGAUCUCGAAGUUUCUUGCCCACAAAAGCCGAACGGUGACGCCCCAGACUCGGUUUCUUGGUUCCGUCCCAAAACGCCGAAGAAAGGCACAAUGGCCUAGAAAGGGACGGUCGGACUUGGAACGGGGUCCGAGGCCUCGAAAGUCCACAUCUAGCUACUGGGUGGUCCGAUUCUGAGUGAUCUCGAAGUUUCUUGCCCACAAAAGCCGAACGGUGACGCCCCAGACUCGGUUUCUUGGUUCCGUCCCAAAACGCCGAAGAAAGGCACAAUGGCCUAGAAAGGGACGGUCGGACUUGGAACGGGGUCCGAGGCCUCGAAAGUCCACAUCUAGCUACUGGGUGGUCCGAUUCUGAGUGAUCUCGAAGUUUCUUGCCCACAAAAGCCGAACGGUGACGCCCCAGACUCGGUUUCUUGGUUCCGUCCCAAAACGCCGAAGAAAGGCACAAUGGCCUAGAAAGGGACGGUCGGACUUGGAACGGGGUCCGAGGCCUCGAAAGUCCACAUCUAGCUACUGGGUGGUCCGAUUCUGAGUGAUCUCGAAGUUUCUUGCCCACAAAAGCCGAACGGUGACGCCCCAGACUCGGUUUCUUGGUUCCGUCCCAAAACGCCGAAGAAAGGCACAAUGGCCUAGAAAGGGACGGUCGGGACUUGGAACGGGGUCCGAGGCCUCGAAAGUCCACAUCUAGCUACUGGGUGGUCCGAUUCUGAGUGAUCUCGAAGUUUCUUGCCCACAAAAGCCGAACGGUGACGCCCCAGACUCGGUUUCUUGGUUCCGUCCCAAAACGCCGAAGAAAGGCACAAUGGCCUAGAAAGGGACGGUCGGACUUGGAACGGGGUCCGAGGCCUCGAAAGUCCACAUCUAGCUACUGGGUGGUCCGAUUCUGAGUGAUCUCGAAGUUUCUUGCCCACAAAAGCCGAACGGUGACGCCCCAGACUCGGUUUCUUGGUUCCGUCCCAAAACGCCGAAGAAAGGCACAAUGGCCUAGAAAGGGACGGUCGGACUUGGAACGGGGUCCGAGGCCUCGAAAGUCCACAUCUAGCUACUGGGUGGUCCGAUUCUGAGUGAUCUCGAAGUUUCUUGCCCACAAAAGCCGAACGGUGACGCCCCAGACUCGGUUUCUUGGUUCCGUCCCAAAACGCCGAAGAAAGGCACAAUGGCCUAGAAAGGGACGGUCGGACUUGGAACGGGGUCCGAGGCCUCGAAAGUCCACAUCUAGCUACUGGGUGGUCCGAUUCUGAGUGAUCUCGAAGUUUCUUGCCCACAAAAGCCGAACGGUGACGCCCCAGACUCGGUUUCUUGGUUCCGUCCCAAAACGCCGAAGAAAGGCACAAUGGCCUAGAAAGGGACGGUCGGACUUGGAACGGGUCCGAGGCCUCGAAAGUCCACAUCUAGCUACUGGGUGGUCCGAUUCUGAGUGAUCUCGAAGUUUCUUGCCCACAAAAGCCGAACGGUGACGCCCCAGACUCGGUUUCUUGGUUCCGUCCCAAAACGCCGAAGAAAGGCACAAUGGCCUAGAAAGGGACGGUCGGACUUGGAACGGGGUCCGAGGCCUCGAAAGUCCACAUCUAGCUACUGGGUGGUCCGAUUCUGAGUGAUCUCGAAGUUUCUUGCCCACAAAAGCCGAACGGUGACGCCCCAGACUCGGUUUCUUGGUUCCGUCCCAAAACGCCGAGAAAAGGCACAAUGGCCUAGAAAGGGACGGUCGGACUUGGAACGGGGUCCGAGGCCUCGAAAGUCCACAUCUAGCUACUGGGUGGUCCGAUUCUGAGUGAUCUCGAAGUUUCUUGCCCACAAAAGCCGAACGGUGACGCCCCAGACUCGGUUUCUUGGUUCCGUCCCAAAACGCCGAAGAAAGGCACAAUGGCCUAGAAAGGGACGGUCGGACUUGGAACGGGGUCCGAGGCCUCGAAAGUCCACAUCUAGCUACUGGGUGGUCCGAUUCUGAGUGAUCUCGAAGUUUCUUGCCCACAAAAGCCGAACGGUGACGCCCCAGACUCGGUUUCUUGGUUCCGUCCCAAAACGCCGAAGAAAGGCACAAUGGUCCUAGAAAGGGACGGUCGGACUUGGAACGGGGUCCGAGGCCUCGAAAGUCCACAUCUAGCUACUGGGUGGUCCGAUUCUGAGUGAUCUCGAAGUUUCUUGCCCACAAAAGCCGAACGGUGACGCCCCAGACUCGGUUUCUUGGUUCCGUCCCAAAACGCCGAAGAAAGACACAAUGGCCUAGAAAGGGACGGUCGGACUUGGAACGGGGUCCGAGGCCUCGAAAGUCCACAUCUAGCUACUGGGUGGUCCGAUUCUGAGUGAUCUCGAAGUUUCUUGCCCACAAAAAGCCGAACGGUGACGCCCAGACUCGGUUUCUUGGUUCCGUCCCAAAACGCCGAAGAAAGGCACAAUGGCCUAGAAAGGGACGGUCGGACUUGGAACGGGGUCCGAGGCCUCGAAAGUCCACAUCUAGCUACUGGGUGGUCCGAUUCUGAGUGAUCUCGAAGUUUCUUGCCCACAAAAGCCGAACGGUGACGCCCCAGACUCGGUUUCUUGGUUCCGUCCCAAAACGCCGAAGAAAGGCACAAUGGCCUAGAAAGGGACGGUCGGACUUGGAACGGGGUCCGAGGCCUCGAAAGUCCACAUCUAGCUACUGGGUGGUCCGAUUCUGAGUGAUCUCGAAGUUUCUUGCCCACAAAAGCCGAACGGUGACGCCCCAGACUCGGUUUCUUGGUUCCGUCCCAAAACGCCGAAGAAAGGCACAAUGGCCUAGAAAGGGACGGUCGGACUUGGAACGGGGUCCGAGGCCUCGAAAGUCCACAUCUAGCUACUGGGUGGUCCGAUUCUUUGUGAUCUCGAAGUUUCUUGCCCACAAAAGCCGAACGGUGACGCCCCAGACUCGGUUUCUUGGUUCCGUCCCAAAACGCCGAAGAAAGGCACAAUGGCCUAGAAAGGGACGGUCGGACUUGGAACGGGGUCCGAGGCCUCGAAAGUCCACAUCUAGCUACUGGGUGGUCCGAUUCUGAGUGAUCUCGAAGUUUCUUGCCCACAAAAGCCGAACGGUGACGCCCCAGACUCGGUUUCUUGGUUCCGUCCCAAAACGCCGAAGAAAGGCACAAUGGCCUAGAAAGGGACGGUCGGACUUGGAACGGGGUCCGAGGCCUCGAAAGUCCACAUCUAGCUACUGGGUGGUCCGAUUCUGAGUGAUCUCGAAGUUUCUUGCCCACAAAAGCCGAACGGUGACGCCCCAGACUCGGUUUCUUGGUUCCGUCCCAAAACGCCGAAGAAAGGCACAAUGGCCUAGAAAGGGACGGUCGGACUUGGAACGGGGUCCGAGGCCUCGAAAGUCCACAUCUAGCUACUGGGUGGUCCGAUUCUGAGUGAUCUCGAAGUUUCUUGCCCACAAAAGCCGAACGGUGACGCCCCAGACUCGGUUUCUUGGUUCCGUCCCAAAAACGCCGAAGAAAGGCCCAAUGGCCUAGAAAGGGACGGUCGGACGUGGAACGGGGUCCGAGGCGUCGAAAGUCAACAUCUAGCUACUGGGUGGUCCGAUUCUGAGUGAUCUCGAAGUUUAUUGCCCACAAAAGCCGAACGGUGACGCCCCAGACUCGGUUUCUUGGUUCCGUCCCAAAACGCCGAAGAAAGGCACAAUGGCCUAGAAAGGGACGGUCGGACUUGGAACGGGGUCCGAGGCCUCGAAAGUCCACAUCUAGCUACUGGGUGGUCCGAUUCUGAGUGAUCUCGAAGUUUCUUGCCCACAAAAGCCGAACGGUGACGCCCCAGACUCGGUUUCUUGGUUCCGUCCCAAAACGCCGAAGAAAGGCACAAUGGCCUAGAAAGGGACGGUCGGACUUGGAACGGGGUCCGAGGCCUCGAAAGUCCACAUCUAGCUACUGGGUGGUCCGAUUCUUUGUGAUCUCGAAGUUUCUUGCCCACAAAAGCCGAACGGUGACGCCCCAGACUCGGUUUCUUGGUUCCGUCCCAAAACGCCGAAGAAAGGCACAAUGGCCUAGAAAGGGACGGUCGGACUUGGAACGGGGUCCGAGGCCUCGAAAGUCCACAUCUAGCUACUGGGUGGUCCGAUUCUGAGUGAUCUCGAAGUUUCUUGCCCACAAAAGCCGAACGGUGACGCCCCAGACUCGGUUUCUUGGUUCCGUCCCAAAACGCCGAAGAAAGGCACAAUGGCCUAGAAAGGGACGGUCGGACUUGGAACGGGGUCCGAGGCCUCGAAAGUCCACAUCUAGCUACUGGGUGGUCCGAUUCUGAGUGAUCUCGAAGUUUCUUGCCCACAAAAGCCGAACGGUGACGCCCCAGACUCGGUUUCUUGGUUCCGUCCCAAAACGCCGAAGAAAGGCACAAUGGCCUAGAAAGGGACGGUCGGACUUGGAACGGGGUCCGAGGCCUCGAAAGUCCACAUCUAGCUACUGGGUGGUCCGAUUCUUUGUGAUCUCGAAGUUUCUUGCCCACAAAAGCCGAACGGUGACGCCCCAGACUCGGUUUCUUGGUUCCGUCCCAAAACGCCGAAGAAAGGCACAAUGGCCUAGAAAGGGACGGUCGGACUUGGAACGGGGUCCGAGGCCUCGAAAGUCCACAUCUAGCUACUGGGUGGUCCGAUUCUGAGUGAUCUCGAAGUUUCUUGCCCACAAAAGCCGAACGGUGACGCCCCAGACUCGGUUUCUUGGUUCCGUCCCAAAACGCCGAAGAAAGGCACAAUGGCCUAGAAAGGGAAGGUCGGACUUGGAACGGGGUCCGAGGCCUCGAAAGUCAACAUCUAGCUACUGGGUGGUCCGAUUCUGAGUGAUCUCGAAGUUUCUUGCCCACAAAAGCCGAACGGUGACGCCCCAGACUCGGUUUCUUGGUUCCGUCCCAAAACGCCGAAGAAAGGCACAAUGGCCUAGAAAGGGACGGUCGGACUUGGAACGGGGUCCGAGGCCUCGAAAGUCCACAUCUAGCUACUGGGUGGUCCGAUUCUUUGUGAUCUCGAAGUUUCUUGCCCACAAAAGCCGAACGGUGACGCCCCAGACUCGGUUUCUUGGUUCCGUCCCAAAACGCCGAAGAAAGGCACAAUGGCCUAGAAAGGGACGGUCGGACUUGGAACGGGGUUCGAGGCCUCGAAAGUCCACAUCUAGCUACUGGGUGGUCCGAUUCUUUGUGAUCUCGAAGUUUCUUGCCCACAAAAGCCGAACGGUGACGCCCCAGACUCGGUUUCUUGGUUCCGUCCCAAAACGCCGAAGAAAGGCACAAUGGCCUAGAAAGGGACGGUCGGACUUGGAACGGGGUCCGAGGCCUCGAAAGUCCACAUCUAGCUACUGGGUGGUUCGAUUCUGAGUGAUCUCGAAGUUUCUUGCCCACAAAAGCCGAACGGUGACGCCCCAGACUCGGUUUCUUGGUUCCGUCCCAAAACGCCGAAGAAAGGCACAAUGGCCUAGAAGAAAGGACGGUCGUACUUGGAACGGGGUCCGAGGCCUCGAAAGUCCACAUCUAGCGACUGGGUGGUUCGAUUCUGAGUGAUCUCGAAGUUUCUUGCCCACAAAAGCCGAACGGUGACGCCCCAGACUCGGUUUCUUGGUUCCGUCCCAAAACGCCGAAGAAAGGCAAAAUGGCCUAGAAAGGGACGGUCGGACUCGAAACGGGGUCCGAGGCCUCGAAAGUCCACAUCUAGCGACUGGGUGGUCCGAUUCUGAGUGAUCUCGAAGUUUCUUGCCCACAAAAGCAGAACGGUGACGCCCUAGACUCGGUUUCUUGGUUCCGUCCCAAAACGCCAAAGAAAGGCACAAUGACCAAGAAAGGGAUGGUCGGACUUGGAACGGGGUCUGAGGCCUCGAAAGUCCACAUCUAGCUACUGGGUGGUCCGAUUCUUUGUGAUCUCGAAGUUUCUUGCCCACAAAAGCCGAACGGUGACGCCCCAGACUCGGUUUCUUGGUUCCGUCCCAAACAGCCGAAGAAAGGCACAAUGGCCUAGAAAGGGACAGUCGGACUCGAAACGGGGUCCGAGGCCUCGAAAGACCACAUCUAGCUACUGGGUGGUCCGAUUUUGAGUGAUCUCGAAGUUGCUUGCCCACAAAAGCCGAACGGUGACGCCCCAGACUCGGUUUCUUGGUUUUGUCCCAAAACGCCAAAGAAAGGCACAAUGGCCUAGAAACGGACGGUCGAACUUGGAACGGGGUCUGAGGCCUCGAAAGUCCACAUCUAGCUACUGGGUGGUCCGAUUCUGAGUGACCUCGAAGUUUCUUGCCCACAAAAGCCGAACGGUGACGCCCCAGACUCGGUUUCUUGGUUCCGUCCCAAAACGCCGAAGAAAGGCACAAUGGCCUAGAAAGGGACGGUCGAACUUGGAAUGGGGUCCGAGGCCUCGAAAGUCCACAUCUAGCUACUGGGUGGUCCGAUUCUUUGUGAUCUCGAAGUUUCUUACCCACAAAAGCCUAACGGUGACGCCCCAGACUCGGUUUCUUGGUUCCGUCCCAAAACGCCGAAGAAAGGUUGGGAACCAUUCUAAUUGGAAAUCUAUUGGGGUUGACAUGAACAUACUUCCUCCAGUUUUCAAGCGUCGAGCUGGAUGACCACGAAAACAGAGAACAUUAUCAAUUGGCGAGAAGAAAAGUCAACCAAAAUGCAAUCAUUGUCGUCGUGCUGGUCACAAUCGUAGAAAUUGCAAAUUUUCACCAUUUUUACAAUGAUAUGACAUUAUGUUUUUUAUAAUACUCUUUUAGCUUGAGCAUAGAGAACAUUCUUUUUUUUUUUUUUUUUAAGUAGUCAAUAAUAAUCUACCUUUUGUAAAGUACUAAUACAUAUAAAAAUCUAUCUCUAAUAGUUUCUACAAGUGUUAGAGACCAUAAAAUGCACCAAUUAGUUGAACAUGUGAUAAAAACCAUUAUUGUGAGUCUAUUGUCAAUAGUUUCUAUCACUGAUAGAAACCAUAAAAUGCACCAAUUAGUUCAACCUGUGAUAAAAACCAUUAUUGUGUAGUCUAUCGUCAAUAGUUUCUAUCACUGAUAGAAACCAUAAAAUGCUCCAACACUUUAUUCUUGGAGACUGUCUUGUUGCUUUUGGAGAUUCUUUCUUCUUAUCUUUUGGAUUCUUUUGGUCUUUUUCUUUUCUUUUGAUCUUUCAGAUUCUCCAACACUUUCUUUGACGGUUUAGGUCGUCUCUUCGAUCUAGCAUUUUCAAUGUUCUUCACUAUUUCCAUAGUUUUCGCUUUUGUCUUUUCUUGAACAAUCUGAAAAAAAUAAUUGAAUUAGAGUUUAUAUAUAGACACGUUGAGUCUAUCAUAAAACAAAAAUUGUGAUUAUUAUAAUACCUUCACUUUCUUUGAUAUGUCAUGCACCGUUUUUGACUUAUUUUCACGAUGAUUAUCAUCAUCUUCCUCAAUUUCGUUGUUAUCUACAGUCUUUUGUAGAAAUUAAUAUUAGUAUUGCAAUGAAAAAAAUUACAGAAACUAUUAAUAUUCAAUCAAAGAAAAAACAGUCUAUCACUGAUACAGAUCUAUCAUUGAUAGACUUUUCACUCACAAACAUACUCUAGUAAUAGUCUUGGAAAAAAUAAAAGUAAAAGAACUAGAAGCUUUAAUAGUGUUACCUCUUUGUCUUUUGCGCAAGAAGUUGCAUAAGCAACUGCUUGAUCAAUGUUAGUAUCAAUAUCAGCAUCUAUCAUUUCUAGACUCAUUGAUGGAGGAUGAUUCUUUUCCAAGGACUCUUCAGAUUGUUUUUCACUUUCACAUUUGUGUGGAAGUCUUUGAUUCACAACUUAUGUUAGGGAAAGUAACAAAUGAACGAUCUCCUCUUGUCCUUUUUUCAGGUGGUCUAAAUCUUCUUUGUGCUGUUUUUUUAAAUCUUCAAUAUCUUCAUGUAAAGAAGAUAUUCUUUCUACAAUAUUUUUUAUCAUUUACAACAUAUGCUUCUUCAACCAAUCUAUCGUUUUCUAACUCCACGAAAAUAUCGAAAGUACUCAGAUGACAUUUCUUCUUUAGAUGCAACAAUGGGGACCAUAGAUAGCUAGAAAAAAUAUUCAAUCAGUAUUAAAUAAAAAAAAAACUUAUGCACAUAUGUUUGUAGAGAGCAGUCUAUCAUUGAUAUGGAUCUAUCACUGAUAGAUCAAUAUCAGUGAUAUUGGUGACAAAAAGAAAACAAAUUAAAAACUUACAUUUUUUUCCAGAAACACGUUGGCUUCAAGAUCUUGCCAAUCUACUUGUACACUGGAUUCCCAAUUUAAUAUUCUGGGAGAGCCUUUUCCUAUUCUCGUCACAUAUUCGUUAGCAAGUUGAGAGAAGUAUUUCGUAUGCCCAAUAAGCAAGAACUAUAGGGAAGCCUUGUAGAAAGGCACAUGAUUUAGAUUCUAAUUAUGAGUUUUUCGACUUCCUUUUGGAUUUUACAGCAUUUUGAAUGAAUUGCUUUGUCAAACUAUAGCACAACCUUCCCCAAGGAUAACUCCUAAACUUCUCUUUAUCAUCCAACAUUUUUACAUGUUUCAAAUCCAAAAUAUUGUGAUUUUGUCUAGGAAUCAAAACAUUGUAUAGGAAGUAAAGAUUGGCUAACUUUGCUAGUUCUUGUUCAUCACUACAGGUUUUACAGUGAUAGUUAAAAGCAGUCUUCAAUUCUUGUCUACUAAUAGAAGUAUUGUUUCUAAAAAACAAUUGUUUAACCAUCGACUCAUUUUCUUCUGUUGUAUCCAAAACAUCCUCAAUACGGUAUUCACCACAAUUUAACCCUGUAAUCAAACAAAAAUCUUGCAAACCAAAUCCCACAGUUUUACCUUCAAUGUUGAAAAGAAUAGCAUUGUUGUCUGUUGAGACACAUUGUCUUCUAAUCAAUUGUGCUAAAAGUUGUAAAGGUAUUUUGGUCAUUUUCAUAUUUAGUAAGUGUGCAAAUGGACAUUCUUUAAACAAAUCUAGACAACUAGGUGAUAGACUUUCAAUAAUAUGGUCGAUAGUUUGUAGACUACAGUACACGGUGAUUCUCAAGGUAGACUUCCACAAUUCUUUAGGAAUAAUUAGUUGUUUUCCCUGUUUAAAGCAAAAUAAUAGUUACAACUAUGCAGUCUAACAAUUUAGAGAGAAAUAUAUAUAUAUAGUGGGAUGCCUUUUCUUUUUUAAUCUUUUUUUUGCUUGAUUCACCUUCAUGUAUUGAUGCUCUUUUUAUCCCUUUUUCAUUUGGUUCCUUUUCCAUAGUUUUUUUCUUACCCAUCUAUUAAAAUUACAAUAAAUACAUCAACACAAUCAAAACAUAUUAGCAUGCCAAAGAAACAAGUUCAGCAUUCUUCAAAUCCAUUAAUCACUGACAAGAACGUAUCAUUGAUAGAUCAUAAGCAACAUCCCACACAAAAUAUGCAUAUUAGACUAAAGUAUUUACUAAACAUAUUUCAGGUCUAUCAAUGAUAGAAUCUAUCAUUGAUAGAUUAAGAAAACAACACUUAAUCUAAAACAUCCACCAACACACCUUACCACAAGCAAACCAAACAUCCUCAAGGUCUAUCAUGUCUAUCAAUAAUAGAAACAUAUCACUGAUAAAUCAUGAGCAACAACAUACAUACAGAAAAAUACACAUCACUGAACUAACGCAUCUACUAACGCCUCAAUGCAAACAAACUAAACACCCAUCAAGUCUAUCACUAAUACGAACAUAUCACUGAUAGACCAUAUCCUUAAGCAACAAAAAACAAACUGAAAACAAAUUAGCAUGCCAAAGAAACAAGUUUAGCAUCCUCCAAAUCCAUUAAUCACUGACAAGAACGUAUCAUUGAUAGACCAUAAGCAAAUCUAUCAAUCACUGACAAUAACAUAUCAUUGAUAGACUAUAAGCAACAUCUCACCCAAAAUAUGCACAUUAAACUAAAUUAAAGAAACCAAACAAACAAGUUCAAUAUCCCAACACAUAAAUGUAUUUCAAGUCUAUUACAACAAACAGAAAAAAAAAGUCCCUGAAGUGAAGCCGAAUUCGAAGAACAGAGAAGAAAGCCGAAGACGGAAGAAAUACGAAGUGAAGUCGGAGAAAAGAGAAGUGGAAGACAAAAGUUAUACGAAGUGAAGCCAAAGAAAAGAGAAGAACACGAAAGACAGAAGAAAUACGAACUGAAGCCAAACUGAAGCCGAAGAAAAGAGACGAAAAGAGAAGAAAGGGGAAGACUGGAAUAAUUUUGGGGGGCAUUUUCGUCUUUUAUCUUAUAAUUUAAUUAAAAUCUGCCAUAUUUGCAAUUGUAUUAAAUAUUUGCUACAUCCUUAAUUAAUUUACAGUAAAUUGCUACAUUCCCACUCAGCCCUUUAGAUUUUGGUUAAAACAUAAAAGCCCACAAAAUCUCACACAAUUUCGAAACAAAAAUUUAUUCUUAAAACAUACUAAAAAAAUAAUUAGGUAAACAAAAAAAAUUCUCACACUGAUAGUUCUCUUAAACUAUCAUUUUGUGUUAAUAAUCAAAUACAUUUUUAUUUGAUAAUUAACUAACUGAACAAUAAGUAUAAAAAUUGGUUGUGUUCGUGAUCUAUCACUGUGUAUUAAUAGUCAAAUAAAAUUAAGACUAUGAUUUUAACUUAAAAUUUUGGUUUUUAUUUUAGUUAGUGAGAAAAUUAGUAUAAAAUUUGGAUUAAUCGAAGUUUUUUCUUAAAUAUUACUAGGAAUGGGGCCAUCCAGCAUUUAGAUGUGAACUUUCGGGACAUCUGACAUUGUUCUAAGCUGGGUGGUUUCUUUCUAGGCCAUAACAUCGAACCUUUUUUCGAUGUUUCGGGACGAAACUAAAAUACCGAGUCCGGGGAAUCGGCGUUCGGCUUUUGUGGACAAGAAACUUUAAUAUUACUCAGAAUGGAGCCAUCUAGCAGUUAGAUGUGAACUUUCGGGACCUCUGACAUUGUUCUAAGCCGGGUGGUUUCUUUCUAGGUCAUAGCAUCUACCCUUUUAUCGACGUUUCGAGACAGAACUAAAAAAACGAGUCUGGGGCAUCGUCGUUCGGCUUUUGUGGGCAAGAAACUUUAAUAUUACUCGGAAUGGGGCCACCCAGCAAUUAGAUGUGAACUUUCAGGACCUUUGACAUUGUUCUAAGCUGGGAGGUUUCUUUUUAGGGCAUCGACCCUUUUUUCUACGUUUCGGGACGAAACUAGAAACCGAGUCCAGGUCAUCGCCGUUCGGCUUUUGUGGGCAUGAAACUUUAAUAUUACUCGGAAUGGGGCCACCCAGUAGUUAGAUGUGAACUUUUGGGACCUCUGACAUUAAUCAAAGUUGAGUGGUUUCUUUCUAGGCCAUUGUGCCUUUGUUCAACGUUUUGGGACGGAACCAAGAAAUCGAGUCUGGGGCAUCACCGUUCGGCUUUUGUGGGCAAGGAACUUCAAGAUCACUCAGAAUCACACCACCUUAGCUAGAUGUGAACUUUCGAGGCCUUCCACACCGUUCUAAGUCCGGCCGUUCCUUUCUAGGCACUGGUGCCUUUCUUCGGCAUUUUGGGACGGAACCAAGCAACCGAGUCUGUGGCAUCACCGUUCGGCUCGACAUUUGUAGGCAAGGAACUUCGAGAUCACUCAGAAUCGGACCACCCAAUAGCUAGAUGUGAACUUUCGAGGCCUCCGACCCCGUUCUAAGUCCGACCGUUUCUUUCUAGGCCACCAUUGUGCCUUUCUUCGGCGUUUUGGGUCAGAACCAAGAAAUCGAGUCUGGGCAUCACCGUUCGCCUUUUGUGGGCAAGAAACUUCAAGAUCACUCAGAAUCUGACCACCCAGUAGUUAAAUGUGAACUUUCGAGGCCUCCGACCCCGUUCUAAGUUCGGCCGUUCCUUUCCUUUCUAAGCCACCAUUGUGCCUUUCUUCGGCGUUUUGGGACGGAACAAAGAAACCGAGUCUGGCGCAUCACCGUUCCGCUUUUGUGGGCAAGAAACUUCGAGAUCACUCAGAAUCGGACCACCCAUUAGUUAGAUGUGAACUUUCGAGGCCUCCGACCACUUUCUAAGUUCGGCCGCUCCUUUCCUUUCUAGGCCACCGUUGUGCCUUUCUUCGGCGUUUUGGGACAAAACCAAAAAACCGAGUCGGGGCAUCACCGUUCGCAUUUUGUGGGCAAGAAACUUCGAGAUCACUCAGAAUCGGACCACCCAUUAGUUAGAUGUGAACUUUCGAGGCCUCCGACCCCCUUCUAAGUUCGGCCGUUCCUUUCCUUUCUAGGCCACCAUUGUGCCUUUCUUCGGCGUUUUGGGACGAAACCAAGAAACCGAGUCUGGGGCAUCACUGUUCGCAUUUUGUGGGCAAGAAACUUCGAGAUCACUCAGAAUCGGACCACCCAGUAGUUAGAUGUGAACUUUCGAGGCCUACGACACCGUUCUAAGUUUGGCCGUUCCUUUCCUUUCUAGGCCACCAUUGUGCCUUUCUUCGGUGUUUUGGGACGGAACCAAGAAACCGAGUCUGGAGCAUCACCGUUCGCAUUUUGUGGGCAAGAAACUUUGAGAUCACUCAGAAUCGGACCACCCAGUAGUUAGAUGUGAACUUUCGAGGCCUACGACACCGUUCUAAGUUCGGUCGUUCCUUUCCUUUCUAGGCCACCAUUGUGCCUUUCUUCGGCGUUUUGGGACGGAACGAAGAAACCGAGAAUGGGGCAUCAACGUUCGACUCGGCUUUUGUGGGCAAGAAACUUCGAGAUCACUCAGAAUCGGACCACUCAGUAGUUAGAUGUGAACUUUCGAGUCCUCUGACCCCGUUCUAAGUUCGGCCGUUGCUUUCCUUUCUAGGCCACCAUUGGGCCUUUCUUCGGCGUUUUGGGACGGAACCAAGAAACCGAGUCUGGGGCAUCACCGUUCGGCGUUUUGGGACAGAAUCAAGGGUCCUCUGUUAGAGAACAUGUUCUGGACAUGAUGAUGCACUUCAACAUCGCUGAAGUGAAUGGUGGUCCCAUCGAAGAGGUUAAUCAAGUUAGUUUUAUCUUAGAGUCUCUUCCGAAGGGCUUUAUUCCAUUCCAAACGAAUGCGUCUUUGAAUAAGAUAGAAUUUAACUUGACAACCCUUCUGAAUGAACUCCAGCGAUUCUAAAACCUUACUAUGGGUAAAGGAAAACAAGUGGAAGCAAAUGUUGCUAUCACAAAAAGAAAAUUUAUAUUUUGAAUAAUGUUCCCUCUAAAAGUGUUUCAGAAACACCUUAUGAGCUAUGGAAAGGGCGUAAAGGAAGUUUACGUCAUUUUAGAAUUUGGGGUUGUCCGGCACACGUGUUGGUACAAAAUCCUAAGAAAUUGGAACAUCGUUCAAAAUUAUGCUUUUUUAUAGGUUAUCCAAAAGAAUCAAGAGGUGGUUUGUUUUAUGAUCCUCAAGAAAAUAAAAUAUUUGUGUCAACAAAUGCCACAUUCUUAGAGGAAGACCACAUCAGGGAUCAUCAACCUCGUAGUAAACUAGUAUUAAAAGAAAUUUCCAAAAGUGCUAUAGAUAAACCUAGUUCAUCCACUAAGGUAGUUGAUAAGACUAGGAAAUCUGGACAAUCACAUCCUUCUCAACAGUUGAGAGAGCCUCGACGUAGUGGGAGGGUUGUUCAUCAGCCUGAUCGCUAUUUGGGUUUAAUUGAAACUCAAGUCGUCAUACCUGACGAUGGCAUAGAGGAUCCAUUAACCUAUAAACAGGCAAUGAAAGAUGUAGAUCGUGACCAAUGGAUCAAAGCCAUGGACCUCGAAAUGGAGUCUAUGUACUUUAAUUCUGUCUGGACUCUAGUAGAUCAACCAAAUGACGUAAAACCUAUUGGUUGUAAAUGGAUCUACAAGAGAAAACGAGACCAUGCCGGUAAAGUACAGACUUUCAAGGCUCGACUUGUGGCAAAGGGUUAUACCCAGAGAGAGGGAGUAGACUAUGAGGAAACUUUCUCUCCUGUUGCCAUGUUAAAGUCAAUUAGAAUACUCUUAUCCAUCGCCACUUUUUAUGAUUAUGAAAUUUGGCAGAUGGAUGUCAAGACAGCUUUUUUGAAUGGUAAUCUUGAAAGAGAGUAUCUAUAUGUCUCAACCAGAGGGGUUUAUAGAACAAGAUCAAGAACAAAAGGUUUGUAAGCUUAAAAAAAUCCAUUUAUGGAUUAAAACAAGCUUCUAGAUCCUGGAAUAUAAGAUUUGAUACUGCGAUCAAAUCUUAUGGCUUUGAACAAAAUGUUGACGAGCCUUGUGUUUACAAAAAGGUCGUCAAUUCCAUUAUAGCAUUUUUAGUCUUAUAUGUAGAUGAUAUUCUACUUAUUGGAAAUGACGUAGGAUAUCUUACUGAUAUCAAGAAAUGGCUAGCUAUGCAAUUUCAAAUGAAAGAUCUGGGAGAUGCACAAUACGUUCUCGGAAUCCAAAUUGUUCGAAACCGUAAGAACAAAACACUAGCCAUGUCUCAAGCAUCUUACAUAGACAAAAUGUUGUCUAGAUAUAAAAUGCAGAAUUCCAAAAAGGGUCUGCUGCCGUACAGAUAUGGAAUUCAUUUGUCAAAGGAACAAUGUCCUAAGACACCUCAAGAAGUUGAGGAUAUGAGAAAUAUUCCCUAUGCUUCCGCUGUUGGAAGUUUAAUGUAUGCAAUGUUAUGUACUAGACCUGACAUUUGCUACUCAGUAGGGAUGGUCAGUAGGUAUCAAUCCAAUCCUGGACGUGAUCACUGGACAGCCGUUAAAAACAUUCUAAAAUAUCUUCGAAGAACAAAAGACUACAUGCUCAUGUAUGGUACAAAGGAUCUGAUCCUUACUGGAUACACUGAUUCAGAUUUCCAAACUGAUAAAGAUGCUAGAAAGUCUACAUCAGGAUCAGUAUUUACUCUAAAUGGAGGAGCAGUAGUUUGGAGAAGCAUAAAGCAAACUUGUAUAGCUGAUUCCACAAUGGAAGCUGAAUACGUAGCGGCUUGUGAAGCAGCAAAAGAAGCAGUAUGGCUAAGAAAAUUCUUGACAGAUUUGGAAGUCGUUCCAAAUAUGCAUCUACCAAUCACUUUAUACUGUGACAACAGUGGUGCAGUUGCAAAUUCAAGAGAACCUAGAAGCCAUAAAAGAGGAAAGCAUAUUGAACGCAAGUACCAUCUUAUCAGGGAAAUUGUACAUCGUGGUGACGUUGUAGUAACCCAGAUUUCUUCUCAGCAAAACAUUGCUGAUCCUUUUACAAAAGCUCUCACGGCUAAAGUGUUUGAGGGUCACCUACACAGUUUAGGUCUACGAUGUUUGUAAACUAGGACAAGUGGGAGACUUAUUGGCCAUGUGCCCUAGUUUCAUAUAUAUUCUCUCACACCACAUCUCUCAUCCCACUAGGAAUUUUAGUCCAAGUGGGAGUUUGUUGGAAUUUUUUGUCCUAAAACUCGUAGUUUGUAAAUCAUAUUCUGUUCAAUAAAGUUGUUAUUGAGAAAUUAAAUAUUAUAAUCUUAAAUCCAAUAAAUCAAGUUCCAAGGCUAUUUUUUGAAUAAACUUGAACUUUAUGUGUAAACAUAAACGUGGAUCAAGUUCGAGUACAUAGCCUAAAUAGUCUAUAGUAUAUGAAAUAAAGGUUGGGCGCCUUAUUUAGAGAAACUAUGGAUGCGGCCCACUUUGUAAAACAAACGAGGUGAUCCUAAUCGUUCAUGUAGACACAUGAAAGCGGGGCAUCCUAUGUAAAAUGUUUACAUAAGACUGAACCAUGAAUUAGUCAUUUUUACGUUAUAACACCGUUUACUGUUUAAAACUGACUAUCUCAAUUAUUGAUGACCUAGGUAACUUAGUCUUAAUCCUGAGUUAACUAUGAACUCCUGUUCACACGAGAUUAUCCUUAGAUCUGCAUAGGUGAGGGCAGCUCAUCAGCGUUGGCCCAAUAAGCCUCCCAUUUCAGGGGUAAGAUCGGGUGGAUAGCUGGGAACAUAGGGUACAAGAUGGAAUUCACUCCUACCCGCUUUAGGGUUAGUAGAUAGGUUGCUCUCUUAAGCACUGAAUCCAAGUCUUGAACAAGGGGCCCCACCCUCUCAUUGGCCCGAGAGGGAUUAAGUUUAUAGGUUGAACCUUAAACCAAUUGUUCAAUAGUGGAUUAGUGGGACUUAAGGAGCAAGAUGUAAUCUUGGGGGUAAAACGGUAUUUUGACCCAGCCAAGGUUACGAGCAACCUGUGAAGGAUUAACUUACUGAUUAUGGUUUUAUCAAAUGGACACAAAUAUAUCUAUAGUGAGGGGAGUGCAACUACGGGACUUUAGUGGAAUGACCCGUUAGUUAACGAAUGUUGAUUAACUCGGUUUAAAAGAGUUUAGCUAGUUAAUCUUGAAUCGUUGGAGCCCAUGAUCUAUAGGUCCAUUAGGUUCCUCUGCUAGCUCAUAUGGAUUAAACUUAGAACAGUGUGAUGAAAUAAGUCGAAUUGUUCGAAUUGGGAGAAGAAAGGGAAACCGACAAAUAUAGUGAUAUAGUCGUCGGUCUUCUAAUUAGAAAUAGAGCUUUAUGUUUUACAUACUAUAAGUAUGAAUGCGGAUUCAUACUAAGAAGCUCGGAAUUGAUGGAAUUGGUCAAAAAUAGUAAAAAGUCAAAAUGUUGACUUUUGACUUUGAAAAGUCAAACUUUGACCGGCCUUAUAUUCAAAUGUGAUUUGAAUUUUGGAAAAAUGAAUGCGGAUUCAUGCUCGGAAGGAUGGAGUUAGUCAAGACGGACAAAAUGGUAAAAAGUCAAAAUAUUGACUUUUGACUAAGAAAAGUCAAAGUUUGACUUUUGACUAAGAAAAGUCAAAGUUUGACUUUUGACUAGAAAUAUCUAAUGACCAUUUUACCCUUGGACUAAGUUAGUGGGAAAAUCCAACAUUUUGUUGGAUAAUCCCACUAACUCUUAGUGGGAUAUGUGGCUAUAUGAGAUAUAGACACCUAGCCCACUAAGUUCCACUAAUUGUUAGUGGAACAUUAGGUGUUGAGAUUUGGCAAAUGAAUUGCAUGCAUUUUUGCAUGUAAUUAGGUUAUAAAUAGAGGUGUUUUCAAAUGUUGAAGGACUUUUGCCUCUUUUAUCAUUUUCAUCAUCUCAACAAAAGAAAAAAGAAAGCUUCCAAUCUCAUUUUAUCUCCAUUACUUUCUACACCAAAAUUGGGUCUCACAACCCGGUUCUUUGUCUAGAGGAUAGCAGUUGAGUACUAGUGGUGGUCUCGGUUAGAAUUGGUAAGAAUAUAUCGAACCUUUUGAAAGCUUCAAAGGUAAUAUUUCUUAAAACCCUAAUUUGAUUAGUUUAUGGUUAUAUGUUAAUUGUGGCAAUUAGGGUAGAAAUUCAAUUCUUUUUCCGCUGUGCAUGACUUAGUUCUAUCACGUUCGCCUUUUGUGGGCAAGAAACUUCGAGAUCACUCAGAAUCGGACCACGCAGUAGUUAGAUGUGAACUUUCGAGGCCUCUGACUCCGUUCUAUGUCCGACUGUUCCUUUCUAGGCCACCAUUGUGCCUUUCUUCGGCGUUUUGGGACGAAACCAAGAAACCGAGUCUGGGGCAUCACCGUUCGCCUUUUGUGGGCAAGAAACUUGGAGAUCACUCAGAAUCGGACCACCCAUGAGUUAGAUGUGAACUUUCGAGUCCUCCAACCCCGUUCUAAGUCCGACCGUUCCUUUCCUUUCUAGGCAACCAUUGGGCCUUUCUUCGACGUUUUGGGACAGAACCAAGAAACCGAGUCUGAGGCAUCACCCUUCGGCUUUUGUGGGUAAGAAACUUCGAGAUCACUCAGAAUCUGACCACCCAGUAGUUAGAUGUGAACUUUCGAGGCCUCCGACCCCGUUCUAAGUCCGGCCGUUCCUUUCUAGGCCACCAUUGUGCCUUUCUUCGGCGUUUUGGGACGGAACCAAGAAACCGAGUUUGGGGCAUCACCGUUCGCAUUUUGUGGGCAAGAAACUUCGAGAUAACUCAGAAUCGGACCACCUAGUAGUUAGAUGUGAACUUUCGAGGGCUCCACCCCGUUCUAAGUCCGGCCGUUCCUUUCAUUUCUAGGCCACCAUUGUGCCUUUCUUCGGCGUUUUGGGACGGAACCAAGAAACCGAGUCUGGGGCAUCACCGUUCGCAUUUUGUGGGCAAGAAACUUCGAGAUAACUCAGAAUCGGACCACCCAGUAGUUAGAUGUGAACUUUCGAGGGCUCCACCCCGUUCUAAGUCCGGCCGUUCCUUUCCUUUCUAGGCCACCAUUGUGCCUUUCUUCGGCGUUUUGGGACGGAACCAAGAAACCGAGUUCGGGGCAUCACCGUUCGCAUUUUGUGGGCAAGAAACUUCGAGAUAACUCAGAAUCGGACGACCCAGUAGUUAGAUGUGAACUUUCGAGGGCUCCACCCCGUUCUAAGUUCGGCCGUUCCUUUCCUUUCUAGGCCACCAUUGUUCCUUUCUUCGGCGUUUUGGGACGUAACCAAGAAACCGAGUCUGGGGCAUCACCGUUCAGCUUUUAUGGACAAGAAACUUCGAGAUCACUCAGAAUCGGACCACCCAGUAGUUAGAUGUCACAGAACCAUCUAUUGAUGCACCUAGAGAUCCAUUAUACAAGUCUGAAAAGGAGGUUCUUAAGGUAAGGUUGGACUUAAGAAUUUGAUGAUUGUUCACUCUAUUUUUCUAUUUCUAGUGAAAGUGAUGAUAAUUUAAUGGACUAUUCGAUUUCUUUGUAAAUCCGAGUAUAGGUUUCGCUGCGAUACGUUAGAAUAGAAGUAACUAGCAUAUACAUACAAAGUGACGUUCAUUGACUCAACGACGUUUGAAAUUUAAGAAUAUUAUGGCUGUUGGAGCAUCCAUUGAAGGAUGGAAAUAUUGUAGACCCAACAUAUCGGUUGACGACACUUUUUUGAAAUCUAAAUAUGGUGGAACUCUUUUGACGGCUUCAACAAUUGAUGGUAAUAAUCAAAUUUUUCCAUUGGCCUUCAGUAUUGUAGAUUCCGAAAAUGAUGAAUCCUGGAGAUGGUUUUUUGAGAAUAUAAAGAAAAGUUUAGGGGAUCGGGAAGGUUUAGUUGUAAUAUCUGAUCGACAUUUAAGUAUUCCAAAAAGUGUUCAUAACGUUUUUCCAAAUGCUGAAUAUUGUGUUUGUUUGCAACAGCUUCUAAAAAGUUUGAAGUUGAUGUAUAAGGACCCUAUAAUUGAUAAGCUCUUUUUUAGAUGUGGAAAAGCAUAUACUGUUGUUGAUUUUGAGACUAAUAUGAAAUGGAUGGAGUCUAUGUAUCCUAGUAUACGAGACUAUCUUAGUAAGGUUGGUUUUGAAAAGUGGGCUCGAGUAUAUUUUACAAAGAAAAGAUAUCAAAUGAUGACUACAAACAUUUCAGAAAGCUUAAAUUCAGUUCUAAAAGAAUCUAGAGAUUUGCCUGUUGCAACAUUACUCGAUUCUAUCAGGCAAAUACUUCAAAAUUGGUUUUAUGAUCGAAGAAAAGUUGCAUGUUGUAUGAGAACUAUUUUAACUAGUUGGGCUGAGGGAGAAUUACGUAUGCAACAUCAAAACUCAAGAAGCUUCACAGUAAGUUUUUGUGUUUUAAUGUUUAUUUACUUAAUUAGUGAGUAAUAUAACAAGACCUAUCAAUGAUAGAUUUUAUCACCGAUAGAUUCUUAUUAUGCAUCAGUGAUAGAUUCUAUCAAUGAUAGAUCAUAUGUGUUGACUAAGUUUGUUCUUUUUUUCUUUUCAGGUUAAUGCUAUUAAUGAUGUUGAAUUUCAAGUGAUUGAUGGAAGAAAACAAUUUAUGGUACAUUUAAAUUGCAAAUCAUGUACCUGUCGCGUUUGGGAUCUUGAUGAAAUUCCAUGCGCUCAUGCACUUGCUGUUCUUCGUGGAUGCAAUAUGAAUACUUACUCUUUUGUUUCCAAUUAUUUUUUGUCAAGCACUUUGGUUUUAGCUUAUACUGGAUUAGUUCGUCCAGUUGGGAACCAUUCUAAUUAGAAAUCUAUUGGGGUUGACAUGAACAUACUUCCUCUAGUUUUCAAGAGUCGAGCUGGAUGACCACGAAAACAGAGAACAUUAUCAAUUGGCGAGAAGAAAAGUCAACCAAAAUGCAAUCAUUGUCGUCGUGCUGGUCACAAUCGUAGAAAUUGCAAAUUUUCACCAUUUUUACAAUGAUAUGACAUUAUGUUUUUUAUAAUACUCUUUUAGCUUGAGCAUAGAGAACAUUCUUUUUUUUUUUUUUAAGUAGUCAAUAAUAAUCUACCUUUUGUAAAGUACUAAUACAUAUAAAAAUCUAUCUCUAAUAGUUUCUACAAGUGUUAGAGACCAUAAAAUGCACCAAUUAGUUGAACAUGUGAUAAAAACCAUUAUUGUGAGUCUAUUGUCAAUAGUUUCUAUCACUGAUAGAAACCAUAAAAUGCACCAAUUAGUUCAACCUGUGAUAAAAACCAUUAUUGUGUAGUCUAUCGUCAAUAGUUUCUAUCACUGAUAGAAACCAUAAAAUGCUCCAACACUUUAUUCUUGGAGACUGUCUUGUUGCUUUUGGAGAUUCUUUCUUCUUAUCUUUUGGAUUCUUUUGGUCUUUUUCUUUCUUUUGAUCUUUCAGAUUCUCCAACACUUUCUUUGACGGUUUAGGUCGUCUCUUCGAUCUAGCAUUUUCAAUGUUCUUCACUAUUUCCAUAGUUUUCGCUUUUGCCUUUUCUUGAACAAUCUGAAAAAAAUAAUUGAAUUAGAGUUUAUAUAUAGACACGUUGAGUCUAUCAUAAAACAAAAAUUGUGAUUAUUAUAAUACCUUCACUUUCUUUGAUAUGUCAUGCACCGUUUUUGACUUAUUUUCACGAUGAUUAUCAUCAUCUUCCUCAAUUUCGUUGUUAUCUACAGUCUUUUGUAGAAAUUAAUAUUAGUAUUGCAAUGAAAAAAAUUACAGAAACUAUUAAUAUUCAAUCAAAGAAAAAACAGUCUAUCACUGAUACAGAUCUAUCAUUGAUAGACUUUUCACUCACAAACAUACUCUAGUAAUAGUCUUGGAAAAAAUAAAAGUAAAAGAACUAGAAGCUUUAAUAGUGUUACCUCUUUGUCUUUUGCGCAAGAAGUUGCAUAAGCAACUGCUUGAUCAAUGUUAGUAUCAAUAUCAGCAUCUAUCAUUUCUAGACUCAUUGAUGGAGGAUGAUUCUUUUCCAAGGACUCUUCAGAUUGUUUUUCACUUUCACAUUUGUGUGGAAAUCUUUGAUUCACAUCUUAUGUUAGGGAAAGUAACAAAUGAACGAUCUCCUCUUGUCCUUUUUUCAGGUGGUCUAAAUCUUCUUUGUGCUGUUUUUUUAAAUCUUCAAUAUCUUCAUGUACAGAAGAUAUUCUUUCUACAAUAUUUUUUAUCAUUUACAACAUAUGCUUCUUCAACCAAUCUAUCGUUUUCUAACUCCACGAAAUAUCGAAAGUACUCAGAUGACAUUUCUUCUUUAGAUGCAACAAUGGGGACCAUAGAUAGCUAGAAAAAAUAUUCAAUCAGUAUUAAAUAAAAAAAAAACUUAUGCACAUAUGUUUGUAGAGAGCAGUCUAUCAUUGAUAUGGAUCUAUCACCGAUACGAAUCUAUCACUGAUAGAUCAAUAUCAGUGAUAUUGGUGACAAAAAGAAAACAAAUUAAAAACUUACAUUUUUUUCCAGAAACACGUUGGCUUCAAGAUCUUGCCAAUCUACUUGUACACUGGAUUCCCAAUUUAAUAUUCUGGGAGAGCCUUUUCCUAUCAUAUUCGUUAGCAAGUUGAGGAAGUAUUUCGUAUGCCCAAUAAGCAAGAACUAUAGGGAAGCCUUGUAGAAAGGCACAUGAUUUAGAUUCUAAUUAUGAGUUUUUCGACUUCCUUUUGGAUUUUACAGCAUUUUGAAUGAAUUGCUUUGUCAAACUAUAGCACAACGUUCCCCGUUCGGCUUUUGUGGGCAAGAAACUUCGAGAUCACUCAGAAUCGGACCACCCAGUAGCCGGAUGUGGAAUUUCGAGGCCUCGGACCCCGUUCCAAGUCUGACCGUCCCUUUCCAGGCCAUUGUGCCUUUCUUCGGCGUUUUGGGACGGAACCAAGAAACCGAGUCUGGGGCGUCACCGUUCGGCUUUUGGGGGCAAGAAACUUCGAGAUCACUCAGAAUCGGACAACCCAGUAGCCGGAUGUGGACUUUCGAGGCCUCGGACCCCGUUCCAAGUCCGAUCGUCCCUUUCCAGGCCAUUGUGCCUUUCUUCGGCGUUUUGGGACGGAACCAAGAAACCGAGUCUGGGGCGUCACCGUUCGGCUUUUGUGGGCAAGAAACUUCGAGAUCACUCAGAAUCGGACCACUCAAUAGCCGGAUGUGGACUUUCUGAGGCCUCGGACCCCGUUCCAAGUCCGACCGUCCCGUUGCAGGCCAUUGUGCCUUUCUUCGGCGUUUUGGGACGGAACUAAGAAACCGAGUCUGGGCGUCACCGUUCGGCUUUUGUGGGCAAGAAACUUCGAGAUCACUCAGAAUCGGACCACCCAGUAGCUAGAUGUGGACUUUCGAGGCCUCGGACCCCGUUCCAAGUCCGAUCGUCCCUUUCUAGGCCAUUGUGCCUUUCUUCGGCGUUUUGGGACGGAACCAAGAAACCGAGUCUGGGGCGUCACCGUUCGGCUUUUGUGGGCAAGAAACUUCGAGAUCACUCAGAAUCGGACCACCCAGUAGCCGGAUGUGGACUUUCGAGGCCUCGGACCCCGUUCCAAGUCCGACCGUUCCUUUCCAGGCCAUUGUGCCUUUCUUCGGCGUUUUGGGACGGAACAAAGAAACCGAGUUCUGGGCGUCACCGUUCGGCUUUUGUGGGCAAGAAACUUCGAGAUCACUCAGAAUCGGACCACCCAGUAGCAGCCGGAUGUGGACUUUCGAGGCCUCGGACCCCCGUUCCAAGUUCGACCGUCUCGUUGCAGGCCAUUGUGCCUUUCUUCGGCGUUUUGGGACGGAACCAAGAAACCGAUUCUGGGGCGUCACCGUUCGGCUUUUGUGGGCAAGAAACUUCGAGAUCACUCAGAAUCGGACCACCCAGUAGCCGGAUGUGGACUUUCGAGGCCUCGGACCCCAUUCCAAGUCCGACCGUCCCUUUCCAGGCCAUUGUGCCUUUCUUCGGCGUUUUGGGACGGAACCAAGAAACCGAGUCUAAGGCGUCACCGUUCGGCUUUUGUGGGCAAGAAACUUCGAGAUCACUCAGAAUCGGACCACCCAGUAGCCGGAUGUGGACUUUCGAGGCCUCGGACCCCGUUCCAAGUCCGACCGUCCCUUUCAGGCCAUUGUGCCUUUCUUCGGCGUUUUGGGACGGAACCAAGAAACCGAGUCUGCGGCGUCACCGUUCGGCUUUUGUGGGCAAGAAACUUCGAGAUCACUCAGAAUCGGACCACCCAGUAGCUAGAUGUGGACUUUCGAGGCCUCGGACCCCGUUCCAAGUCCGACCGUCCCUUUCGAGGCCAUUGUGCCUUUCUUCGGCGUUUUGGGACGGAACCAAGAAACCGAGUCUGGCGCGCGUCACCGUUCGGCUUUUUGGGCAAGAAACUUCGAGAUCACUCAGAACUCGGACCACCCAGUAGCUAGAUGUGGACUUUCGAGGCCUCGGACCCCGUUCCAAGUCCGACCGUCCCUUUCCAGGCCAUUGUGCCUUUCUUCGGCGUUUUGGGACGGAACCAAGAAACCGAGUCUGGGGCGUCACCGCUCGGCUUUUGUGGGCAAGAAACUUCGAGAUCACUCAGAAUCGGACCACCCAGUAGCUAGAUGUGGACUUUCGAGGCCUCGGACCCCGUUCCAAGUCCGACCGUCCCUUUCUAGGCCAUUGUGCCUUUCUUCGGCGUUUUGGAACGGAACCAAGAAACCGAGUCUGGGGCGUCACCGUUCGGCUUUUGUGGGCAAGAAACUUUGAGAUCACUCAGAAUCGGACCACCCAGUAGCUAGAUGUGGACUUUCGAGGCCUCGGGACCCCCGUUCCAAAGUCCGACCGUCCCUUUCCAGGCCAUUGUGCCUUUUUCGGCGUUUUGGGACGGAACCAAGAAACCGAGUCUGGGCGUCACCGUUCGGCUUUUGUGGGCAAGAAACUUCGAGAUCACUCAGAAUCGGACCACCCAGUAGCUAGAUGUCGACUUUCGAGGCCUCGGACCCCGUUCCAAGUCCGACCGUCCCUUUCUAGGCCAUUGUGCCUUUCUUCGGCGUUUUGGGACGGAACCAAGAAACCGAGUCUGGGGCGUCACCGUUCGGCUUUUGUGGGCAAGAAACUUCGAGAUCACUCAGAAUAGGACCACCCAGUAGCUAGAUGUGGACUUUCGAGGCCUCGGACCCCGUUCCAAGUCCGACCGUCCCUUUCCAGGCCAUUGUGCCUUUCUUCGGCGUUUUGGGACGGAACCAAGAAACCGAGUCUGCGGCGUCACCGUUCGGCGUUUUGUGGGCAAGAAACUUCGAGAUCACUCAGAAUCGGACCACCCAGUAGCUAGAUGUGGACUUUCGAGGCCUCGGACCCCGUUCCAAGUCCGACCGUCCCUUUCCAGGCCAUUGUGCCUUUCUUCGGCGUUUUAGGACGGAACCAAGAAACCGAGUCUGCGGCGUCACCGUUCGGCUUUUUGUGCGGCAAGAAACUUCGAGAUCACUCAGAAUCGGACACCCCAGUAGCUAGAUGUGGACUUUCGAGGCCUCGGACCCCGUUCCAAGUCCGACCGUCCCUUUCUAGGCCAUUGUGCCUUUCUUCGGCGUUUUGGGACGGAACCAAGAAACCGAGUCUGCGGCGUCACCGUUCGGCUUUUGUGGGCAAGAAACUUCGAGAUCACUAAGAAUGGAUCGGACCACCCAGUAGCUAGAUGUGGACUUUCGAGGCCUCGGACCCCGUUCCAAGUCCGACCGUCCCUUUCUAGGCCAUUGUGCCUUUCUUUCGGCGUUUUGGGACGGAACCAAAGAAACCGAGUCUGGCGGCGUCACCGUUCGGCUUUUGUGGGCAAGAAACUUCGAGAUCACUCAGAAAUCGGACCACCCAGUAGCUAGAUGUGGACUUUCGAGGCCUCGGACCCCGUUCCAAGUCCGACCGUCCCUCUUCAGGCCAUUGUGCCUUUCUUCGGCGUUUUGGGACGGAACCAAGAAACCGAGUCUGGGGCGUCACCGUUCGGCUUUUGUGGGCAAGAAACUUCGAGAUCACUCAGAAUCGGACCACCCAGUAGCUAGAUGUGGACUUUCGAGGCCUCGAACCCCGUUCCAAGUUCCGACCGUCCCUUUCCAGGCCAUUGUGCCUUUCUUCGGCGUUUUGGGACGGAACAAGAAACCGAGUCUGGGCGUCACCGUUCGGCUUUUGUGGGCAAGAAACUUCGAGAUCACUCAGAAUCGGACCACCCAGUAGCUAUUAGUGGACUUUCGAGGCCUCGGACCCCGUUCCAAGUCCGACCGUCCCUUUCUAGGCCAUUGUGCCUUUCUUCGGCGUUUUGGGACGGAACCAAGAAACCGAGUCGGGGCGUCACCGUUCGGCUUUUGUGGGCAAGAAACUUCGAGAUCACUCAGAAUCGGACCACCCAGUAGCUAGAUGUGGACUUUCGAGGCCUCGGACCCCCGUUCCAAGUCCGACCGUCCCUUUCUAGGCCAUUGUGCCUUUCUUCGGCGCUUUGGGACGAACCAAGAAACCGAGUCUGGGGCGUCACCGUUCGGCUUUUGUGGGCAAGAAACUUCGAGAUCACUCAGAAUCGGACCACCCAGUAGCUAGAUGUGGACUUUCGAGGCCUCGGACCCGUUCCAAGUCCGACCGUCCCUUUCCAGGCCAUUGUGCCUUUCUUCGGCGUUUUGGGACGGAACCAAGAAACCGAGUCUGCGGCGUCACCGUUCGGCUUUUGUGGGCAAGAAACUUCGAGAUCACUAAGAAUCGGACUCGGACCACCCAGUAGCUAGAUGUGGACUUUCGAGGCCUCGGACCCCGUUCCAAGUCCGACCGUCCCUUUCUAGGCCAUUGUGCCUUUUCUUUGCGUUUUGGGACGGAACCAAGAAACCGAGUCUGGGCCGUCACCGUUCGGCUUUUGUGGGCAAGAAACUUCGAGAUCACUCAGAAUCGGACCACCCAGUAGCUAGAUGUGGACUUUCGAGGCCUCGGACCCCGUUCCAAGUCCGACCGUCCCUUUCUAGGCCAUUGUGCCUUUCUUCGGCGUUUUGGGACGGAACCAAGAAACCGAGUCUGGGGCGUCACCGUUCGGCUUUUGUGGGCAAGAAACUUCGAGAUCACUCAGAAUCGGACCACCCAGUAGCUAGAUGUGGACUUUCGAGGCCUCGGACCCCGUUCCAAGUUCGACCGUCCCUUUCCAGGCCAUUGUGCCUUUCUUCGGCGUUUUGGGACGGAACCAAGAAACCGAGUCUGGGCGUCACCGUUCGGCUUUUGUGGGCAAGAAACUUCGAGAUCACUCAGAAUCGGACCACCCAGUAGCUAGAUGUGGACUUUCGAGGCCUCGGACCCGUUCCAAGUCCGACCGUCCCUUUCUAGGCCAUUGUGCCUUUCUUCGGGUUUGGGACGGAACCAAGAAACCGAGUCUGGGCGUCACCGUUCGGCUUUUGUGGGCAAGAAACUUCGAGAUCACUCAGAAUCGGACCACCCAGUAGCUAGAUGUGGACUUUCGAGGCCUCGGACCCCGUUCCAAGUCCGACCGUCCCUUUCCAGGCCAUUGUGCCUUUCUUCGGCGUUUUGGGACGGAACCAAGAAACCGAGUCUGGGGCGUCACCGUUCGGCUUUUGUGGGCAAGAAACUUCGAGAUCACUCAGAAUCGGACCACCCAGUAGCUAGAUGUGGACUUUCGAGGCUCGGCCGGACCCCGUUCCAAGUCCGACCGGUCCCUUUCUAGGCCAUUGUGCCUUUCUUCGCGGCUUUGGGACGGAACCAAGAAACCGAGUCUGGGCGUCACCGUUCGGCUUUUGUGGGCAAGAAACUUCGAGAUCACUCUGAAUCGGACCACCCAGUAGCCGGAUGUGGACUUUCGAGGCCUCGGACCCCGUUCCAAGUCCGACCGUCCCUUCUAGGCCAUUGUGCCUUUCUUCGGCGUUUUGGGACGGAACCAAGAAACCGAGUCUGGCGUCACCCGUUCGGCUUUUGUGGGCAAGAAACUUCGAGAUCACUCAGAAAUCGGACCCACCCAGUAGCUAGAUGUGGACUUUCGAGGCCUCGGACCCCGUUCCAAGUCCGACCGUCCCUUUCAGGCCAUUGUGCCUUUCUUCGGCGUUUUGGGACGGAACCAAGAAACCGAGUCUGGGGCGUCCCGUUCGGCUUUUGUGGGCAAGAAACUUCGAGAUCACUCAGAAUCGAACCACCCAGUAGCUAGAUGUGGACUUUCGAGGCCUCGGACCCCGUUCCAAGUCCGGACCGUCCCUUUCUUGGCCAUUGUGCCUUUCUUCGGCGUUUUGGGACGGAACCAAGAAACCGAGUCUGGCGUCACCGUUCGGCUUUUGUGGGCAAGAAACUUCGAGAUCACUCUGAAUUCGGACCACCCAGUAGCUAGAUGUGGACUUUCGAGGCCUCGGACCCCCGUUCCAAGUCCGACCGUCCCUUUCCAGGCCAUUGUGCCUUUCUUCGGCGUUUUGGGGACGGAACCAAGAAACCGAGUCUGGCGUCACCGUUCGGCUUUUGUGGGCAAGAAACUUCGAGAUCACUGUGAAUCGGACCACCCCAGUAGCUAGAUGUGGACUUUCGAGGCCUCGGACCCCGUUCCAAGUCCGACCGUCCUUUUCUAGGCCAUUGUGCCUUUCUUCGGCGUUUUGGGACGGAACCAAGAAACCGAGUCUGGGCGUCACCGUUCGGCUUUUGUGGGCAAGAAACUUCGAGAUCACUCAGAAUCGGACCACCCAGUAGCUAGAUGUGGACUUUCGAGGCCUCGGACCCCGUUCCAAGUCCGACCGUCCCUAAUUGCCAUAAUUAACAUGUAACCAUAAACUAAUCAAAUUAGGGUUUUAAGAAGUAUUACCUUUGAAGCUUUCAAAAGGGUUUGAUGUCUUCUUACCAAUUUCUACCCGAGACCACCACUAGUACUCAACUGCUAUCCUCUAGACAAAGAACCGGGUUGUGGGACCCAAUUUUGGUGUAGAAAAGUAAUGGAGAUAAAAUGAGAUUGGAAGCUUUCUUUUUUCUUUUGUUGAGAUGAUGAAAAUGAUAAAAGAGGCAAAAGUCCUUCAACAUUUGAAAACAUCUCUAUUUAUAGCCUAAUUACAUGCAAAAAUGCAUGCAAUUCAAUUGCCAAAUCUCAACACCUAAUAUUCCACUAACAAUUAGUGGAACUUAGUGGGCUAGGUGUCUAUAUCUCAUAUAGCCACAUAUCCACUAAGAGUUAGUGGGAUUAUCCAACAAAAUGUUGGAUUUUCCCACUAACUUAGUCCAAGGGUAAAAUGGUCAUUAGAUUUUUCUAGUCAAAAGUCAAACUUUGACUUUUCUAAGUCAAAAGUCAAUAUUUUGACUUUUUACCAUUUUGUCCGUCUUGACUAAUUCCAACCUCCCGAGCAUGAAUCCGCAUUCAUUUUUCCAAAAUUCAAAUCACAUUUGAAUAUAAGGCCGGUCAAAGUUUGACUUUUCAAAGUCAAAAGUCAACAUUUUGACUUUUUACUAUUUUUGACCAAUUCCGAGCUUCUUAGUAUGAAUCCGCAUUCAUACUUAUAGUAUGUAAAACAUAAAGCUCUAUUUCUAAUUAGAAGACCGACGAUUAUAUCACUGUAUAUGUCGGUUUUCCUUUCUUCUCCCUAUUCGAACAAUUCGACUUAUUUCAUCACACUGUUCUAAGUUUAAUCCAUAUGAGCUAGCAGAGGAACCUAAUGGACCUAUAGAUCAUGGGCUCCAACGAUUCAAGAUUAACUAGCUAAACUCUUUUAAACCGAGUUAAUCAACAUUCGUUAACUAACGGGUCAUUCCACUAAAGUCCCGUAGUUGCACUCCCCUCACUAUAGAUAUAUUUGUGUCCAUUUGAUAAAACCAUAAUCAGUAAGUUAAUCCUUCACAGGUUGCUCGUAACCUUGGCUGGGUCAAAAUACCGUUUUACCCCCAAGAUUACAUCUUGCUUCCUUAAGUCCCACUAAUCCACUAUUGAACAAUUGGUUUAAGGUUCAACCUAUAAACUUAAAUCCCUCUCGGCCAAUGAGAGGGUGGGGCCCCUUGUUCCAAGACUUUGGAUUCAGUGCUUAAGAGAGCAACCUAUCUACUAACCCUAAAGCGGGUAGGAGUGAAUUCCAUCUUGUACCCUAUGUUCCCAGCUAUCCACCCGAUCUUACCCCUGAAAUGGGAGGCUUAUUGGGCCAACGCUGAUGAGCUGCCCUCACCUAUGCAGAUCUAAGGAUAAUCUCGUAUGAACAGGAGUUCAUAGUUAACUCAGGAUUAAGACUAAGUUACCUAGGUCAUCAAAUAAUUGAGAUAGUCAGUUUUAAACAGUAAACGGUGUUAUAACGUAAAAAUGACUAAUUCAUGGUUCAGUCUUAUGUAAACAUUUUACAUAGGAUGCCCCCACUUUCAUGUCUCUACAUGAACGAUUAGGAUCACAUCGUUUGUACUACAAAGUGGGCCGCAUCCAUAGUCUCUCAAAAUAAGGCGCCCAACCUUUAUUUCAUAAUACUAUAGACUAUUUAGGCUAUAUACUCGAACUUGAUCCACGUUUAUGUUUACACAUAAAGUUCAAGUUUAUUCAAAAAAUAGCCUUGGAACUUGAUUUAUUGGAUUUAAGAUUAUAAUAUUUAAUUUCUCAAUAACAACUUUAUUGAAUAGAAAUAUGAUUUACCAAAACUACGAGUUUUAGGACAAAAAAUUCCAACAAACUCCCACUUGGACUAAAAUUCCUAGUGGUAUGAGAGAUGUGGUGUGAGAGAAUAUAUAUGAAACUAGGGCACAUGGCCAAUUAAGUCUCCCACUUUGUCCUAGUUUACAAACAUCGUACACCUAAACUGUGUAGGUGACCCUCAAACACUUUAGCCAUGAGGGCUUUUGUAAAAUGAUGAGCUUCCAUUGUGGAAUCAGCUAUACAAGUUUGCUUUAUGCUUCUCCAAACUACUGCUCCUCCAUUUAGAGUAAAUACUGAUCCUGAUGUAGACUUUCUAACAUCUUUAUCAGUUUGGAAAUCUGAAUCAGUGUAUCCAGUAAGGAUCAGAUCCUUUGUACGAUACAUGAGCAUGUAGAAUGUUUUUAACGGCUGUCCAGUGAUCACGUCCAUGAUUGGAUUGAUACCUACUGACCAUCCCUACUGAGUAGCAAAUGUCAGGUCUAGUACAUAACAUUGCAUACAUUAAACUUCCAACAGCGGAAGCAUAGGGAAUAUUUCUCAUAUCCUCAACUUCUUGAGGUGUCUUAGGACAUUGUUCCUUUGACAAAUGAAUUCCAUAUCUGUAACGGCAGCAGACCCUUUUUGGAAUUCUGCAUUUUAUAUCUAGACAACAUUUUGUCUAUGUAAGAUGCUUGAGACAUGGCUAGUGUUUUGUUCUUACGGUUUCGAACAAUUUGGAUUCCGAGAACGUAUUGUGCAUCUCCCAGAUCUUUCAUUUGAAAUUGCAUAGCUAGCCAUUUCUUGAUAUCAGUAAGAUAUCCUAGUCAUUUCCAAUAAGUAGAAUAUCAUCUACAUAUAAGACUAAAAAAUGCUAUAAUGGAAUUGACGACCUUUUGUAAACACAAGGCUCGUCAACAUUUUGUUCAAAGCCAUAAGAUUUUGAUCGCAAUAUCAAAUCUUAUAUUCCAGGAUCUAGAAGCUUGUUUUAAUCCAUAAAUGGAUUUUUUAAGCUUACAAACCUUUUGUUCUUGAUCUUGUUUUAUAAACCCCUCUGGUUGAGACAUAUAGAUGCUCUCUUCAAGAUUACCGUUCAAAAAAAGCUGUCUUGACAUCCAUCUGCCAAAUUUCAUAAUCAUAAAAAGUGGCGAUGGAUAAGAGUAUUCUAAUUGACUUUAACAUGGCAACAGGGAGAGAAAGUUUCCUCAUAGUCUACUCCCUCUCUCUAGGUAUAACCCUUUGCCACAAGUCGAGCCUUGAAAGUCUGUACUUUACCGGCAUGGUCUCGUUUUCUCUUGUAGAUCCAUUUACAACCAAUAGGUUUUACGUCAUUUGGUUGAUCUACUAGAGUCCAGACAGAAUUAAAGUACAUAGACUCCAUUUCGAGGUCCAUGGCUUUGAUCCAUUGGUCACAAUCUACAUCUUUCAUUGCCUGUUUAUAGGUUAAUGGAUCCUCUAUGCCAUCGUCAGGUAUGAUGACUUGAGUUUCAAUUAAACCCAAAUAGCGAUCAGGCUGAUGAACAACCCUCCCACUACGUCGAGGCUCUCUCAACUGUUGAGAAGGAUGUGAUUGACCAGAUUUCCUAGUCUUAUCAACUACCUUAGUGGCAUGAACUAGGUUUAUCUAUAGCACUUUUGGAAAUUUCUUUUAAUACUAGUUUACUACGAGGUUGAUGAUCCCUGAUGUGGUCUUCCUCUAAGAAUGUGGCAUUUGUUGACACAAAUAUUUUAUUUCUUGAGGAUCAUAAAACAAACCACCUCUUGAUUCUUUUGGAUAACCUAUGAAAAAGCAUAAUUUGAACGAUGUUUCAAUUUCUUAGGAUUUUGUACCAACACGUGUGCUGGACAACCCCAAAUUCUAAAAUGACGUAAACUCCUUUACGCCCUUUCCAUAGCUCAUAUGUGUUUCUGAAACACUUUUAGAGGGAACAUUAUUCAAAAUAUAACAGCUUUCUAAAGCAUAUCCCAAAAAGAAUCUGACAUCUGAGAAAAACUCAUCAUAGAGCGAACCAUGUCUAACAAGGUCCAGUUUCUUCUUUCUGAUACACCGUUCUGUUGAGGUGUACUAGGUGCAGAGAGUUGUGACUGGAUUCCAUUUUCUAUUAAAUAGUCUCGGAAUCGUAAGUCCAUAUACUCUCCACCUCGAUCUGAUCGAAGUAUUUUUAUUGUUUUACCUAAUUGUUUUCUACUUCAGCCUUAUAUUCUUUGAACUUUUCAAGACUAUUAGACUUAUGAUGUAUUAGGUAAAUAUGACCAUACCUUGAAUAAUCAUCAAUGAAGCUAAUGAAAUAUUCAUAUCCACCUCGAGCUUUGACAUUCAUUGGUCCACAAAGGUCCGAAUGUACGAGCUCUAAGGGUCUUUUGGCUCUUAGACCUUUUCCAGUAAAAGAUCUCUUGGUCAUUUUUUUCAAGACAAGAUUCACAAAGAGGUAAAGUAUUAUUUUCUAACUGAUUUAGAAGCCCACUUUUAACUAAUCUCCCAAUCCUAUUGAGAUUUAUGUGACCAAGUCUUAAGUGCCAUAAAUAGGCAUUAGAAGAAACUUUUUGUCUUUUAUUCUGAGUUUCAGCUGUUCUGAAUAUUUCAGUAUUUAAGACAAAAUUUGCUCUGGUUGGUCUUAACUUAUAUAAGUUGUCUUCAAGUAUAGCAGAACAAACUAGAAUACCUUUAUAGAAAACGAACGCUUCAUUAAUUUCAAAAGAUAUUCUAUACAUUUGUUCCAAAAUACAAGAGAUAGAUAUUAAAUUUCUUUUCAUUUGAGGUACAUAUAAGACAUUCUUAAGUAUGACAUAUCUAUCUCUAAAAAACAACUUUAAAUCUCCCACUGCUGAAGUUGAGACCAUCUCUCCUGUUCCAACCUUGAGAGUGAUCUCGCCUUCUGAAAGCUUUUUCAAGAACUAUUUUCCUGAAAUGAGAAGCAAAUAUGGUUUAGUGGCUCCUGAAUCUAGUAUCCAGGUACAAUUUUCAUAUUCCACUAAACAUGUUUCUACAACUAGUAAAUCAUAUUUACCUUGUGUUUCCUUCUCUGCCUUUUUUUCUGCAAGGUAUUUUGGGCAGUUUCUUAACCAGUGCCCGUUUUGGCCACAAUGGUAACACUUACCUUUUUCUGCACCUUUCUUACCCUUGUUCUGUUUGGGAGUCUUUCCCUUUCCCUUCUUUUUUAUUUGAGCAUUAGGUUUUGAGGGUCCAGCUUUGGUUUUAGAGGACGAUCCUCUUAUAAAUUUUCUUUUUGUGGUAGCAACAUUUGCUUCCACUUGUUUUCCUUUACCCAUAGUAAGGUUUUGGAAUCGCUGGAGUUCAUUCAGAAGGGUUGUCAAGUUAAAUUCUAUCUUGUUCAAAGACGCAUUCGUUUGGAAUGGAAUGAAGCUCUUCGGAAGAGACUCUAAGAUAAAACUAACUUGAUUAACCUCUUCGAUGGGACCACCAUUCACUUCAGCGAUGUUGAAGUGCAUCAUCAUGUCCAGAACAUGUUCUCUAACAGAGGUCCCUUCCUUCAUACGCUUAGUGUAAAUGUAUUUGACUGCCUCGUGUCUUAAGGACAAUUCUGGUUGCCCAAACAUUCCCCUUAAUGAAUUCAUAAUCUCUUUAGCCGUGGCUAAGGAUUCAUGUUUCUUUGCCAAUACAUCAGACAUGCUGGCAAGAAUGUAGACACGGCUUUUUCAUUAGCUUUUAUCCAUCGAUCAUAUGCAUCCCGACUAGUUCGGUUAUCAUUAGAGGCAGGGUUUUGAGGACAUUCCUCAGUUAAGACAAAUCUUAAAUCACCAACCACUAGUAUUGUGUUAAGAUUUGAUUUCCAAGCCGCAUAAUUAUCGCCAUUAAGUUUUUCGGAAGCUAAAAGUCGAACUAUUGAGCUAUUCAUGCUGAAAAACAAACAUAUUCCUUUUAGGAAAAAACUAUAAUCAUAAAAAAUAUCCAAUCUAAUUUAGCAAUUACUAAUAAUGUACCCUUUCAUUAUUUGUAUUUUGCAACAAUAUUUCAAAGGUUUAGAACAACCUUCUCCGAAGGGUAGUUGAUUAUUCCUCCUUUGAACCAAGACAAUCUUGACUAGAUGCUAUCUCUAGAAUAACUCUUUAUUCUUUAUAGCACUUAGUUAUCGCUACUUUAGUCAAGAAUAUACUAACAACUUAGUAAUUCUUGUAAGUGUUACCCACCAUUUUCAGAUUUCAUAGAUUAGAAUCAUUUAUGAAAACUAAUCUAAGAAAUCCUAUCCAGUUUUGGAGUUCGCGGUGUUCCGAAUCCUAUAAUACAACCCUCCGAAGGGAACGUCGCUCCAGGGCAGACAAGCAGGCAUAUUAUAGAAAUCUCACGGUGCGACCUAAUGGAAGAGACCGUGGGAUGUGCUGCCACAAAUCCCUCACCCACUUACUAUGAACUACUUCCCCUAUUCACCUUGAUUUUGAUCCAUGCAAACACUCUCCGAAGGGAGGCCGCUCCUAUGCACGGCACAAAGCCCUGCAUGGACCUCACGGUGUGAACUCUUAGGGACACUAGAGCUAAAAUACAUUAUUUUUCUCUAGUUGAAGUGUUCUAAAAGAAAAAAAUAGGGUAAUCCAAACUUCAAGAUUUAUAUUUAGGCUAACUUAAACAAAUCUUAAGUCUAGAUAAAACAUCCAAGUAUAACCAUUAUACAGGAUUUUAACCUAUGAUGUCUAGGUGAAAAACCAUUUUUAUUACCUCACACCUCUCACGAAUGCUCAUAAAACUAGGUUAACUAGGCUCAAGAACUGAUUACGAUCUCCAGGUAGGAGGUGUUCCGUAAACCGUCAACUUAAGAACCUCCAACCUUAGUCAUCUUAUCUGACUUGUUGACAAGAUUGAACCAGGUGAGCCUUUUGUAACCAGUUUUACAAGAUAUCGACCUAUUUCUAUGAAAAAUGGAAGAUAUGUUUAACCUAAGUGAGCAUGCAUUUAAUCUUUGUUAUUGAUUUUAAAAGUCUAAUUUAUUUUAUAACACUUAUAAAAACUUUUAAACUUAAUCAAUCAUUUUAUCAAUAUAUCUUAUAAAAACAAUCAAUUAAUAUGGAUUUUAAUUUAUUUAACUUUAAUUAAAUCAUAUUUAAUUAAAUUAAAUCAAACAAUAAUUAAUUAAUUUGAUUAAAUCAUAUUUAAUCAAGAAUAACUUAAUUAAUUAAAUAAUUAAUUAAUCAUAUUAAUUAAUUUCCAUAUUAAUCAAUUAACAUGCAUACAAUACAAUAUAACCUUUAUAUCAUACAUUUUAAUGCAUGAACAUGUUAACCUAUGGUGGGAUUUUAAAUCUAUAUGACAUUCAAAAUGCACAUACAAAUUUAAAGUAAUUUAAUCAUACAUCACAUGCAUAAAUAAAAAAAACACCCUAAAAUGGACUGAUUUUUGGCUCCUAAAUUAAGCUAAGUGCUAAAUUAUUACAUAAUUAAUUUGGUGUAGUACAGAACCACUCCCAAAAACUUCGAACCGGCUAAAAAACCAACCGAAACCGCUUGAACCGGCCCAAAAACCAAAUUUAUUGGCUUGAACCGGCCAGGCGCACACGGUCGUGCGAAGGCGGCGCGAGGCAGCGCGGGCAGCGGGCGCGCAGCGCAUGCGGAUGCGGCGCGCGGCACAGCGGCGCAGGGCGCAUGCAGGCGCGCGCGCGCAGGCGGCGCAUGCGCAGGCGCGGGNNNNNNNNNNNNNNNNNNNNNNNNNNNNNNNNNNNNNNNNNNNNNNNNNNNNNNNNNNNNNNNNNNNNNNNNNNNNNNNNNNNNNNNNNNNNNNNNNNNNNNNNNNNNNNNNNNNNNNNNNNNNNNNNNNNNNNNNNNNNNNNNNNNNNNNNNNNNNNNNNNNNNNNNNNNNNNNNNNNNNNNNNNNNNNNNNNNNNNNNNNNNNNNNNNNNNNNNNNNNNNNNNNNNNNNNNNNNNNNNNNNNNNNNNNNNNNNNNNNNNNNNNNNNNNNNNNNNNNNNNNNNNNNNNNNNNNNNNNNNNNNNNNNNNNNNNNNNNNNNNNNNNNNNNNNNNNNNNNNNNNNNNNNNNNNNNNNNNNNNNNNNNNNNNNNNNNNNNNNNNNNNNNNNNNNNNNNNNNNNNNNNNNNNNNNNNNNNNNNNNNNNNNNNNNNNNNNNNNNNNNNNNNNNNNNNNNNNNNNNNNNNNNNNNNNNNNNNNNNNNNNNNNNNNNNNNNNNNNNNAAAGGGAUAUGCAUCCAAGGAUGACUUAAGCAAUAUGAGGUAAGAUGUGCGGUAGAGUACAAGUGGACAACAUACAAGAUACCUAAGUUUUGCCAAAUAAGUGUCUUGCAUGAGGUGGAAAGUGCAAGUAUGGGCGUAAGAGGUGAGAAUAAAAGUGUCAACCAAAGAGCAUGCAAGGAUCACUAUAUGUACAACUUUGGACGAAUUAUGUUAACAAGCAACUUGUGUUAAUUGGGUAACUCUACUUCGAAAAUCUCCUAAAUUGAGUGUAGUAUCAGGAGAAAGGCUACCAGGAAGAAAGGCAUUGAAGUGAAGAAAGACUCAAAGGUCAUUUUCAGAAAAAAAAAAAAAAAAUUGAACAAUGUAGAGUAUUUUGGAAUUUUGUUUGUUAGUGACACUUUGUGGUAAGCUAGUGAAGACAUUCUAAGUAAGUUUGUAGAAGGAAUCUUAUUGAUUUAAGCUUCAAAGUCGAGUUAAGUUUCUGGUAGAAAAAUCAUAUUUCUAGGCAAGGCCAAGGGUGGGUUGAUUGCCAGGAUGACAAGGUGAGAUGAGCGUGUGUUUUGAGCGAAAGAGGUUAUUUAGGCUUGGGACAUGCAAGAAGCAUGUCCUGGCAUGAUCAAGCAGCCUGAGCCACGCGUCAUUACACACUCUAUUAUGAAAGUUGAGUAUAUUGUACUUGUGAAGCAGCAAAAGAAGCAGUUUUGCUGAGGAAGUUCUUGCAUAAUUUGGAAGUUGUUCCAAACAUGAACAUGCCCCAUCACUUUAUAUUGUGAUAAUAGUGGGGCAUAUUACUAAUCCAUUUACAAAGACUCUCAUGGCUAAAGUGUUCGAGGGUCUUCUAGAAAGUCUAGAUCUGCGAGUUAUGUACAUUAGGUAAUCUAGGAAAAGUGGCAGAUGUGUAAUGGGUAUGAGGAUGCCCUAGUUUAUUGUAUUUGUAUAUACACAUUUUAUGUAAUACACUUGUACAUUUUACCAUUUUCAAUGUUAGAGGAUUACUUUAUUAUGAACAUCCCAAAGAGACUAGAGUUUUAGUCCAAGUGGGAGUUUGUUGGAAUUUAUGUCCUAAAACUCGUAGAUUGUAAAUAUAAUCCAUUGACCAUUGUUAAUAAAGUGUUAUUAUUGUAAUAAUUGUUAUUGAUUAUAUUAUUAGUUUUGUCUUAAUAACUCAAAUCCAAUAAACUAACAUCCUAAACUGUUUAAUAAGUAUUGAAUAGUAUGUAGAGACAUACAUGGAUCAAUGUUCGAGAUUAGCUUAAAGGGUCUAUAGUAUAGGGAUAAGACUGGGUACCUUUAUCCUGGUAACAUUAUGAAUACGACUCACUUUGUAUUUGAUACAAAUACAAUGAUCCAAUGUGCUGUAGUUGACAUGCGAGUGAAGGUAUCCUAUGCAAUGAGAUUGCAAUAGACCAGACCGUGAAAUAGUAACCACUUGGUGUUACUACAUUAACUAGUUAGGUUUCUAUUUCACUAGGAUGACCUAUAUAACUUAGUCUUAAUCUUGAGUGUAUUAUGAACUCUUGUUCGCGAGAGAUUGUCCUUUGAUUUGUACGAGUGAGAGUGGCUAGAUCGCCGACUCAAUAAGCUUAUCAUUCACUACUACAAAAACAGACUCUCUUGACGUUUUUAAACUGUCAAGAAUCACUAUUCUUGACGGUUUUAAAACCGUCAUUGAAGCCAGCGUCAAGAAAGUCAAAGUUCUUGACGGUUAAUAAAACGUCAAGAAUAGCGAUUCUUAACAGUUUAUAAACGUCAAGUAUACAAAUAUUCAUGACAGUUAAAAAUCGUCAAGUGAAUGAGUAUUCAUGACAUUUAAAAACUAUCAAGAAUGUAAUUUAUGACAUUUAAAAACGGUCAAGAACACAAUUGUUUAUGACGUUUAAAAAACGUCAAGAAUUUACUUGUUAAUGACAUUGAAAAACCGUCAAGAAUGUAUUUGUUUAUGACAUUUAAAAAACGUCAAGCUUGUUUCAUUUUUUUUCUAAAUUAUAAUUUAUUUAUAUUUUUUUCCUGUAUUGUCUCUAUAAUUCCUGUAGUGUGGCCCAACAAUCUCAUAAAUAUGCACGAGUACAAUUCCAAAACUUUAACAUAUAUUAACAUUUAAUCAUAUAUGUAUGAACAUUUCGAAAACUUUACAUGUUUGUUCGAUAUUGUCAUAUACAAAACACUACUUCAGUCAACCCCAACCUAAUAUGAUAAUCCCAAAAUUACAAAACCAAUCCAACUAUGCUAUUCCAAAAAUCACAAGACUACAAUUCUAGUUCAAGAAACAAAAUCUUAAUUAAAGAAGCUUUGAAACUCAAUGAUCUUGGAUGAAUUUGACUUCAAAUACAAACUUGGAUUCCACAACCUAAACCAAAAUAAAAUAAUAUAUCAAGUUAAGAUGGAUUCACAUAGCAACAUUUUAUCAAAUGGUUGCAAUGUUUCAAAUAAGCAACAAUUAAAAUUCACAUAUCGAUUUGGCAUCUAUAAAUAUACAAACUAAAAAGUACCUAAAUGUCAAUUAUUUACCCAAUAAGGCUAACUAAGUAACCAACCUCUAAUAUGUUUUGCAAUGAAAAAGGUUGCCAUAUUGUUAAUUUGGCCAUAUUGUGAAGGCAACCUCUUAGAUGUGUUUGUGAGAAAUGAAAGAAAUACCAAAAUAAGUAUGGACUAAGAUAGUAUCAAAUAAAGUUAAAGUUGAAUUUUAAAGCUCUAUUUUUUUCAAGAUAGAGAAAUUUCAGCUAAAGAGGAAAACACUAAGGACAACAAGCAAAAAAGUCUAACAAAUAUCAAAAGAGAACAUGCAGGAAAGAAAGAAUGUAAAUAAGGUUUUAUCCGCACCAAGCAAAAAAGUCUAACAAGUAUCAAAAGCUUUAUAAGUUGUACUAGAAUUCAAAGCUCUAAACUCUAAAGAAUGUAAAUUUCUUUGAAGAAAUUUGUGUAUAAAGGUCACACAGUUGAAAAUUCAAUACCUUUUCAAGAAUGUUGUUGAGAAGAUUAUUGUGAUGAAUCUUUGAAUCCAAAUUAUGGAGACAAGAUAAAUAAAUGAGUUUGAUUCUAACUGACUGAAUGGGAGUUAAGAAAAUAAGAACAUUGGAGUUGAAUUAUCAGCAUUUAUUUUAAUCAAACUUACGAUAGCAAACCAAAUUAUAGAGAGAGAUCAAAUGCUAGGAUAAAGGAAUAGUCUUACAUUUGGUGAGUUCCCAAAUGUUGUGGUAGUCACGAGAGUUAUUCCACUCGAAUUGUCUUAGACAAGAGGCUUCCAUUCAGCAAGUACUGGUGAGAAUUAAAGUGGAAUGACAAACUUAAAAACACCUAAUCUUUAACAAACUUUUUCGACUUUUUGCAAUUAUUUUUUAACACAAGAUAUCAAAACACACUUAAAAACCAUAACAACCAAUUACCAUAAAACGGUGUCCAAUAACAAUAAUUGGGUCAACCCAAACAUCAUUAAAUUCUUGGGAAAGGUUGUGGACUAGACCUUCACCAUCUUGCCCCUAAAACAAGUUAAAGCUUAAGGAAAGAACACAGUAGAAACAAAAAUCAUAAACUCAUCAGUUAGAUAGUAUUGGUGGUCAAAACCUCAAGGUCUCACUUCUUCCAUUUUAUAUUACCAAAUUUGAAAAUGAUUUUUAAUAUAUGAUCAUUACUUGAAACAUGUUGGUGUACAAGUGUGAAUGAAACUAAAUCAAGUUUGUGUUUUAUGUUAUUGUUUUUCAGUAUGCGUAUAUUUAUGUGCUAUGCAAUCCAGAAGGGGGAAUGCAACUAUACCUAAUUCAUAAUUGUAUUUGGAACACUAAUGAUUUUAGCACAAAUUCCAUCUUUCCAUUCUCUAAGACAUAUAAACCUUAUCUCCCUCACUCUAUACCUUGGCUAUAGUGCUCUUGCAACAUAUUAAAAUUCUCGUAAUUAAAAAUUCAUACACAAUUUAAAUUAAAUUAAACAUCAAGACCCCUGACGAAGAUGAAUCUCUGUUCAUUUUUCUUUUUAUUAACAAACAAAAGUUUUUAGGUCCACUUCUUUCAACAACCUCAAGGAUCCUUAAUUAUCUCUUUCCAAGUUCAUAACCACUCUAGUCAUGCAAAGAUUAAGGUUCAUGGCCAAUCAACAAUUAAUCUGUGAUUAAGAUAUUAUGAACGUUAUUCACAUAAAAACAUGAAAAGAUUAAGAGCAAAUAAUCAGAUGCAUUACAAAGAAAAUUCAUAAACUUUGUCUACAUCUAUCCCUAGGAUUAAGAGUUUAGCUACCCCAUACUUCACAAUCUAAAACACAAAACUCAAUACAAUACCCAUAACAAAAAUUCAAGAGAAAGAAAAAGAAGAAGAAAAGCUAGUGAUUCGUAUUAUUAUAAUACUGUGUAUAACAGUAUGUGUUUUUUAAUAUUCUCUGUUUCCAGCUCCAGUGUACCAAAAUAUUAUCACAAACUCCACAAUCCUUCUCUUUCCAAUCCCUAAACUAACCAAUGAAUCAUAUUCGCACGCUUGGUAGCCUUGUUCAAAAUAUUAUAUAUUACAAUUAUAAUAACUUGUAUCCCCCUUUUCAAGCCUAAAAUGCAAAACCUUUCUUCCAUUCUCUAAGGCAUAUUUCCUCUUCUUUAAUUUUGCAUUCCAAUUUUAAAUUACAAAUUACAAAUUUUAAUCACAAAGGAAAAAAGGAAAAUUAUUACCUUUAGAAAGGGAAGAAAAUGAAUGAGUAACCAUGAAGGAUUUGGAAACGAAUAGAGGUUUAGCGAAAGUGGAAUGCGACAGAAGGACGGUGAACGUGUUUACUCGUUUUCGAACAGAGAAUGUGUUUACGCAUUUCAAACGGUGAACAGACGGACGCAAAUCAACGAAGGUGAAGGAACGCAAAGCAGACGAACGGUGAGACGGUGAAUGCAAAUGAAUGAAGGUGAACGCUGAUGAACGCGAAGGGAAGUCUUUUUCGGAUGAACGCAGAUGAAUGCACAAUGAACGCGAAGGGAAGGUUAGGUGAACGACACUUUUGAUUUCGGGUGAGAAGGGACAAGUCGCGGCGAAUUAGGUUUAAUUAAGAAAAGGGAAGUGAUCUAAUUGAAACGUUGCGUUUUGUAAAAGAAUAUUAACACAAUAAUUUUUUAGAAAUUUCUUGACGUUUUUAAAACGUCAAAAACAAAUUAAAAUUUCUUGAAGUUUUUAAAAACCAAUGAUUUUUUAGAAUUAUCUUGACGUUUUAAAAACGUCAAGAAUUUUUUAUAAAUUUCUUGACGUUUUUAAAAAUGUCAAGAACUUUUUAGAAUUAUCUCGACAUUUUAAAAACGUUAAGAAUUUUUUAAAAUUACUUGACGUUUUUAAAACGUCGAGGAAAACUAUAUAUUAUUGACGUUUAAAAAACGUCAAGAAUGUUGAAUUCAUAAACAUUCUUGACGUUUUUUAAACGUCAAAAAAUUAUUAGAUAUUUCUUGAUGUUUAAAAAACGUCAAGAAAAAAUACAUCUUACUUGACAUUUAAUAAACGUCAAAAAGUUGAAAAUUGGCCUUUCAUAAAAAAAAUUUAACGUUUUUUUAUUUGAAAUCACAUAUUUCUUGACGUUUUUGGGAUUAUAAUUGCACAAAAUGGAAUUCACUCAUUUCCUACUUUAGGGUAAGUAGAUGAAUGUUAGCUUAAAUGGUGUCUCUAAAACUUGAACAAAGGGCCUUACCCUCUCUAUGACAUGAGAGGGGUUUCUGUUUACUAGUAGGAUCAUAAAUAAGUUGUUCAUUAGAGGAGCACUGGUUUUUAAGGAUUAGAGGUAACAUAGGGGUAAAGCGGUAAAUUGAUCCAACUGGUGUUACAAACACUCGUGAAGGACUAACUUACUAUUAUUGGUCUAUAUCCGUGGACACAUAAAUAUAUUUAUAGUGAGAAGAGUUCAGUUGUGAGUCUUUAGUGGAGUGUACACACAGCUAAUGAAUAUUGAUUAAGGUGGUUAAUGAGUUUAGUCAAUUAAUCUUAGAUCGUUGUAGCUUUUGAUCUGUAGGUCCAUUAGGUCCCUUCCUAGCUCGUAAAGGGUAAUGAGAUUUAUUUAUAUUGGUUGUAAUUUAAAAUAUUUAAAUUUAACUUGGGAAUUAGUAUAAUGUAUAGUAAUACAUUAUAAUAUAAAGUUUAUCAAACUUUACUAUAUAAAUUUAACUUUGGGGAUGAUUCAAAAUUAAUUUAUGAGAGAUAAAAUAUUUGAAUGAGUUCAAAUAUUAAUUUAAUGUGAAUUGGAUUCAUAUUAAAAUUAUUGAGAGAAACUUAUAUUUGAAUAUGAUUCAAAUUUAAUUUAAGUUAAAUAUAAGAUAAAUAAUUUAGUGUUAUUAAUUAAUUGGAGAAUUAAUUAAUAGUUUAGUUUAAUAUUAUUUAAUUAAAUUUGAUUUCAUUAAUUAUUAACUAAUUGAUUAAUGCUUAAUUAAUUAGUAGAUUUGAAAUAUAUUUUAAUUUAAUUAUUUGUAAAUUAAUAGAAUCUCAUGGUUCUCUUCUACUUCAUUUUCUAUUCCAAGAAGGAAAGAGAGUUAUAAUAUCUAGAAGAAAACAAUUUUCUUAAAAAAAUGAAUUAAUAAAAAAAGAAAAAUAAGGCUAACACUAUUGCUCUUUGCAAAAAGAAAAAAGUUUCUCUCUCAAAUAUCUCUAAACUUUUUCCCAUCCCAAUUGGUUCCACAAACCAAUCUCAUCACAGAGGUACUCUUUGCAAUUUAAGUUGUCUUUGCAAUGGACAGUCUUCAAAGUUUUUUUUAACGAUGUUUCCAAUGCUUUCCUUUUUCUCUCAUGUGUAAUAAAACCAAUUUCUCUUAAAACCUGUAGGGAGGCUACAUCAUGUAUCGAACUUCAUACAACUGACGUGUUCAUCGAGUUACAACAAGUGCCGCACAAUAGUCUGUUUCGUGUUUGAAAAGUUGUAAUUGUGACACACUGCACAUGAGGUUAGCACGAGACAUGGCAAGGCAAGCCCUACGCGCGCAUGCCAACUCCUGCCCACAUAUUUUGUACGAAGCUAAUGUCUUUGGGCUGUUUUUGUGGUUUUUGGAAAUUUUAAGCAAAGUUUUGAUAUUUUUAUAAUCAAUGAGAAUUAAAUGGAAUUAUUUCCCAUUAUUUUCAUUAUUUUAGAUCUGAAGGAGAUCGAACAAGUUUAUAGCCAAGGGUCUAAGCUACUCUCUAUAAGUGACAAAAAUGAGUUUAAAAUUGAUUUCUAAACAUAAAUUUAUUAUCAAAUGUUUCAAGCAUGCUUUUAUGUUUGAAUAUUUGAGGAUACUGACUUAUAAACUAUUUCCAAAGCAUGAAUUUAGAAACAUUUUGGUAAACAUGUUUUUUAUUGAUGAAUUUACUAAUGAAAAUUAUAAGCAAUCAUGAUUGUGCUAAGUUUUCAAAAUGUUUAAGCUUGAAAAUAAUAUUAGCAUGUUUUAGUCUAUACCUAAAAUAUUCUAAGAUAUAUAGCAACCCUUCGGAGAGAUUUUCUUGUGCAUAGAGGUCAUUUGAUUUGGAUAUUCGGUAAAUACCUAGCUUUCCAUCAUUGGUACUAGAUAAGAGUUGAAGACUUCUAAAGAUGCUUUAGUUCCUAUCUCAAGGAACGAGAGCCUGUACGAAUGCCUAGUUUUCCAUCUCUUUAUUAUAACGAGAUAGGGCACAAUUGGCCUAGAGUUUCAUCUCGUAAGUAUCGUAUCACGGGAUAGGCUUCUAUGCCUAGUUUAUUGUUUUUCAUCUCGACGAUUCUAGGUAUAGCAACUGAAAGGGAAAGUUUGAGAUAAGUUGUUUGAGUUUGAUUUCAUUUAUGUUAAGAGUUAAUUGUUAAAUACUUAUUGUUUCAAAAUGAUGUUUUAUAAAACCAUCACUCAUUGGGCUAUUUGGCUCACUCUUUGGAUAAAUAUGCCCAUAUGGAUUAUGUUGUUUGGAAAAUUAAACUGUGCUUUAGUACUUCAAAGAAAACUUCCCUCCCAUGUCCUCUCACCUCAUGUCUGCCCCAUUUGUGUUGAUAACAUGAAAAAUAUUUAGCACUUUUUAUUGCCUAUCUUUGUAUCGAAAUAUUGGUUCCGUCUUCUCCAAACAUUCAAUAUUUGUUGGGAUUUUUUUCUCAAUCAAGGCUUAUUCUUCUUUGUUCUCGACCUGCUACCUAUGAUAUAUGAUUUUGUUUUGGACAUAUUAUUUUAUCAUUUUGUUUGGUUUUAUAUUUGUGGCUUUUGUUUUGUUUUAUUUUUAUUUUUUUUUUUUUGAAAAGGAGACAACCUCUUUAUUAAUAUUAAAAUAUUAAUAAUAAUUAGACAAAAGCUCAUAGUACAAGAGAGUUAUACAAUGAACAUGUAACCAUGGAUCAGGGGGUGCACCUUGGCAUCUCAACUAGGUUGACACCCCCAUAGCACCCUCAUCAUAUCCAACCAAGCUAAAACCCAUAACAAAGAGAGUAAUGUCCAAAGGCAAAACAAACACAAAAAAGCCUUCUAUUUGUGGCUUUUGGUUUUGAUCUUGUGUUGUCGCUUUUUGGAUGUGAUGAGGGCGCUAAGGGGUGUCAACCUAGUUGAGAUGUCCAGGUGCGUCUGUUGAUCCUCCAUCAUAUUGCUCUUUGUAUAAUCCUCAUGGCAUUGAGCUUUGUCUCUUCAUUUUUCAAUAUUAAUAAUAGUGAGACUCAUAUCCUCUUUUUUUUUUAAAAAAAAAAUAUGGGUUAAUUUGAUAAAAGUGUUGCUAGCAGAGAUUUGGUUUGAGCACAACCAACACAUUUUCCAUGAUAAGAAAAAGGAUUUGCGUGGUGAAAAUAGAUCUAUUAGAUCUCUUGGAGCAAUAAAAAAGAAAUCAGAUCUUUAUGUGAAAGUCGAACUUUUUUUAUGGAGCAUUGUGAAGAAAAGACUUUACUUUUGGGCAACAUUGAAGUUGAGGCAUGGUUGUGCGCUUAUUAUCAAAAGUUGUCCCCUAACGAUCAAACUGGUUCACUGUUGCGAAAUGGUGGGUUAGUUUAGGACAUGUCAUUAUUCUCGAACCUUCAGAUAAAUCUCCUUAUCUUAGGGGAUUAAAAGUUGUUCAACACAGGCUUGAAACAGACAUGUAUAGGGCUUCUAUAUUUUCCCAUAAAGAGCCAAUGAUUGAUUAUAUAUUGGUCUGUUUUGCAAAGGGAAAGAUUUCCCUAACACGUAUUGUAAAAAAAUAUGUAGUUGGCUAGUAGUGAAAAGUUAGCAAGGCUAUUCAUGUUUCUCUUGGUGUUCCCUCUCACUCAUCUUGAAGCUUAUUGUGGACAUUUUGUCAACUUACUUUGGGUUUCUUUUGUCUUCUGUUUUAAUUAAUUACUUCGUACUUAUUUUACAUUUUAGUUUUCAUCAGUGCGUCCUGGAUAGAGGAUUUUGUUUAGCUCGUUGUUAUUGUUAAUAAAAUUGAAAUGCCAACAAUUACAAUUCUUGAGAACGGACUCAUCUGUUUCCAAUUCAGAUGCCCAAAAUUUGUUGAAUGGAUCCUAUCUCGUGGAUCGCGACAUCUUGUUGGCAAAAGUAUGCUCCUCCGUAAUCAUUGAGUUCAGGUUUGUGGAUAUAUUUGUGAUAUAAUUGAUGAAUAUGUGCUUAGCUUUUAAGUGGGGGGUGGUGAAUAGCUUACUUAGCUUGCAUGUUUAAGUCUAACUUUGUCAAAAUGACUCAUUUUUAAAUUAAACCUUUGAAGAUGUAUUCGAAACUUACUCUAGUUCUAAAAUUAGGAUUUUUAAAAUUAAAAUGAAUUUGGUUGAGAAGUACAAAUAAUAUAAAGAAAUUAAAACAUUAAAAGAAAAAGACUAAUUGCAUCAAAUGACAAAAAAAAAAAACAUUUAGAAAAAAUAGUUCAUGACACCUAUUUUUUGCAUAUUACGAAUAUGACAAAAUUAGUGAUAUUAGAUGACUAUCGGACAAUAAUCAUAGGGUUAUCAACUUUUAAAUUUACUACUUUUAAAAUUUAGAAAAUGUAGUGACAUGAGUCAUGUGAUUAUAAAUGUUUUUGUUAUUUUUGCAGGUUCCAAAGAAAAAGGAAAAAUGUAAGAUGUGAUUGAUAAUAUGUGAAAAAAGGAAAAAAAUUGAAGAAAUAAACUAAAAGUAGAAGGGAUUAAAAAAAAGAGAAAGGUUGAUUCCCUCACCUCAAAAAAAAAAAAAAAAAAAAAAAAAAAAAAAAAAAAAAAGAGAGAGAUAGAGUAUAGACUCUGCUAAAAGAAUAUAUAACUUGAUAUAUCUAAUUUGUUUAAAAACGACCCCGCUUGUAAUUUUUCUUUUCAAAAAUCACACGACAUCUUUUUGGAAAGAUUUUUUAGAGAAGCAUGCCAAUACCUUCAUCCUAAGUAUGUAGAUGUAUUUAUGAAUAAUUUUUAAAAGUUGAAAACAAUUGUUUUUAACUUUUCAAAGUUUAAGGUUAUUUUUUUACACAAACUACAAAAUUCAAAAGAUUUUUUUUAAUUUAACUAAAUACUGUUGUAUGUGUAUAUAUAUAUAUAUAUAUAUAUUAGUUAUCUUUUUUAGUCCUAUAUUGUAAAAAAAUAUGAUUGUUUGUUGAAAAAAAAAUGACAAAACAAUGGACCAAUGGACAGCUAAUAAGUCGGUGAACCGAAUACACAAAAUUCUCUAAAUCCAAUUAAGCAAGAUUUCAAAAAAAAAAUCUAAUAAAAACCCUACAUGUACAGUCUCUCUCAUUUAAAUUUCUUUCUCCUCUUCUCUAACGGCCAAGUCUCCCUCUCCUCCCUCUCCUCCCCCUUCUCUCUUGCUCUCUUGUCUUCUUUGGCCUAUCUCUCAAUUUCCGUUUCUGUAAGGAAGAAACCCUAUCAUACCCAUUUCGCGGAUCCAUCUCCAUCUUCGUCGGAUCCAUCUCCAUCUUCUUCUCUUAGUCGGAUCCAAUCUCCAUCUUCUUCUCUUAGUGCGUCCUUUCCAUUUCUUCGUACACUCCAUUUUUCCUUUCUCUUCUCAAAACCCUAAGGCCUAUCUCUCAAUUUCCGUUUCUUUAAGGAAGAAACCCUAUCAUACCCAUUUCACCGAUCCAUCUCCAUCUUCUUCUCUUAGCGCGUCCUUUCCAUUUCUUCUUCUUCUUCUUUGUUCGUACACUCCAUUUUCCCUUUCUCUUCUCAAACCCUAAUUCUCUUUAAUUAAUUAAUUCCCUCUCCUUUCUCUCUCACUUCCUCCCUCUUCCAUUAAUGGCAGGUUCUCCUCAUCUUCCUCCUUUCUCCAGUGUUGAUUCCUCCUCUACUUCGACUGUGAUGCUCUUUUCUUCUUCCCUCGCAAUUUCGAUUCCACCAUCGUCACCGAUUUUGGUUGCAAUUUCUACUCUCUUCAACCUCAACCUUCUGGAUUCCCUCACUCUCACCGGAUUGACUUCAAUGUCCUUGGAACCUCCACUACUACUACUAGUACUCCACUCAUCAAAGAAUCCGCUGGAUUAUCAGACGCUCCUCUUCCUUUCCUUUCUAAUCCUUGUCUCUCUUCCAACUCCAGUGGUGAGCCCCCGAACAAAUCGCAUUACUCCGUGAGUUCCCAAUUAAUUCCAUCUUUAUUUAAUAUUCAAUUCCUCUUUCCAUUUGUUUCAAUUAUUGAAUAGAAAGUUAAUUGAAUGAACUAUGUUCCAAUAAUUUCAUGUGGUUCUGGUAAAGCACAGUGCAUCCGGUCGAACUUCCCCCAUUAUGUAAUUUUAUGGAGGUAGUUUUGUAAAUUGGAUUGAAACAGGGGCUAUUCAAUGUGUAUGCAUUAAAAUAUAGGGAUUGUUUUUCAAUUAAAUAUAAAUCGAUUGAGCCUCUGAUGUGCUAGUAAGCAUCAGAUCUCCUCUGUGUAUAUAUAGUUAGGUACUCUUCUUUUUUUUAUAGGUUCCGUCAUAUAUAUCACGGUCUGAAGUUGUAGCUAAACUUGCUUUCAUCUUCAGUUUCUAUCACUAUUUAAAGGUCAGAUUUUGUUCGAUUAGAAGAAUGUAAAUUUGUCAAGGACAAUAGCAUGCUUAGUUUAAUUGUACUCAAAUAUUGUUACUAAAAAAUUGCUUUAUUUGUGUUGAUACCAUUAUUUGUGUGGUAGAUCUCUUGAUUCAUUUUGAUGUUUGUAUUUUGAAGACAUACAAAGGUCAUAAUACUAGUUGCUAUUCUUUUUAUCUUGGUACGUUUCAUUUUUUUUUAAUAUUUCACUGUCUCUAUAAUUGAUUGUACAAACAUAUCUCAUCAUUCAAUCACUUUUCAAGUUUUAGAUUCUGAAAUUUGUACAUAUUGGGGUUUUCCUUUUUCUUUAUUUUGGAUUAUUUCAAAUCUCCAAAGAUCUUUCUUGUAACAUUUGCAUAUUUUAGUUUGUUAAAAUCUUCGAAAGUAGAGGAGAAGGCUCCAAAAGCAUUCUGUCUCUCAUUGCCUUGCCCUAACAUUAUCAUCUGUGUAAGAUGUGCCAAUGAGUAGACCAUUUUCUUUUUUUUUUUUCCAUAGCUUUUGAACCACUUUCCCUUUCUCUCCUUCUCUUUCAUUCUUCUUUUAUGUUAAUUGGAAGAAGCUUUGAGGCCUCUCUUGAAAAUAAUGAGGUUUUGAAGGGGAUAGAAAGAGAGUGAUGGUGGGAUCCAUCAAAGGUUUGGGAUUUCACACAAUGUUCGCAUCACUCUUUUAAAUGUAAUUAGAGGUUGAGGAGUUGAUCGCGCGAUCAUAGAUAAGGAGGGGCUGGUUAGUGGCUUGGAAAAAAUUCAGACAACAUUAAUUUUUUCUAAAAAAUAAAACCAACCUUCCGACGGUUGGUUAACACUCCUCGACAGUCGAGAUAGGGUAAGACUUGUAUUCUGGUUCUGUUGAUACCUAUAUUUGUGCUUCAUCACUUUAUAAUUGUACUUUUAUUUAUCCCCUUUGUAUAUUUCCAUGUGUUUCAUGUUUGUCUUUUAUGUUUUUCUAUUUAUAUAUUUCUUCAUGUUCUUCUCCAUUCGGGUUUGCUCUUGCGGAGGUUACACAUUCAUUGUUGUGCUGGUACUUUAGUUAAUGAUGUCUAGUAAUUUUUGUUUUGCAAAUUUUCUUGUUAGUGCUCAAGUUUGAUUUCAUACUGCCUUUAGCAUAGCUUUACGACUGCAGAAUUCAAUUGCACAUUGCCCUUUUUUAUUUUGUUAUUACUGAUGGACUUAUUUGUGAUACCUUUAAAGAAGAAAAUUUAUGGCUAUUUGUGUUGAAGUUUAUUUGUUGAUUAUUGGUUGGUUUUUUCCCUCCACUUUUCUUAAUAUUUUGAAGUGUGUAAUAAGGUAAGCAAUUUUUUAGUCCCUAAAUUUGUUUUGUUGAUGAAUUGUUUCCUUUUUUUUCUCGGUUUUGUUUUCAGGUUUUCAUCAUUAUUCAUUUGGUGGCUAAAUAUUACUCAUGGAUAUUUGUUCGAUCUUAUUUUGUUGUGAUCAAUUGAUAUACAUAAUAUGCACUAUAAAUUUGUUAAAUUGUUGGAUUAUUUGCUUUUUUAAUAAGGUUGGAGGAACCUCAAGGUACGUUUUGUUAAAGCAUAUUUUAUAUUGAUAAAUUUGAAGUUGUCAAGUCUAUAACAAUGAUAAUGUUAAUACGAGUAAAUUUAUAGCAAAUUUAGUUGACUUAACUUAUUUACAUGCUGGUUGCUCGGAGUCUUGGAAAAACCUUACGUGCAUUUUAACCCACGAUAGAGAACUUAAGGUUGUUAUGACUUACAUAUCAGUUUUUGAGAUUUUCCUUUAUAACUUUUUCAUAGACCUUAUUGUAGUUUUUGUUCUUCAUUUUUGUUUGUAGGACGUUUCUAGAGAAUGCAAGACCAUGUUUGAGUGAGAAAUUGGUCUCGAUGAAAUUGAGAGUUCAAUGAACAGCACAUACAAUGCAAGUAAAUCUACCUACUCAAACCCAUAUUCUAUUUCUAAAGUAGAAGGGCUUUCGGUGGCUGAACCAAGUGAGUGAUUAAGUUUUUAUCACUCGUAUUAUUUGUUAUCACUAGGGAAAGAAAGUUGAGUAGAAAAAGUAGAAUGCCAAAUGGAAAAAAAAAGAUUAGUAAGCAUCGUUAUUAUUUUAAAAUAGAAAAAAAAAUUAACAUGAUUGUUAAACCGAGCCAUUCUCGAGAACAUGAAAUAGAAUUGGAUAGCUACCAUACAUCGUGUCUAUGAAUGUUAAGAAUGAAACUAUCGGUAGGGUUAUAGAAUAAUCAUUCUAUCAGCCUCAAUUAUGAUACAGGGUUUAUGAAAUAUAAUUUUUUUAUGUACUGUAAUAGUAGAAGAUUCUUCGUUAGGAAGCAAAGCUUAUAGCUUUGAAGAGUAUCUAAAGGUUACAGAAGAGCAACUGAAAGCUUACAAUCAGCUCCAAACCAAUUUUCCAGCACAAAGCCAGAGUGGAUCCCAAGUACAACGGGAAGGUUGUUAAAAUCAAAUCUCUUAUGUCUUAUUUCAUAACUAUUUAGUUUUGAUCUUAACUACAACAAUUUUCAUUUUUUUCUAGGUGAACAUUGUAUGUGCUUAGAUAUUAAGUGUUUUGAAAAUUAGAGGUGAGCAAUCACACUUAGAAACUAAUUGUAGAACCAUAGAAAUGUUACCCCAUUGGUUCUAGCAACGCCUAGUUACCGCAGUUCAUAACAAAGAAAGAAAAGAGGCUCGUAAAUGCAGACCAUAAAAAAGUGAGACAAUCAACAAUUAUAAAAAAAAACAUAUGCAAUAUGCAUUAAAAAAAGCUCAUAAAAAAUAUAGAGUCAAGUCGGUUAGGUCAAGUAGAACCUGUUGAGUUCCUAGCUAUUAGAGCUUUUGGGGGAAAACAUCGCUUUUGGCCUAACCAAAACUAGACCAUCUAUUUUUAGUGUUUUAAACAUAACGUCAAGUUUGAUUGAGGACUUUGAAAAGAGGAGGAAUCCUCCUCGAUCCACAGUAGUAGGAGAAAACGAGGCUUGUUGUCACUCCGAAGGAGAAGUCAAACUUAGAAACUAAGUCUAGAACCAUAGAUAGGUUACCCCACCGGAUCUAGGAAGACCUAGUUACCACAUUGUACGUACCAAAGAAAGAAAAGAGAGACUUGCAAAUGUAAAAUGUAAAACAAUGAGACAAUUAGGAACUAAAAUAUAUAUAUAUAUAUAUGCAAUAUAGAUCAGAAAAAAACGCAUAAAAAAUGAGUAGAAACUUCACUUUUGGAUAGUUAUGUUGUUAUGGUUUCAUCACUCGCAUAUUUGUUGGAAAACUUCCAGUUUGGUUCUUUUACAAGAACAUCUAUUGAAUCGAUUAACCAUUCUAAUUGGGUCUUGGAUAAAUUGAGGAUUAAGUUUACAAGAACAUCUUGUAUAUGUAUUUCUUUAGUGAAUGCAAUAAGUUAUUUUGAUUCUCUCUCAAACCUCUAAGUAUUUUACGUAUCUAAAUCAUAUCCCCUCCCUAGAUUUUUGUGUAAUUUGUGUUACAUAUUGACGACCCAGAUCAGUUUAUUAGACAAGUUUGAUGCUUCAUUUAUUUCCUGGAUUGAUGGCUAAUGAAAAACUUCUGGUACUCUUCUUCAAUCCUCUUUAAGUUGUUUAAGAGACCUUAGCUUCACACAAUUUGUACAUUGAGAUGAUGGUCUAUUAAUUUGUGAAUUAUAUACAUAGCAUAACAAAUAUUAUUUCUUUCAGCAAUGGGAUAAUUGUUAUGCUUUAUAGAUAUAUAUAUUUUUUAAAGUUCAUUGUAUUUUCUUCUUCCAACUACAGGUUGACAUGAUUGUCUUGACAGAUGGAAGUCGUAUUCUUGGCCGGUGACCUUGGAGUUCAGGGAAUAGGAAUAUCUACAGGAAAGCUGGAUAUGUAUGUUGCUGUUGCUGGCAUAAACCCUCAAAGAGUAUGUUUUUCUUAGACAAGCUCAACGCCCCCCUUCAUCCAAUGGUUGUUUAUCCAACUUGAUUUCAAUCAGUUGUGGCUAUUUUUUAAUUGUUUAUAGGAUGUCUGCAUUCAGAUUGUUUUAUCUUCUCAUGUUGGGCUACUUCCAAGAAAUUUUUUAAGCGAAGGGUGGAUAAUAGCUCGCUUGUUUAGUCUAAACUUGGGGGAUUUCAAAUUUUGCCCAAAUUUAAAAUUUUUCAAAAGUUUUUCAUUACAAUAACGAGCAUCAUAACUUCUUAGAUCUUGCAUAAAAGGCAUGACUGUCAACCCUUGAGCAAAGCUCGGGUUUGUGACAUGAGAUUCUGAAUUUUGAGAAUAAGCUUAUGUCCUUUUUGUUUUUGCUAAGUUUCAACUAAUACACUCGUAUUUAUCUUUGUGCUUAUGUGAUAGAUUUGUUAUGCACUGUAGUGAUGUGGGGUGUUUCCUUAUUUUCUGCAUCUUAACUACCUUAUUUCCUGCAUUUAAUACCUUAUUUCCUGCAUCUUAAAUACCUUAUUUUCUGCAUCUUAAAUACCUUAUUUUCUGAAUCUUAGUUGGUACUGAAAUUUGGUUUGUUUCAGUGAAAGAGGCACUAUCAGCAUUGACAUGUACAUGUGAUUUUAGGCAUGAACCAGGAGAGUGAGAGUUUUAGUGUGCCGUGUUUAGAAUUUGCCGAUAUCUUUUUCCCGUUCCAGCAAGUAUUCCUGAUUGUGGGGGUAACUCUCAAGUCUGCAGUCUUUUCUUCAUGAAAUUUGUAGAUUAUCUAAGAAUACUAAUAUCAUUUAAUGUUGACAUUUUUUUAGCAACUUUUCUUAACCCCACUUUUUGAAUUUCAUUAAGUUUACUCUUGUUUAAUUGACAGAUUCUUCCAGUAAUGCUAGAUAUUGGUACUAACAACGAGAAGUUACUUAAUGAUUCUCUUUGUAAGUGAAAGGGAAACCUUCAUGUCGUUUAUCUCCAUAUUUUCCAUGUAAUAUAUUGUGCUUAUAUUGAUCUGUUUCUGUUGUCAAUGGCGAUAUAUUUGGGUUUUUGUUGUUGUUGGUGGUGGUGGUGAAAUAUUUUAUUUAAGUCUCUAGUUAAUAUUUAUGCUUACUUAACAGAAAAUUUGUUGCUUGAGCUUGCUUCAUUUGGUUCUUUUACUUGUUUAAGUCCUCCUCUAACUAAUUAUACAUUUCGUCCUUUUACUUGUUUAAGUCCUCCAAAAAGUAUUCAUUACUUUAAUAAAUUCCCUCACCAGCAUCAUCACCUCUUAUUCAACAAACUGUUUUUUCCCAAAAGCAAAAAAGGAAAAAAAAAAAAGAUAAAGACAAUCAAGAACAACCAUCAACUACAUGAAAAAAAAAAGAAAAGAAAAAGAUAGCUGCGAAAAACAUUACUACCCAUUUUCAUUAUCAUCAUCCUCUACUAUGCUUUUCCACCUUCUUCUAACCCAUUUUUCCAUUGCAGGAUUUAUUGGAGUUGAGGAGUCCCACAAUCUUUAUGUUCUGUUUGUUUUUCCAUCACUUUUUCAAGGCUGUUCAAUUGGAGUUCCAUCUUCAGGUAAUAUUAAUGUGUUUGUUUCUAAGAUAAUUUUGUUAAACACUUGUUUUUGUUGUCCCCAUCCACCAGCUGUUUGAUGAAAUGCCGCAUUGAAUAAUUUUGUGGGUUCUUGGGAAGCUGUGAUAUAUGUGUUGUGGAAUUUGUAUAAUUAGUUAGAGUGAUUUAGGAAAACUUUUGUAUUUGUAGUUGAAUAGAUAAUUCAUUCCAUAUUUAGAGCAUGAUUAAGAGUUAUUUUGAAAUUGUUAAAAUUACUUCAAAAGAUAUUUGGAUAAUUUAAAUGACUUUCUAUUGUAUGUUGAUCACGUUUGAUAGAUCGAAAACUUUUCUUCUUCUUCUUCUUCUCGUUUCUUCCUGCUGCCUAUUGACCUGCAACUUUGAGUGUAGUUGCUUGGCUGUCUAAUUGCCACCACUAAAGUCACUCCUUCGCCUUCUUAUCACUCUUAAUUUCUUGACAACAAAGUCAAACUGCUACAGAACAAUCGAAUUUUCGUUUGAUUAAUUUUCUAUCCACAGAGGCUUUUGUAUGUUGAUCACCCUUGUUUUCUUUGAAAAGUUUAAAAUUCCAUACACGAUAUAUUGGGAAACUUUCACAUUCCUCGGACAUUAAAAGCUCAAGAGCAUUGAUUUUGAGCAAAAUAAAAAUGAAAAUCCCUUUUAAUUUCCAGCAACACCAUAUUUGAAGUUCAUUGUAUUUUCUUCUUCCAACUACAGGUUGACGUGAUUGUCUUGACAGAUGGAAGUCGUAUUCUUGGCCUGGUGACCUUGGAGUUCAGGGAAUAGGAAUACCUAGAUUGGAGGGAGAAGAGUAUCUAUCUAUUGUUGAUGAAUUUAUGGAAGUCGUGCAUACAUGUUGGCCUAAAGCUAUUUUCAGGUUUAUUGGUUAAGAUAUCAAAUUUUUAACUGUGUUCACUGCCAGUAAUCAGUAUCGUAAUCUCGCAAUUUGAUUUUGAAUGAUGCCAGUUUGAGGAUUUUCAAAUGAAAUGGGCUUUUGAAACAUUACAACGUUAUCGUAAGAGGUUCUGCAUGUUCAACGAUGACAUACAAGUGGUAGUUCAUGUUGUAUUCAUGCAGUUGAUAAUUACUUAAAAGGACAUUCAUUUUGUUUAUUUCAUUUCAUAAAGGGAACUGCUGGUGUUGCUCUCGCUGAACUAUUGGAAAUGUGAGAGCUCAAGGGCGGCCAUUGAGUGAUUUUGUUAACCAAAAGAUAGUAGUGGUAGGGGUUGGAAGGCAUUGUCAGCUGUUUAACUUUAACAUUUUCUCCAAAUAGUAAUAUUGCUAACUCUUUAGGGAUCAUAAGCCUUGUCCUCUUUGUUGAAACAAAAGUGGUUGUUUGAAAGAAGAAUUACUAUUACUAUAACUAUUACUUGAUCACUAUUACUAUCACUAUUACUAUCACUAUUACUAUCACUAUUACUAUCACUAUUACUAUUACUAUUACGUGAAUAUAAGAGAAAUGAAAACUUUGGAAACUAUAGUUCAAUCCUUUUGGUUUAACCUUCAUUUGUUUCAACAUGCUGUUUUUUCUCCUCUUUCAACUUCAGUGGGGCUCGGUGUUCUUAACAUGGCUAUUCAGGCUGUUUUGAGAAUGGUAGGGAACAACGAUUCUACUGCAAGAAAUCGAUUUUUUUCUAAUAGACAAAGAUGUAAGAAUCUUUUUCAAACUUUCAUUUCUCAAUUUAUGCAUCAGUCUGUCCAAGUUUUUCCUUCCAUGAGAGUUACUGAUUUCAGAAACCAAUCGGAUGGGGUUUGGAAUUUGGGUAGCUUUAUUAUGGGUUAAUUUGUAUGACGCAGUUUCGUGUGAAAAGUAUGAGGCAGUUGAAGAAGUUAAAUGACUUGUGGUGGUAGUAAUCAGUGUCAAACUCAUGUGGUUUUUAACUUACAAAGAAAGAGGAAAAAUAUCAACUUAGUCCGAUGCAGAUUAGGUUUUAAGUCUUCUAUCUAAUUGUUUGUGUGAUAAAUGCAGUUACUUUAUCAAAAACAAAGAAGAAAAGGAAGGGACCACAAGAUUCUUUAGUAUUUUAAUUUUAUUGCAUUACAUUAUAUUCAAUCUUCAUUUUUCUUGGUUGUGCUGCAAAUGGUGUUUCUUCUAUUAUGGAUUUGCAUUAUACAACAUUGCCAUAUUAAGUCAUAAAGUUAUGAAAAUUAGAAACACACCCUUUGUAGGAGAGAACAUGAUCCUUCCUUUGAAGUAAAUUGAGAGAAUUUCCUCUACUGCCUCAAUUUUAAGGCUUGAGGUUUGAAGAACAAGGAUGAAUAAUCAACGAAAAAGGAAUGAAGAGGUUUCUCGUUUAGGGAAAAUAGCGAUUUUUCGUUUUUCAUACUUCCAAAACGACACAAGUAUGAACUUAUUGUGUAUUAAAUUGAUCGAGAGGCCUUCCAAUUGUUUGUUAAUCUAUAGUUUCUGUCUCUAUUUUAAUUAACUGCUACAUGUAGAAGCCUAACUAACUUAGUUAGAGUUCUAUCAAAAAAAGGAAAGAAAAAAAGGAAGAAGAAAGAUCAUGUGAUAAAUUUAUAGAAAUGCCAUGCAAUUAUUUUCUAACUAUUAAUUUAUGUUUCUGUGGUAAAUUACUGCUACUAGAAAUCUAAUUGUGUUCGGUUAGUUAGACUUCAUGGGUUUGAUUUUUUUUUUUUUUUGUUAAAGAGGUUCCAUAAGUAUACCGAUGGUUUUGAAAUUUUGAUUUGAUGCAUGUCUGAGAAAUUUCAAGGCUAAAUUAUACAGAAUACCCAUAAACUUUGUACUUUAUAUAAAAAUACCAUUGAAAAUACACCAAAACAUAAACUACCAAAAGUGUUAAAAAUACAGUUAAUAUAAUUAUCCUAAUUUUAGUAAUAAAUGAAAUUGAGAGAACUUUCUUUGAUUUUCAGGAACAAGGAUGAAUAAUCAAUGAAAAAGGAAUGAAGAGGUUUAUCCAUGCAAGCUUCAAACCAAAGCCAAGGAUGUCGAUCCUUCCAGGGGAGUCCAAAGUUCUCCCUUAUUUUUCUCCCUUUAUUUUGAUUUUCAAAAGUUUGCAAUUUUUUAAGUGGGGGUGGGCAAUUGCUUGCAUGUUUAGUCUAAACUUGGAGGUUCAAAUUUUGCCCUUCAAAAUUUCUAAAAAAAAUUUCCUUACAAUAAUGAGCACUAUACCUUCUUAGAUUACUUAGAUCUUGCAUAAAAAGCAUGACUAGCAACCCUUGAUCACUGAGCUUGGGUUUGUGAUGUAAAAUUCUGAAUGUUGAUGAGUAUAUGUGCUGAAAUUUGAGAAUAAGCUGCCAGUGUUUUUUGGUUUAAGCCCAUUUUUAGCGAUAUCUUAUGGAGAUGUGAAUGCAUGAUUGAGAAAAUGGUAUGUGUGUUGUGAAUGCUUGAUUGCAUGCAUAUAAUAAAUAAGUGCAUGGAUACUUUUCUAGCUUUGUCUUCCUUUGUUUCUUUGCCAUGACUUACCUAUGAUGCGCUUAGUCCAAACCUAGCCUAGAUAGAGUUAAAAAAGGAUAGGAGGUACUCUUUAGAAAUUGAGAUGGUUUUAACAAAUUUGUCUUGUCAAACAUGAGUUUGGAGCCUCUUCUCUAGCCACAAUGAACUAAAUCCCUUUAGAAAGGGUGGGCAUUAACAAAUCUUGUUGUCACUUCGAAGGGAGCAGUCAAACUUAGAAACUAAGUGUAGAACCAUAGAAAGGUUACCCCAUCGGUUAUUGUGUGCGUACCAAAGAAAGAAAAGAGAGAUUGCAAAUGUAAAACUUAAGACAGCGAGACAAUUAAGAGCUAAAAAAAACAAAGAACAUAUGCAUUAUACAUCAGAAAAAUCCCAUAAAAAAAUGAAGGGAAACUUCACUUUUGGCCUAACCAAAAGCAGACCACCUACUCUUAGCGUUCUAGACAUAGCAUUGAGUUUGAUGAGGGCUUUGAAAAUAGGAGGAAUCCUCCCCGUUCCACACUAGGGGAAAAACGAGACUUGUCACUCCGAAGGGAGCAGUCAAACUUAGCAUUGAGUUCAAGGUAUCCUUCUUAGAUUCUUGAAUCAUGACUACAUUAGGACUACAAUAGUUGAUGAAUUUUUUAAGUGCACGUUUAGAGGGUCGUUCAAACUCCUAGUGCUCCAGGAGACAACCUUCAUAAUGACUGGGAGGAGGAAAAGGCAGUUGCACAUCUAAUUUAAGCCAUAAUGAUUCCACAAUCACCGACUAUAGACACUAAAUCAUUAGGCAAAUCCAGGGGAAUUUUAAUAGGGAGAAUAUCUUCAUCAUUGAACAAGACAUUCAGAUCCAUCCCAUUAAUUUCUUGGACUAAUUUAGGGUCAACUUCAGUGUUGGGGACUGCCAAUUUAACUGAUCUCACAGUAAGUUGAUUAAGUUGGGGAACACGAGACAAGGCAUCUGCUGCUUUGUUUUCUAGUCCCGGUUUAUACACGACAUCAAAAUUGUAGCCAAGAAGCCUAGCAAUCCACCUCUGAUGUCGAGGUUGGAUAACCCUUUGUUCCAAUAAAAGUUUCAAUGAUCGUUGAUCAAUUUUCACUACAAACCUCCUGCCCAAAAGAUAAGGUCUACAACAUUGCACAGCCAAAACUACAGCCAUAAAUUCCCGUUCAUAAACUGGUUUAGCACGACCCCUCAUAGCUAAUGUCAGGCUAAAAUAAGCAAUUGGCCGAUGAUUUUGAAUUAAGACAGCAUCUACCCCGUAUCCAGAAGCAUCGGUCUCUAUUUCAAAUGGUAAGGAAAAAUCUGGCAGUGCUAAGAUUGGGAGAGUCAUCAUAGCCAUCUUUAAAUUCUCAAAAGUUUCAGCAGCACAGUCCAUUCAUAAGCUCCUUUCUUCAAUAAUUGAGUCAAAGGAGCAGCCACACUUCAUAAUUCAUUACAAAUCUUCGAUAAUAUCCUGUCAACCCAAGAAAUCCACGAACUUCACGGACAUUAGUGGGCACGGGCCAUUCUUUGAUAGAUCUAAUUUUCUCGGGAUCACCCUCUACACCCUUGCCCGAAAUUAUAUGGCCAAGAUACUCCACUUUCAUUUUGGCAAACCCACACUUGUGCAUAUUAGCAUAUAAUUUAUUCUCUCGCAGCACCUCUAACACCCAUUCUAAAUGUUGAAGAUUUUCAUCCAAACUUCUGCUGUAAAUUAAAAUAUCAUCAAAAAAGACUAAGACAAACCUGCGUAGGUAAGGUUUAAAGAUACUAUUCAUCAAAGCUUGAAAUGUUGAUGGUGCAUUGGUGAGCCUAAAAGGCAUGACAAGAAACUCAUAAUGCCCCUCGUGAGUUCUAAAAGCUGUUUUCUCCACAUCCUUUUUACACAUUCUAAUUUGAUGAUAUCCCGCCUUGAGAUCAAUCUUCAAAAUAAUUAGCCCCAUUAAGUCAUCAAACAAUUCCUCUACUACUGGAAUAGGAAACUUGUCUGAACGGUCACACUAUUCAACGCACGGUAAUCUACACAAAACCGUCAACUACCAUUUUUUUCACCAACAAGAACGGCAAUAUGGACUAGUACUAGGUUUUUAUGCCAGAUGCCAUCAUUUCAUCAACCAAUCUUUCCGUCUCAUCCUUUUGCUGGUAUGCAUAUCUAUAAGGCCGAACAUUGACUGGAUUAGUCCCCUUUUUAAGAUGUAUAUGAUCUUCAAUGGUACAUUGUGGUGGCAACUCUCCAAGCCAAUCAAAAACAUCUUCAUACUUAGCUAACACGGCUAGAAUAGACUCAUGAAUGGUAGGCACUUCAUCAACCCCAUACAACGCUGCAAAUGCCAUUCCACCUUCCAAAGAUCUACACUCAAUCAGAAAUCCCUAAUCAAGUUAUGUCCUUGUCUUCAUCAUGUGCUUCAAACUCACCCUAGCCUUCGUAAGACUCGAAUCUCCCCUUAAUACAACCUUCUUCCCAUUUUGUAUGAAUGUCAAAGUAAGUUUUCGCCAAUCUACUUCGGUUACUCCUAAUGUACGUAGCCAUUGCAUACCAAGAAUGACUACAUACUCAAGUUCUGUCCUUCGGUUACUACUAAUCAAGUUCUGUCCUUGUCUUCAUCAUGUGCUUCAAACUCACCCUAGCCUUCGUAAGACUCGAAUCUCCCCUUAAUACAACCUUCUUCCCAUUUUGUAUGAAUGUCAAAGUAAGUUUUCGCCAAUCUACUUCGGUUACUCCUAAUGUAUGUAGCCAUUGCAUACCAAGAAUGACUACAUACUCAAGUUCUGUCCUUCGGUUACUCCUAAUCAAGUUUUGUCCUUGUCUUCGUCAUGUGCUUCAAACUCACCCUAGCCUUCGUAAGACUCGAAUCUCCCCUUAAUACAACCUUCUUCCCAUUUUGUAUGAAUGUCAAAGUAAGUUUUCGCCAAUCUACUUCGGUUACUCCUAAUGUAUGUAGCCAUUGCAUACCAAGAAUGACAUCCACUCCCCCCCCCCCCCCCAAAUUCCAAUGGCAGAAAAUUAUCUACAACCUUCCAUUCACCAAUAGCAGUUCCACUUGUUUACAAAUUCCCUUCCCUUUUACAGCAGAUUCAGACCCCAAAAUAACCCCAUAAUGAGAAGUUUCUUCCAAUGACAACAACAAUUGAGUUACUAAAUUUUCAGAUAUAAAAUUAUGGGUCGCGUCGCAAUCUAUCAAUACUACUACUGACCUUUCUCGAAUCAUACCUUUAAUUUUCAUAGUUCCGGGGUUUGUUAAUCUCACAACCAAAUUUAUUGAUAAUUCGAUCACGAGUUCUUCUUGUUUAACAACUUUAGUCUCCUGUAUUUCAGUUUUUGAAUCCUCUUCUUCAACUACUUCUAGUUCUUCCCCAUUUUCCCCAACAACUAAAACUCUAAGUUCCUUAUGAUCUUUCACUUUACACUUAUGUUAUGGCCCACAAAAAAUCUUUCCUCACAACGAAAACAGAGACCUUUCUCAUGUCUAGCCUGAAAUUCAACAUCAGAAAGUCGUUUUAGUGGUCCUUCUCGUCGAUUAGGUUCACCAGCCACUCCUCGAAGUGUAAUCGUCCGCAUUGGAACAAUCCCUCCUGACUUAUUACCAUUAGAAAUCACAGGAAUUUUUGGUUUAAAAGAAGAAACCUGAAGUUUUCCAUCCGCUGCAUGUUUGAAACUUGAUUCUCCCCUUAUCACUUCUCGGUCCUCAAUCUUUUGGGCCAACUUCAUCAUUUGAGCAAGCCCCAUAGGUUCCCAACAUUCCAUAUCUGCCUUAAUCCAUGGUUUCAAACCAUUCAUAUAUGUUUCUUCUAAGACAGCCUUUUGUAGAAUAGGCAAUGGUGCUACUGAUUUAUCAAAUAAAUUUUGAUAUUCUUCCACUGUAGUUUCUUGCUUGAUCUUUAAAAAUCUUCCCAGAAUUGAUCCCUCACGACCCGAUCGAAAUCAGACAAUAAGUCUCUUCUUUAAAUCGUCCCAAUUAACAAACGGUUCACGAUCUUCAUGAGAUCUAUACCAAUCCAAAGCUGCUCCAUCAAAACUAAUAAUGGACACAGUCAUUUUCUCUGACUCACUCCAUUUGUGUAUCUGAAAGUAUCUCUCAGCCCUAAACAACCAAGAAUCAGGAUCAUUUCCCACAAAAACUGGCGUUUCAAUUUUUUAAAAUUUGCUUCGGUCGUGCAGCGUCUUCACCCUCCAACUUGGUAUGUUUUUCCUCAAAUUUUCCUCCCAUCAUCGUUGAAAAUCAACCAUGCUAUCAACUUUACUUGAUGAUCCUUCUAGUACUUUUUCCAUCGUUGUCUUCCCUUUGAUCAUUCCUUCAAUAUAUUUCAACAGUGUUUCUAGUUAAUGUUGUAGCUUCUCAGCUUGUACUCCUAACCUCGCAUACUCUUCGCCAAAGAUGAAUGUUUUCCUUGAUUGUUGGCAGAUCAUUUAAUUCUGCUCGAAUGCCGGAUAUUUCUUGAUCUACCAUUUCCAACUUUUCCUCAAUUUGCUUUUGAGCCAUGAUAUAGAACUUCACAUAUUCGAUUUCUUUGAUGCCAAAAUGAUAGAACACCAAAUAGUGUGUUCUACUAAUUUAUUAAUCAGCCAAACUUUUACAGAAAACAGGUUCUAACACAGUCUCGAAAACAAAGUACAACACAAGAACUAAUACAAGGAUAAACCAUGUUCAACAUAAAACAUCAAAACAGUAAAGUACUUCACGAUAAUGGAUAUAACUUGCUCCAGACUACAGAAACUGAACACUUUCUGCAUUCCCUGCUCUCUAGGAAAUUACAGCCCUCCACUUCCAGAAACAGACUAACCACCCUCUCUUCCCUCCAUUCUUUCCCUUUUAACUCUCUCCAUGUAACUAACUAUGGUCCCCACCAAGGUGGUUUCCACUUCUUUUUCCACUUCUCUCUAUUUCCCUUCUCUUGUUCACGUGCAACUGCUCCCUUUUCCUCCUACUAUAUUGUAAAAUAAUUGGUGGUCUAUCACAUUACUUGUGUGAAUGUGAACCAUUAUUUUGUUUGAAUUUGAAACUGAUCUCUCUCUCUCUCUCUCUGUUUUUUGUUUCUUUGGUUACCAGCUAGUGCUUAUGUGCCUGCCUGGGGGCCUUCAAAUGUUUCAAGUAUGCACUUUUUCUAAUCCAAUUCCUUCAUGUUUUUUUGUUCUUGAAGAGGAGGAAUAGUGUGAAGAAUCAAAUUCAAGUUUGUGGCUGUACAGGAACAACUAUGUGAAAGAGACCACCUAUUCAUGAACUGGAAAGGAGAAUAGAAGAUAAAGAUAGAGAAUUGCAAUCAAUUACAUUAGACAACGAAGCGGUCUGUUGUUUUUUCCUCAUGCUUGAUUUGCUUGCAUAAGAAUGUUUUUAAAUAUUUGUUUUUUUCUUCACGAACCCUUUUAUUCUAUAAUUUCUUCACAGGCUUGGGUCAAGGAUGAUCUUCUGCGUGAAAAAGAAAAAAAUUAGCAACUUACAGGUUACAUUUUUUGUUGAAGUCAUUCAAUUUUUCUCUUCUUUAGCCAUUGAUUUUACUUUUUGCUUACGCUCACAUCCUAACACAUUCUUUAGUAUUUUAAUUUUAUUGCAGUACAUUAUAUACAAUCUUCAUUUUUCUUGGCUCUGCUGUAAAUGGUGUUUAUUUUAUUAUGGAUUUGUAUAUUAUACAACACUGCUAUAUUAAGUCAUAAAGUUAUGAAAAUUAGAAACACACCCUUUGUAGGAGAAAACGUGAACCUUCCUUUGAAGAAAAUUGAGAGAUUUUCCUUUGAAGAACAAGGAUGAAUAAUCAAUGAAAAAGGAAUGAAGAGGCUUAUCCAUGCAAGCUUAAACCAAAGUCAAGGAUGUUGAUCCUUCUAGGGGAGUCCACCGUUCCCCCCCUUAUUUUUCUCCCUUUACUUUGAUUUUCAAAAGCUUUGAGGACGAAGCAAUUUUUUAAGCGAGGGUGGAUAAUAGCUCGCUCGUUUUGUCUAAACUUGGGAUUUCAAAUUUUGCCCAAAUUUCAAAAAUUUCAGAAGUUUUUCAUUACAACAAUGAGCAUUAUAGCUUCUUAAAUCUUGCAUAAAAGGCAUGACUAUCAACCCUUGAGCACUAAGCUCGGGUUUGUGACGUGAGAUUUUGAAUUUUGAUGAGUAUAUGUACUGAAAUUUGAGAAUAAGCUUCUGUCCUUUUAAGCCCUUUCACAACUUGUAUAUAUCUUUCUUUUUUCGUUAGUUGGGGCUUACUUCAGUUUUGUUAGUUGGAUGAAGCAAUUUGGAGUUUCAAAGUUCUUGAAAAGGUUAAAUUUUUUGUUUGAAAUUGGGCUCUCGUACUAUUGAUACAACAGUCAAACAGUAGUAGUUGAGACGUGAAACCUCGUGAUUACCUGCAUUCUAGUGUUUGCAGUCUGUGAAAAAGCAGAGAACUGUUGACAACUCCUUUUUUUUUCUUCACCAGGGUAAUAAGAAGCAUUGGAACUUCCCUAUUAAACGAUAGAGUCUUACUUGCUGUCUCACAUGGUAGUAAAAUAUUGUUUACUUCAUCUCUUUAGCCGUCUGCAUCUUAAAUGCAAAAGCUCACAAUAUAUGGGUGACAUGAGUCAAAGGGAUCUAAGACAAGGAGACCCCCUGUCCCCAUCCUUUUUACCCUCCGUGGUGAUGCUUUCAACAGAUUAGUUUACUUCUAUAUGGAGAAAUAAGCUCUUGAAGGUUGGGAAAUCAGUAGAAAAAAGGUGGCUAUCCUUCAUCUUCAGUAUGCUGAUGACACUUUUUUUUUUUGUCCAGGGGAUGUUCAUUCUUUAAUUUGAAUAUGGCGAAUUUCUUCCUAAUUUGGAUUAAUAUGAAGGAGCAUAAGGUGUUUGAUGGAACUCCAAUUGGUAUUAACGUAGGAAUUUUAUUGAUAGUAGCAAGGGAAUGAAUUCCCAAAUACAAGCUAACACUCAUACCUUCUGCAACCUAUCUUUCAAGGGAACAAAAAGGUACUCUUUACUUGAAUCUCUAACUAACUUUCCCACCUUUCUAUUUCAUCUAUUUAUACUAGUCUCUCCUUCCCUCCUACUAACUAACUCACACGUGCUUCUCACGUAUUAAUUCUUUUUUUUCUCUUCUACUAUAUUGAUAUAAGAUAGGAGGUCCUAGGCUUGCGGUUGAGUUGGGUUGUAAGAUGGAACCUCUCACCCUUAACUCGCUAGGCUUUCCUUUGGGUGGUAAGCAUUGGUUUCUGGCUUUCUGGAUGUGACAAAAUUAGAAGUAAGAUUGCUAAAUGGAAGAAUUUGUUUCUUUCCAAAGGUGGCUGGUAAUCAUUGAUUGCUCCGUUGCUCAAUGGUUGCCUUUGCAUUUCCUUUCCCUCAUCAAAGCUCCUUACAGGAUGAUUAAAAGUAUAGAGAAACUGUUUAGUAUUUCUUCUGGGGUGGUGAAGACUACAACUCAGGGAGUCAUCUUGUUAUAGGAAAGUUCCAGCACUGAUUGAGAAAUGGAAAAUUUAUGGAAUCAGUUACUUGGUUCUCUGUGAAUGAUAUGUUUAAAAUUUUUCAUUCAUAAUCUAUAAUUUUGUACCCCAUAUAUGGUUCUCAGGUUUUAGCAAGUCAUUUGAUUUAACAACAUAUUGGUAAUAACUUUGACUUUUAUUUUGCAGCCUUUUUACUGUAUGCAGCAUCGGUUAUGACAGCUGUGUUUAUUGUGGUUAUAUUGCUCUGUUUUUGUUGUCAAUGGCAUAUAUCUGGGCUUUUUGUUUUUGUUGUGUUGUUUUGGUGGUGAUGGUGGUGAAAUAUUUUAUUUAAGCCUCUAGUUAAUAUUUAUGUUUACUUAACAAAAAUUUGUUGCUUGAGCUUGCUUCAUUUUGUCCUUUUACUUGUUUAAGUCCUCCUCUAGCCUGUCAGUUUAUUAGACAAGCUUGAUGCUUCAUUUAUUUCCUGAUUGAUGGCUAAUGAAAAACUUCUUGUACUCUUCUUCGUCUUCCUCAAAAUCACCGAUUCACGACCAUCUUCUUCUCCUAGCCCUAACAACGCCAGAUUUCUCAACUAUCGAUCGACGUGACAAUCAUGCCUGCCUGCUUGACAAAGCCUUUUUCGGUCUACCAAUAAAGGAAAAAGGAUUGCUGGUGACACGAAAGUUGGCUCGACGCUCCUUUUCCUAUUCCACUGCGCGUCGUGGUCUUUCCCUUGCUGGCUUGGAUGACUACUAUGGACGAUGAUCACAACUACUUCCAGUCUCUACUCGAUAAGUACCCAAGGAUGCCCUGGAGAGCUCCUUAGUGGAUCACAAAUGCUUCCAAAUUCUUUGUUCGUAGACUAAUUUGAAAUCCUUCCAAUUUUAGGGUUCUAAAAGGUAGAAUUUGACCACAAAAUCCAAAAUUUUUCUUUGAUUAUUAAUUUAUUGUAUUCAACUUUUGUCGGUUAUUUACAAUAGCAUUAUAGUUUAAAGAUAUUGAAGUAGCUUUACCUCACCUAUAUAACUACAUUUAAAUCGAAUAUUUGUGGUUUCAUGGAGAUACUUUUAUUUUUUUUACUUAAGGUCUUGUAGUAAUAACUUUACUUUCUUUUAACAUCACAACAUUCCUCUAAACUUGAAUCAUGUGUUAAAUUCUUACUUCAUUCAGGAAAAUAUGGAUCCAUGUUGUCUUUGAUAUCCAUAAGAUACCAAUUAGAUUGUGUUAAUUAUUGUUUAUAAGAAAAUAUUUGUGUGCAGAGUUGCAGUGGGUAAAUCUUAAUGGCUGGCAGAGCAGAAAAUUGGUCCGGGAUAUAUUACUCUCAAGACAAAGUAUUUUUUAUCAGUUUACUUCCCAUGGGGUAUUUGUUCUUCCUAUGCUUUAUCCUUAUCCCAUCUUUCUCCGAUGUAGUCUUCAUAGGAUGAUUUCUGUGGUGUAAAUUUAUUCAUCUAGUUUGUUGAUUUAUGUUGCAUUUAGGGAGAAGGUAAAUUACAUAAGCCGAAGUAGUUAUGGAAACAUCUCCAAUUUACAGCAAGUUAAAGCAAAAAAAAAAAAAAAAAAAAAAAGAGAAAAAUAGCAGUUAAAAACAACUGGAUCUGCUUCUUCUUAUUGAAAGUUAUGUCGUUUCUUUCAAGUCAAAUUGACCACAAAAUGCUCAAAUGAGAUUCUUCAAUAGGAAUAUGUAAAAAAAUAUAAUAUGUAAAAUAAUUUUUUAUAUUGAAUUGCAGAUGGCUGAGGGCCUUCGUGAAACGUGGGAGAGAAGCGAUAACAUUAUCCUUCAAAAAAUUCAGGAGUAAAUAUUUAUGUGAAAGGCCAAUUAUUUAGCCAUUGACCUUAUUUAUUAUUAAAUUAUUUGGUUGGAAAUGAUAAACUACACAUUAUUGUUUCCUUCAGUUGUGAUCUUGAUUAUGGGCUAUUUGGUAUUUUGCCUACAAACUGUAUAGUUAAUUAUCUAUUAGCUUUUGUUUUACUGUCAGAACUUUAUGUUUAUGUGGCUAAUAAAGCCAAAAGUUUAUUAUCGAUCUUAUUUUUCACAGCAUAAAUGAAAUUGUGUUUCAAGAACCAGAUGCUGCUACAAUCAUUUAAGGAAAUUCGCGUAGAGGUCCGUAAGUUUUUGCUUUGGAGCUGUGAUACUAACCUGUUUGAAUAAAGGAAUUUGACUUGGUCUUUUCCUCUUUAACAUUAUGAUAGUCUUCUUUUACCAGAUUUCAUAGCUGAAGUUUAUGAAGUAAUCAAACGGUGUUAACUUCUUUACAAAGGUUAGUGCUAACUCUAAGCUUAUUUCUAAGGUGAAAGAUGCUUUUAUACCCUCCCCAAAGAAUAUCAUUACUAUUUAUGUUGUAUUUCUGAUAACUAAUUCUGCAUAGCAUCUUCGGUUUGAUAAUUAAAGUGAAGUUUCUGACAUGGAGGUUUUCAAGUUGUAAUAUAUGUUUAUGUUUUAGGUAGAUUCCCAAACUUUGAAGAAACAUGCAAUACUGAGGUAAUGGAACGUUGUAAGGCAGAGCAUCGGGCUUAUUAGAGCCAAGGUAUCUUCUUCGAUAACAAGUAAGGAUAGUCCUGAUACUACAUUUCUUUUGUUAUUGAGUUUAGUGUUCCUUUUGUUGGGUGCUUGGUGGUGUGCACCUAUAUUAUUUGUACUUCUGUUAAUUAAUUAUAGUCCUUCUCUCUGUUGAGUAAUUAUUGUCUACCAUCUUGUUAGCAAAGGCUUCCCAUGGAAAUUCAGUUUGUUGUGCUGCAUGUCCACGCUGAUUUUCGUGAUUUUAGUUUUAGAUACAUAAAAGGGUCUUUGCAUCACACAAUGAAUGACUAUUUUUAAUAUGAACCUACAAUACCCAAAUGAAUGCUGGAUAAAUUGGAUACAAGGCAAUAGAGAGUGAGAUGGAGAGUGUUUGUGUGCUUUAGAGCCAUCUGUCUCUAAAACAUAGUUUCUUCCCCCCCACCCCUAUAAGAAGUAAUUUUAUUGAUGUAUGAAAUUUACAAAAGGUUUGGUGAAACCCACAACAAUCUUUUGAACUUUUUGAGUUAUGAGUUACGAACUUGUAUUGAAUUUGUUAGGUCAUUUUAAUAAUUCAAGUGAUACUUAGAAAAUGCAACCGAGCUAAACAAUUCUACACAUUUUUCUAAAAUUUUAGUUUAACCUCUUUAAUAAAACGAUGAAAUUAUUGUUUCUUUUUGUAGGAAUAAAGGAAAAUGAAAUAUAACCAAACUUGGGAUCUUUGCAAGCAAGCUUCCAUGAAGAAACUAGGUUACAAGGGGAGGUCUUCUGUUCUCCUUUUUUUUUCCAUCCGUAUAAUCUUGCUUAAAAUGCUUGAGGACAAUGCAAAUUUUUAAGUGGGUUAGGUUGUAGCCUUGCACAUUCCAUGUCCUUUGGGAAAUUUUCAUUUUGCAAAUUUCGCCUAAAAUGUCAAAAUUUAGAAACUUUUGCAAUGCUCUAUGCUUAGAAUAAGUACCAUGUCUACUUCGCUUUUAGCAUAAAAAUGCAUGUAUGCCUAACCCAUGAGAAUGGAGCUCGGAUUUGUGAUUGUAUUUGUUAUUUGAAUAUGUUACAUAUGUUGAAAAUGCAUAUAUUGAUAGCUUAGAAAUGAGUAGAACACUUGGUUCAUUUUCUGAAUAUUGAAUUAUGUACAUAAUAAUAUGUGUGGUUGUCUUUUUUAUCUCAAUUUUAAUCCCCUUUUUUGCCAUAUUCUACUGCCUUUUAUAUUAAUUUUAAAUCCCUCUGUGGCCAUAACAUUUGUAUAAGAUUGUUUGAAAGCAAAAUACGAUUGUUAGGUCAAGUAGAAAGCAAAGCCGGCAAGUUCUUAGAGUUCUUCACCCAACAUAACAGUCGAUAAAAACAAAACAAGAACCCUAAACCCUAAACCCUAAACAAAACAUGACUGGCAACCCUUGACCACUAAGCUUAGGUUUGUGAUGUAAAAUUCUGAAUGUGAUGAUUAUAUGUGCUGAAAUUUGAGAAUAAGCUUGCCGUCUUUUUUGGUUUAAGCCCCUUUUUAGCACAUCUUACUGAGAUGUGAAUGCAAUGAUUGAGAAAAUGGUAUGUGUGUUGUGAAUGCUUGAUUGCAUGUAUAUAAUAAAUAAGUAUGGAUACUUUUCUAGCUUUGUCUUCCUUUGUUGCUUUGCCUGACUUACCUAUGAUGCACUUAGUCCAAAUGUCCAAACCUAACCUAGAUAGAGUUAAAAAAGGAUAGGAGGUACUCUUUAGAAAUUGAGAUGAUUUUAAACAAAUUUGUCUUGUCAAACAUGAGUUAGGAGGCUCUUGUUUAGCCACAAUAGACUAAAUCCCUUUAGAAAUGGUGGAUUAACAAAACUUGUUGUCACUUUGAAGGGAGUAGUCAAACUUAAAAACUAAGUGUACAACCAUAGAAAGGUUAGCCCACCGGUAGCAAGACCUAGUUACCACAUUGCAUUCCAAAGAAAAGAAAAGAGAGACUUGCAAACGUAAACAGUGAAACAAUUAGAGAUAAAAAAACAAACAACAUAUGCAAUAUACAUCAGAAAAAAGGCCAUAAAAAUGAGAGGAAACUUUACUUUGCCUAACCAAAACCAAACCACCUACUCUUAGCGUUCUAGACAUAGCACCGAGUUUGAUGAGGGCUUGAAAAGAGGAGGAAUCCCCAUGUUCCACACUAGGGAAAACGAAGCUUUUCUUCUUCUUCUUCUUCUUCUUCUUUGUUUCUUCCUACUGCCUAUCGACCUGCAACUUUGAGUAGUUGCUUGGCUGUCUAAUUGCCACCACUCAAAGUCACUCCCUCGCCUUCUUAUCACUCUAAUUUCCUUGGCAACAAAGUCAAACUGCUAGAGAACAAUCGAAUUUUCGUUUGAUUAAUUUCUAUCCACGGAGGCUUUUGUAUUUGAUCACCCUUGUUUUCUUGAAAAGUUUAAAAUUCCAUACACGAUAUUGGGAAACUUUCACAUUCCUCUGGACAUUAAAAGCUCAAGAGCAUUGAUUUUGAGCAAAAUAAAAAUGAAUCCCUUUUAAUUUCCAGCAACACCAUAUUUGAAGUUCAUUGUAUUUUCUUCCAACUACAGGUUGAUGUGAUUGUCUUGACAGAUGGAAGUCGUAUUCUUGCCUCGGUGACCUUGGAGUUCAGGGAAUAGGAAUACCUAGAUUGGAGGGAGAAGAGUAUCUAUCUAUUGUUGAUGAAUUUAUGGAAGUCGUGCAUACAUGUUGGCCUAAAGCUAUGUUCAGUUUUUGGUUAAGAUAUCAAAUUUAACUGUGUUCACUGCCAGUAAUCAGUAUUGUAUUCUCGCAAUUUGAUUUGAAUAAUGCCAGUUUGAGGAUUUUCAAAUGAAAUGGGCUUUUGAAACAUUACAACGUUAUCGUAAGAGGUUCUGCAUGUUCAACGAUGACAUUACAAGUGGGUAGUUCAUUGUUCAUGUAUUCAUGCAGUUGAUAAUUACUUAAAAGGACAUAUAUUUUCAUUUAUUUCAUUUCAUAAAGGAACUGCUGGUGUGCUCUCGUGGACUAUUGGAAAUGUGAGAGCUCAAGGCGGUCAUUGAGUGAUUUUGUUAACCAAAAGAUAGUACUGUAGGGCUGGAAGUAUUGUCAGCUGUUUAACUUUAACAUUUUCUCCAAAUAGCAAUACUGCUAACUAUUUAGGGAUCAUAAGCCUUGUCCUCUUUGUUGAAACAAAAGUGGUUGUUUCAAAGAGAAUUACUAUUACUAUUACUAUUACUAUUACGUGAAUAUCAGAGAAAUGAAAACUUUGGAAACUAUAGUUCAAUCCUUUUGGUUAACCUUCAUUUGUUUCAACAUGUUGUUUUUUCUCCUUUCAACUCAGUGCAGAGCUCGAUGUUCUUAACAUGGCUAUUCAGGUUGUUUUGAGAAUGGCAGGGAACAACGAUUCUACUGCAAGAAAUCGAUUUUUUUUUCUAAUAGACAAAGAUGUAAGAAUCUUUUUCAAACUUUCAUUUCUCAAUUUCUGCAUCAGUCGUCUAAGUUUUUCCUUCCAUAGAGUUACUGAUUUCAGAAACUAAUCGGAUUGGUUUGGAAUUGGAUAUCUUUAUUAUGGGUUAAUUUGUAUGACGCAGUUUCGUGUGAAAAGUAUAGGCAGUUGAAGAAGUUAAAUGACUUGUGGUGGUAGUAAUCAGUGUCAAACUCAUGUGGUUUUUAACUUACAAAGAAAGAGGAAAAAUAUCAGCUUAGUCUAAUGCAGAUUAGUGUUUUAAGUCUUCUACUAAUUGUUUGUGUGAUAAAUGCAGUUACUUUAUCAAAAACAAAGAAGAAAAGGAAGGACCACAAGAUUCUUUUAGUAUUUUAAUUUUAUUGCUACAUUAUAUUCAAUCUUCAUUUUUAUUGUUAUGCUUGCAAAUUGUGUUUCUUCUAUUGUAAAACCCGAACUCUAAGCUAAUUGAUUUUAAUCAGAUUGCUCUAUUUUAUUUUAAUUUUUUUGGAGUGUUAUUUUAUUUCUUUAGGCUUGGACAGAAAUUUAAUUAUUGGGAAGAAAAGAAGUGUAGAUGAAAAGGUAAUAUAAUAAUAAUAAUAUAAUAAUAUUAUUAUUAAUAUUAAUUUAUAAAAAAAGAAGGAAAUUAAAAUUCUCUUCUUCUUCCUCUCUCGUGACCCUUCCCGUCUUCUUCCUUCUUUUUUUUUUUUUUCUUCUUCUCCUACUUCAUCCAAUACCCUAGCCUCCAUAGCCUCCCCCAUCUUUCUUUCUUUUCUUUUCUUUCCUUUCAGAUCUGCAGUCGACCGCCGAUCGUCUCGAUCUUCCAUUGAAGUUGAAGUCGUCGUCGUCGUCGGUUGGUUCAUGCGUCACGUCCCUCUCUUCUCUUCUCGGCUACGUCUACACCGGUCUCCAUUCGUGAAGUCCAGCCGCCCGUAUUUUCGUCACAUUUCGUUCACCGAAACUGAAACCUCGCCACAUUUCUUCUUCUGAAUCUAAACCGCCGCGCCCAUCCGCCUGUAACGCCGUGUCUCUCCUGCCAGAUCUGCAACGCCGGUCCCCAUCGGUAGCCCCGUCCCAACGCGUGUCCCACCCGUAGCCCCGUCCAUAGUUUUCGACGCUCGUCGUUCAGAUACGAGCCGUGUAGCAUCCAACAGUUGUGCAUCGUGAAGUCCUCUUCGCGCAACUCCCCGUUUUCCCAGUCGCGGUCUGACGUCCAUCUUUAUUGUAGUGCAUAUCUGUUUUGCACGCAUCAAUUUCAUUCGAUUGUCGCUGAUUCUAUUUUAUUGUCAAUCGCAAAGUUAUGUUGUGAUUUCAUUGGUAAGGAGAAAUUGUGGAUUUAGUAGUAUUGUUCUUGGCUAGCGUAAGUUUUAAAAUUGAUUAAUUGAUUUGGGUAUUGCUUGAUUUUAAGGUGAUAUGGAGAGUCGUGCUUGGAUAUCUAUGUUUCGAAGUGAGCUUCAUUGGAAUUGUUGUUUCAUUCUACUUGAAUUUAAUUUAUUGGAUUUAGUACGAUUAAAGAACUUUACCGUAAACUUGAGGUAAGGGACUUUCUACUGGACUCACCUAAAGUUUUCAGUUGUGUUGGACGAUAUCCUUAUAUCGAAACUUAGUAAAGAUGAUGGUUAUGAUAUACACAUUUGGUUGCAGAUUAAAUGUUAGUGUAUUGUGUUUAACUGGAAAUAUAUAUAUAUAUAUAUAAUAUAUAUAUAUAUAUAAUAUACAUAUAUUUAUGAAUGGAUUGAUGUGGAUUGUUGAAUGUACUGUGAAUGACUGAAAAUUAUGCAUAUACAUAAAUUGACGCAGAUUUGAUGUUGAAUAUAUAUGGAGAUUGUCUUGGGAUUAAACAUGCAGGUGUGGAUGUAGAUAGGAUGAUAUGUAGACUGUGCUGUAUAAAAUUUUGGAUGUGAAUUGGUGAAUUUGUUUCAGUUGGGUGUGCUUAUAAUGAACUGUGUUGCGCUGGUAAAAUGAGGGGUGUUGUGACUUUGUGGUUUACUUGACGGAUGUAUUAAAAUUUAUCAACGACCUUCGAACUUAAGUGAUAGGUUGACUGUUAGAAUGUUGAGUGAAAGAACUUGAUAUUUUGAAGUAACUGAAAGAUGUCAUAAAUUAUCGUAAAGAUAGUUAGAAUGGAUGAGGGGAAAAAUUGUUAGUUUUAUUGGGAUGUAUGCCUUGUAGGUGUCCUACGGGAUCACCAAUUUUUAUGCCGACCUUCGGGAGCAUUAGAACUGAUAUGUGUUUCUGCAGAACACUAGACUGAAAUGUACGUCUCUCGGGGCGUUAGACUGAAAUGUGCAUCCUACGGAUCACAAGACUGCGACUGUGCAGGGUGUCCAAUAGAAUGUUAACAAUUUAUUUUUCCCUGACGGGACCAGUAGAGGUCGCUUACUGGGUAUUUUUAUAUUCACCUCUUAUUUUUAAUUUUUCAGGCAAAGGUAAUAAAGGCGGCAAACCGGCGAGGGGCAGGAAGGAAGCGUGAUCGCCACAGGGACACUUUAAAAUUUUGCUUCCGCUUAGUGAUUUAUUGUAUAUAUUUGUAUCGAACGUGAGACUGUUAGAAAUUUUGAGGUUUUAAAGUAUUCAAGAUUUGAAACUUUUUAGUUUUAAAUUUUUACGUGAAUUUUAGUAAUUAAAACUGGGCCCAAACAAACAAAUAAAUUUCGUUCUUUUCGGUUUUAAAUUUUAUUUAAACUCGGUCUUUUGUCAAAAUUAACGAUUUUGACAUAGUUAGAAAAGUCGGGUCGUUACAUCUAUUAUGGAUUUGCAUUAUACAACACUGCCAUAUUAAGUCAUAAAGUUAUGAAAAUUAGUAACACACCCUUUGUAGGAGAGAACAUGAUCCUUCCUUUGAAGUAAAUUGAGAGAAUUUCCUCUACUGCCUCAAUUUUAAGGCUUGAGGUUUGAAGAACAAGGAUGAAUAAUCAACGAAAAAGGAAUGAAGAGGUUCUCGUUUAGGGAAAAUAGCGUUGAGUUUGACGAGGGCUUUGAAAAGAGGAGGAAUCCUCCCCGUUCCGUAGUAGGGGAAAAACGACGCUUGUUGUCACUCCGAAGGGAGAAUUCAAACUUAGAAACUAAGUCCAUACCCCACAAGAAACUUGUCCAAUGAACCUUAACACUACGAGGAUGAAUAGUAUCCCAUGCACUAGCAAUCAAAAAACCACUAUGACGACCAAGAACCCAAUAAAGUUUAUCAAGAAAUUAAAAUUUCAAGAUGAGCAACCCUACUCUGAUACCAAUUGUUGCAACCCUAGAGGGGGGUGAAUAGAGGGGGGUGAAUAGGGUUUAAAUAAACUUUUUGACAAAUAAAAAGUAAAAUCAACUAAUUAGAUAUUUUUAAUUUAAAUAAAGAACUUUGUAAACUUUGUUAAAUAACAAGAUUGAUAAAAAGAUAUGAAUGGAAGUAUGCAAUCAAACUCAACCAAUAAGAAUAUGUAACUAAAAUUAAAUUAAAAAAUAAUUAGAAAAGAGUUAGAGAAGAAGACACCGUAAUUUUAUAGUGGUUCGGUUAAACUCAACCUACAUCCACUUUCCCAAGCACCUCUUGGGAUUUUGAUUGAAAAUCUUCUUUGGACUCUUUCCACGGAUUUGAGCCGAACCGAUUCUUGCUCCUUUUUCGGGUUCAAGAGCAAACCCGAUCCUUUCCACGGGUUAGGAUCCAACCGUUACAAUAUGUUGAAAUUUUUAAAUCACACAAAAGAAAACUCUCUAAAAGAGUGAGUAUACAAUUUGAAGCUCACAAAUUUAAUCCUCACAAUACAAUAAGAAGCUCUCAAGAAUAAGAUGAAAAGAAUAAAAAUUGGAAGCUUUAGAGAGAAUAACAAUGUUGGCUUUUUGCUUGAGGAUUGUAAAGAUUUUAAUGAUCUUGUGUAAAUGUGAAGUAUUUAAAAAGAGAGGAAAGAUAAAUUCAAAAUCAUUUGGGUCAUUAGAUAUAAGUAAAAGAAAAAUGAAUGGUUGAGAUUUAAACUUAAUUAGCCGUUAGACACAAUACAAAUAAUAAUAUAAUAAUAUGUCUUUUCAAAAUAUUUUGUUUAAAAAGAAAUCAAUAAAGCAACUUCACCCUCUUUUAAAAAAACUAGCCGUUAGACACAAGAAAAAAUAAUAAUAUUAAAAUCAUUUUCUUUUAAAUUCAUUUUCUUUAUAAAAGCCAAUAAAACAUAACAAAAAGCCACAUUUGUUACUCCUUCAUUGCUCCAAGUGGCUUUCUCUAAUUGGUUCAAAUUGAAUGCUUGGUCGCCACGUCACCAUCUCGGGUAUUUUUUCGUUAAGCUUCUUUUAGCAAUAUUUUCUUCAUUUGAACUUCGAUUUGGGUGAUUCAAGAGGCGUUAGAAUCAUUUUUCCAAGCUCUACGAUAUGGUCUAUUCAAAUUAAUAAAAUUGUCAAUAAAAAAAAUCAGAUUUGUUAUCAUCAAAACAUAAAUUAAUUGAAUAAUUAAAAUAAAUUAAUUUGAGAUUAAGGGCCAAAAAGCCAACAAUCUCCCCCUUUUUGAUGAUGACAAAUCAUUGAAGAAAAAUAACUUGAAACACACAUGAUCAACAAGUAAUUCUAUUAUCAAGAUGUAUAACCAUAAAGCUCAUGUAUAUAUUUCACCACAAAGAACAUACUUGAAAACAAUUGAUAAGAGAACCUUCUUUGUCCUUAAUUAAUUUUUUUCUCUAAAAAAAUAUGCAUUAUUCAAUAGAAACAAUUAUGCAACAAAUUGAUAAAAACAUAUUUUUCUUAUACUUCUCCCCCUUUGGAAUCAUCAAAAACAAUACCAAUGAAGUUAGCUCUCCCAAAAAAAUGAACACAUACAAAAUGUCUAAUUCUCCCCCUAUCAAUAUGCAUUACGGUAACAAUAUCAAGUAAGAUAUAAAAUCAAGAUGCAUCACAACGAAUAAUUCCAAGCUCAAGCCUAUUUUUACAAAAGCUUUCUUCACUCAAAGGUUUGGUAAAUAUAUCCGCUAAUUGAUUAUUGGAACUUACAAACUCAAGAGUAAUAUGACCAUUUUGUACAUGCUCUCUAAUAAAGUGAUGCCUAAUAUCUAUAUGCUUAGUUCUAGAAUGAUGAAUAGGAUUCUUAGUCAAAUUUAUGGCACUAGUAUUAUCACAAAAUAUAGGCACAUUAUCAAAUUUUAAUCCAAAAUCACAAAGAGUUUGUUUCAUCCAAAGAAUUUGUGCACAACAACUAGCAACCGCAAUAUAUUCCGCUUCGGUAGUGGAUAAGGCAACCGAAUUUUGCUUUUUACUAAACCAAGAUACUAAGGAACUACCAAGAAAUUGACAAGUCCCACUAGUACUUUUACGGUCAAGUAAACUACCGGCAAAGUCCGCAUCGGAAUAUCCUACCAAAUUAAACUCAACAUUUCUAGGAUACCAUAAUCCAACAUCAAUAGUUCCAAGCAAAUAUUUAAGUAUUCUUUAGGAUGAAAUGUGAUUCUUUAGGACAAGAUUGAAAUCUAGCACAAAGACAUACACUAAACAUGAUAUCGGGUCUACUAGCGGUCAAAUAAAGUAAAGAUCCGAUCAUACCUCGAUAAGUCUUUAUAUCCACACACUUACCUUUUUCAUCUUUGUCAAGCUUAGUGGUAGUGCUCAUAGGAGUUUUUGCAACUUUACCUUCAUUUAAUUUGAAUUUCUUGAGCAAAUCCCUUGUGUAUUUUUCUUGACUUAUGAAGAUGCCAUCCUUGAGUUGUUUGAUUUGAAGACCAAGGAAGAAACUAAGUUCUCCCAUCAUACUCAUCUCAAACUCAUUAUGCAUACACUUGGAAAAUUCUUCACACAAAGAUGAAUUAGUAGAACCAAAUAUAAUAUCAUCCACAUAAAUUUGUACUAUAAGCAUGUCAUUAUUUUUAACUUUAAUAAAUAGAGUAUUAUCAAUUUUUCCCAUCUUAAAGUCAUUCUCAAGUAAAAACUUGCUAAGUCUAUCAUACCAAGCUCUUGGAGCUUGUUUUAAGCCAUAAAGAGCCUUUUUCAACUUAUAAACAUGAUUAGGUAAAUCAAAACUUUCAAAGCCCGGAGGUUGUUCUACGUAAACUUCCUCCACAAUAUAACCGUUUAAAAAAGCACUUUUUACAUCCAUUUGAUACAAAAUGAAAUUUUUAUAAGAAGCAAAAGCAAGCAACAUUCUAAUAGCUUCUAAUCUAGCAACCGGUGCAAAAGUCUCUUCAUAAUCUAUACCUUCUUCUUGACAAUAACCUUGAGCUACAAGUCUAGCUUUAUUUCUAAUGAUAUUUCCAUUUUCAUCCAUCUUAUUUCUAAAAACCCAUUUAGUUCCGAUUAUAGAUGCAUUAGAAGGCCUAGGGACUAAUUUCCAAACUUUGUUUCUUUCAAAUUGAUUUAAUUCUUCUUGCAUAGCUAAAAUCCAAAACUCAUCACAUUCGGCAUCUUUAAAACUUCUAGGUUCAAUUUGAGACACAAAAGCAAGAUUACUAAAUAAAUUAAGAGAAGAACGAGUUUUGACACCUUGUUCGGGAUUGCCAAGAAUUAGAUCCUUGGGAUGGGAUAGAGCAUAUCUCCACUCUUUAGGCAAGGAUGAAGAACCCUCUUCUUUCUUUCUAUGAUGUUCACAUCUUGCAUACUUGGAACAAUUUCUUUGCCUUUGUCAUUAACAAGUAAAUCUCCAAAAUCUUUUUCUAAAUCAUCACUACAAAUAGACUCAUUAGAAACAUUAUUCCAAGAUUCAUCAAAUACAACAUGAAUAGAUUCCUCAAUAACUAAAGUUUUCUUAUUGAAAACUCUAUAAGCUUUACUAGUAGAGGAAUAUCCUAGAAAAAUACCAACAUCCGUCUUAGAAUCAAAUUUUCCAAGUUUUUCUUUGUUAUUCAAAAUAAAACAUUUACAACCGAAAACUUUGAAAUACCCAAUAUUUGGAAUUUUUCCAUGCCAAAGUUCAUAAGGAGUUUUAUCUAAAGAGGUCUAACUAAAACUCUAUUUGAAACAUAGCAAGCGGUGUUAACGGCUUCCGCCCAAAAAUAUUUAGGUAAACCAUACUCAUUCAACAUUGAUCUAGCAAAUUCUUGCAAAGUACGAUUUUUCCUUUCAACUACACCAUUUUGUUGAGGAGUUCUUGGAGAGGAAAAAUUAUGGGAAAAACCAUUUUCUUCACAAAAAGCUUUAAAAGCAUCAUUAUCAAAUUCUCCUCCGUGAUCACUCCUAAUUUUGGAAAUAAAAAAUCCUUUUUCAUUUUGUACUCUUUUUGCAAAACUAAUAAAACUUUUCAAAGCAUCAUCCUUAUGUUUUAUCAUCAAAACCCAAGUAAAUCUAGAAAAAUCAUCAACUAUCACAAAAGCAUAAUAAUUUCCUCCAUAGCUAGCAAUUCUAGAAGGGCCAAAUAAGUCCAUGUGUAAUAGUUGUAAGGGUCUAGUAGUAGAGAUCACAUUUUUAGAUUUGAAAGAGGACUUAGUUUGCUUACCCAUUUGACAAGCAUCACAAACUUUGUCUUUUUCAAAUUUAAAACUAGGAAGACCUCUAACCAAACAAUUUUUAGAAAUAUUUGAAAUUAAGUGCAUGCUAGCAUGUCCUAGUCUUCUAUGCCAUAACCAAGAAUCAUUAUGCAAAACCGAAAGACAUUUAUCAAUAAUAGGAUAAUCAUUCAAAUCAAGAGUGUACACAUUUUCAUCCCUAUUUCCAACAAACAAAACUUUUCUAUCACUAACAUUUUCAAUUAUGCAAUUUUUUUAUCAAAUAUUACUCUAAAUCCUUUAUCACACAAUUGACUAAUACUAAGCAAAUCAUGCUUUAAACCAUCAACCAAAUGAACAUUUUCAAUCAAAGUAGAUGAAUCAUUUCCUAUAUUACCCUUACCAAUUAUUUUACCUUUCUUGUUGUCACCAAAGGUUACCAUGCCUCCAUUCUUUUUGGAGAAAGAGAUAAGCUUGGAUCGGUCUCCCGUCAUGUGUCUUGAGCAACCACUAUCCAAGUACCAUUUGUUUUUCUUGGAGGCUUUCAAACAAACCUAAAAACAACUAAUUUCAAGUUUGAUCCUUUGGUACCCAUACUUGUUUGGGUCCUAGAAUGUUAGCAUUUACAUAUUUAGGGAUCCAUUUCAUUUUUUCAUAGACAUUACAAGCACUAGAUCUAGAUAGGUAACAAGAAUAAGCUUUAUGUCCAUACUUGCCACAAGAAAAACAAACAACAUUAUGCAAAGAUUUAUUUUUCAUAACAAAUUUAUGUACUCUACUUUUAUUGGAGAAAUUCUUCCUUGGAGCAAUGUAAAACUUUGCUCUUUGCGAAAAAUUUCUUCUUGAAUAAGUAUUUUGAGCAUACUUCAAUUUAAAGCAUUUAGGUCUAAUGUGACCUUCAACACCACAAUUAUGACAUAUGGGUACAAAACUAGAUUUAACAUGAUUAGACACAUGAUUAGACAUGUUAAACUUAGGCACAAUAGGUGAUGCUUUAACGAAUGUAGUUUUAGAACUUGAAGGAGUAGAUGAUUCAUCAAUAUAGCCUAAACCUCUCUUAUCACCAUAAGAUUUUCCUACUUCAAUAAUUUUGUCCAAUCUUUGAGCACCUAUUGUCAACUUUUUAAUAGUUUCUUUAGCUUUAUCAAGUUCUUGUAAAACACUUAGUUCAUUUUCUUUAAGCACUUUAAUCAAGUUAUCUUUUUCACAACUAUCAUGCUCAAGAAAUCUAACUUUAUCAAGCAAAGCAUCUUUCUCAAUACAAACAUGCUUAUCACUAGAGACAUUCAAUUCUUCAAUUUGCUCAAAAUUUUCAUUCUCUUUAAAGCAAGCAAUUGUAUCAAGUAAAGACUUAUUUUCACUAAUUAAAACAUUGUAUUUCUUCUUAAGCACAACAUACUUAGAACUAAGUUUUUCUAGGUCAUUUUGCAUGCUUUCAAAAUUUUCAAAUAAUUCAUCAAUAGAAAGAGGUUCUAGAGUUACCUUAUCAUCAUGUUCAUCAUCUUUGUCACUAUGAGCCAUGAGACCAAGAUUUGCCAUUUCUUCAACUUCACUUUCACUUUCACUACUAUCAUCCCAUGUAGCCUUCAUUGCCUUCUUCUUGGAUUUCUUAGAUGAUUUGAGGAGAGGACAAUCCGUUCUUAUAUGACCCGAUCUUUUGCAUUCAUAACAAAUCACCUCAUCCUUUUUGCUUUUCUCACCUUUUGACUCUUUUUGGGUUGAUAGGUGUUUCUUGAAAUAUUUCUUUCUUUUUAUGAAAUUUUUGUACUUACGUGAGAAAUAAGCAAUGUCAUCUUCAUCAAGGCCAUCCUCAUCUUCGGGAUCAACUUCCAAGGAGAUAGUCUUUAAUGCAAUGCUCUUCUUCUUUUUGGACUCAUCCUCCAAGUGCUCCUUCAUGAUGAUCUCAUGAGUCAUGAGUGAGCCAAUAAGCUCCUCUAGUGGAAGUUUGGUGAGAUCCUUUGCUUCUUGAAUCGCCGUUACCUUAGCUUCCCAAGUCUUAGGUAGAGACCUUAGAAUUUUUCUAACAUUUUCGGAAGUUGUAUAAACUUUACCAAGACCCUUCAAAGCAUUUAUGAUGUUAGUAAAUCUAGUAAACAUAUCGGUGAUAGUCUCAUUAGCAUCCAUCUUAAACAAUUCAUAAUUAUGAACAAACAUGCUAAUUUUAGACUCUUUAACUUGAUUUGUUCCUUCAUGAGUAAUUUCAAGAGUAUUCCAAAUUUCUUGAGCGGAAGAACACAUGGAUAUUCUAUUAAAUUCAUCUUUACUCAAGGCACAAUACAAACAAUUAAUAGCCUUAGCAUUAAAUGAACACUUUUUCAUUUCAUUUUCAUCAUACUCUUCUUCUAAUUUAGGCGUAUCAACAUUAUCAACAUUUUUCAUGGGUACAUAAGGACCUUUAGCAACAAUUAACCACAAAUUAUAGUCAAUAGAUUGCAAAUAAAUUUUCAUUCUAGCUUUCCAAUAUGCAUAAUUUGAACCAUCAAAAUAAGGAGGUCUAGAAGUAGAUUGACCUUCAACAAUACCAUUUGCCAAUAGGUUUGCCAUAAUGCUCUAACAAUAAAGUUUAUCAAGAAAUUAAAAUUUCAAGAUGAGCAACCUUGCUCUGAUACCAAUUGUUGGAUCGGUAUGGCAACCCUAGAGGGGGUGAAUAGGGUUUAAAUAAACUUUUUGACAAAUAAAAAGUAAAAUCAACUAAUUAGAUAUUUUUAAAUUUAAAUAAAGAACUUUGUAAACUUUGUUAAAUAACAAGAUUGAUAAAAAGAUAUGAAUGGAAGUAUGCAAUCAAACUCAACCAAUAAGAAUAUGUAACUAAAAUUAAAUUAAAAAAUAAUUAGAAAAGAGUUAGAGAAGAAGACACCGUAAUUUUAUAGUGGUUCGGUUAAACUCAACCUACAUCCACUUUCCCAAGCACCUUGGGAUUUUGAUUGAAAAUCUUCUUUGGACUCUUUCCACGGAUUUGAGCCGAACCGAUUCUUGCUCCUUUUUCGGGUUCAAGAGCAAACCCGAUCCUUUCCACGGGUUAGGAUCCAACCGUUACAAUAUGUUGAAGUUUUUAAAUCACACAAAAGAAAACUCUCUAAAAGAGUGAGUAUACAAUUUGAAGCUCACAAAUUUAAUCCUCACAAUACAAUAAGAAGCUCUCAAGAAUAAGAUGAAAAGAAUAAAAAUUGGAAGCUUUAGAGAGAAUAACAAUGUUGGCUUUUUGCUUGAGGAUUGUAAAGAUUUGUGAUCUUGUGUAAAUGUGAAGUAUUUAAAAAGAGAGGAAAGAUAAAUUCAAAAUCAUUUGGGUCAUUAGAUAUAAGUAAAAGAAAAAUGAAUGGUUGAGAUUUAAACUUAAUUAGCCGUUAGACACAAUACAAAUAAUAAUAUAAUAAUAUGUCUUUUCAAAAUAUUUUGUUUAAAAAGAAACCAAUAAAGCAUUGCUGGGUCGUUUGGAAAAUUCAAGUGAUACUUAAACACGUUUUGAAUACAUUUUAGGUUAGAUUGAGUUUGUUGCACUUACACACAUGGUUGUGAGUUACGAACUUACACUUAGGAUUUGCUUGGUCGUUUUGAAACUCAAGUAAUACUAGACACGUUUUGAGCACGUUUUAGGUUUUUGAACUAAGUUUGUUGCACUUACACACUUGGUUGCCAUUUUGGGUCUUGUAGUGCUUUUUUCACAAUAUUUGAACUUUUUUCGUAGGUUAUGAGUUACGAACCUGCACGUAAGCUGUUUUAGGUCGUUUUGAAAGUUGCAGUGAAAGUUAGACACGUUUUGAGCACGUUUUAGGUCGUUUUGAGCAUGUUUUAGGUCGUUUUGAGUAAAUGGUAUGUAUGUUGUGAUUGUUUGAUUGCAUGUAUAAUACCUUAUUGAGAUGUGUAUGCUUGAUUGAGAAGCUGAUAGAACACCAAGUAAUGGUUCUUAUUUGUUCAUUAAGCAACCAAACUAUUACAGAAUACAAUACUCAAACCAGUCUUGAAAACACCGAACAAACAAGUACUAUUACAGACAAUAACCAAGUAUAAAAUAAAACAUUCAAACAUCAAAAGUAGUUUAGGAUAAUGGAAAACACUUUCUAAGAUUAAAGUAACUGAACAACUUCUGUAAUUCUGCUCUCCAGAAAAUACAGCCCCUCCACUUCCAGAAACUGAUUAACCAACCCCCAUCUUUCCUUCCAUCUCUCCCUUUUAACCUCCCCCUGUAACUAACUGUUGUCCCCACUAAGGUGGUUUCCACUUCCUCCAAUUCCAUCACCUGUGCACGUGCAAUUCCACUUGUCUUUCUUCUGCUAUAUUGUAUUGCAAUUGGUGGUCUAUCAUUACUCUCCCUCUCCAAAGACACCUUGUUCUCAAGGUGGGAAAUGAGAAGCUUUUGUGUAAAAUCAUCACAAUUCUCCAUGUAGCCUCAUGAGGUGGUAUUCCUUUCCAACUAACAAGCACUUCCCACUUCUUUGUUGCUGGAUUUUUAGGAUAGCCAAAAUUGUCUGUGGUAGUAACUCUUGAAAUGUAGGAACAUCAUCAAUUCCAUAUAGUUCGGUAAAUGUCAUUCCUCCCUCCAUAGCUCGACAUUUUGUCAAGAAACCUUAAUCAGAUGGUGUCCAUGUCUCCAUCAUGUGUUACAGACUCACUCUAGUCUUUGUCAAACUCGGGUCACCCCUUAUAACAACAUUCUUUUCAUUUUGUAUGAAAGUUAAAGUGAGUUUCCGCCAAUCCACUUCAGUUACCCAACGUGUGCAGCCAUUGCAUUCCAAGGAUGACAUCCUGAUAGAACACUAUGAGUGUUUCUAUUAUAUUGAUAAUUCAAACACAACUUACAACAUAAGCAAACCGUGAACCUCAGAAAUGAGUCACGUUACAUAUAAUUCACAAACAUCAAACAAAGAAAACCUCCUAAUCCAAAAUUCUAAACAACAAAAUACUAAUAAGCAAACCAGAAUAUAGAACACCAAUCUUCUGCUUCCCCGUCUUUCAAGGAGUAUUGCAGACCUUUUCCUUCACUCCAAAAACUCACUUUAACAAAUAGGCAGCCACAUUUUUCAGGUAUAGAAAAUAAAGUAGGUAGUAUGUAGGAAGGCUAACCAAACUGAGUUGCAUAAGGUUUGUCUUCCGCCUCUAGAGAUGUUAUAUCUUUUCCACCUUUCAAGUUUCUUGUGAAUUCGAUCAAUGACUGGUUGCCAAAAAGACUUUUGUCGAGGCCAAAGGGAGACCUAAAUAUAUAAUCAGAAGCUUUUCUACCUUGCACCCUAUCAGAUUUGUUGUUUGAAACAAAUCUUCCUCUCCCACAUUAACGCCGCUAAGGGCUGAUUUUUCCCAGUUUACUUUCUGCCCCAAACACCAUUCGAAUAAUCUAAUGACGUUUUAAAGUUUAAUGAGCAUCUUCACAUCAUACUUACAAAAGAGAAGAGUAUCAUCGACAAAUUGAAGCAAAGGGAGGUGGAUCAAGUCUUUGCCAACAAGGAAACCUUCAAACUGGCUGUUAAUAUGAAGCUUGUUUAUGAUUUCUCCUAAAACCUCACUUACUAGGAGGAAUAAAAAGGGGAGAGGGGGUCCCCUUGGCGGAUACCUCUAGAUGCUGUUAUCCGGCCUCUAGGCUUACCAUUGAUGAAGACUGAAUACUUUGGGUUUUUAGGCAGCCCAUUAUCCAUAUAUCCAUUUGGAACUAAACUUUUUCAAAGAUAAUUUUUUUUCUAAAAAGUUCCAAUUCACCCUAUCAAAGGCUUUUUCCAAGUCAUGUUUUAAAAUCCAUCCUUUUUUCCGUUUUGCCCUAUAAUCUUCACGGCCUUGUUAGCAAUUAAUAUUGGGUCAAGAAUUUGCCUACCUUCAAUAAAGGCGCUUUGAGUGGGGCUUAUAAUUGCAUCCAUAACUUGUUUUAGACGUUCAGAUAAAACCUUUGCAACGACCUUGUAUGCUAACGUAGUAAGGCUGAUUGGACGGAAAUCCUUGACUAGAGUCACAUUCUCUUUUUUCUGCACUAAACAAAUGAAGUUUUCUUGAUGCAAGCAUUUAAUCGUCCAUUUAUGUGGAAAUCAGACAUUAGUGAUUUGAACAUAUCCUUGAAAAUAGACCAUUGGGUGAUUAGGAACUUCACUGUGAAGCCAUCCGGGCCCAGAGCUUUAUUUUGCCAAGUGCCUUUAAUGCCUUAAAGAUCUCCUCCAUUGAAAACUGGGCAACAAGAGCCUCAUUCUGAAUUGAGGAAACACAAGACCAAUUACUGUUAAUAGGGAUGAAUCUGUCCCCGGAAUUCUAGUAUAAAGUGACUCAAAAAAUUCCAGCACCAGCCUUUCAUUGUCGCGGAAUGAAGUCGAGACAACCCCAUCAUCAUCUUUUAAUUCAGUUAUGAGGUUCCUUCUUUUUUCGCAUUUAGAAAGCGGUGGAAGAAGCCGUAUUCUCAUCACCCAAAGAAAGCCAAUUGAGUUUACUCUUCUGAAUAAAAUUUCGCUCUUCAUUUUGAUAAAUACUAAGUAAUUUCGCUUGCAAAGCAGCUCUAGAAUUCAACUCUUAUUUAUUUAAUCCAAUCAACUCAGCCACAGAAUCAUAUUUUUCUAAUUUUGACAUCAAGGAUUUCUCUAUUUUUUUUUUACCUUAGCUUGUGCAGCAAUAUUCCAAGCUUUUACUGCCAAUUUAAUUGAUCUCAACUGCUCAUGAAGAAUGAAACCAGCCCAUCCCUGGAAGUUAGAGUUGCUCACUGUUUCAACAAUAAUCUGAUUAGAAUCACUGGACACCAACCAGCUGUUACAAAACGAAAAGGUGAGGGACCCCAAAGAAAAAACCAGCCUCAAGAAUAAAGGAAAGUGAUCCGAGAAGAUGCGUGCUUUUCGAGAACUCGAGAAUUUUCAAAACAAACAUCCCACAUCUGAUUUAUGAAGAAUCUGUAUAAUAAUGAUCUUCAAGGAGAAUUACCGUCUCUAGACAAGUGAACCUUCCAUUUUGCAAUGGAAUUUCCAUGAGAGAAACCAUGUCAAUAAACAUAUUGAAUAAUGACAUUCCUCUAGUCUUUGCCAAAAGGAAAUCUUUCCCGGCCCAACGAGUGAUAUUAAAAUCCCCACCUAUGCACCAGGCCACGACCGAACAAUCAGCUAAGGAAGACAAUUCGGGCCAAACCAAUUUCCUUUCUCUGCAACCACAAGGGCCAUAGACAUUUGUGAUCCAACAAACUUUUUGCACAAAGUGAGGCAUUUGAUUGACAAAGAGAAGCGUCUUUUAAUGACCUCUGUUACAGAUAUUUUACUGCUGUCCCACAUGGUAAGAAUUCCCCCAGAAGAUCCAACAGAAAGCCACAUAAUUCCAGCAAUAUCCUUAGAACUCCACAAUGAUUUUAUAAAAGCUGAGUUCAAGGUAUCCUUCUUAGAUUCUUGAAUCAUGACUACAAUUGUUGAUGAAUUUUUUUAAGUGCUGCACGUUUAGAGGAGUCGUUCAAACCCUUAUGUUCCAGGAGACAACCUUAAUAAUGACUAGGAGGAGGAAAAGGCAGUUGCACAUCUAAUUUAAGCCAGAAUGAUUCCACAAUCAUCGACUAUAGACACUAAAUCUUUAGGCAAAUCCAAGGGAAUUUUAAUAGGGAGAAUAUCUUCAUCAUUGAACAAGACAUUCAGAUCCAUCCAUUAAUUUCUGGGACUAAUUUAGGGUCAACUUCAGUGUUGGGGACUGCCAAUUUAACUGAUCUCAACAGUAAGUUGAUUAAGUUGGGCAGUAGGAGGGACACGAGACAAGGCAUCUGCUGCUUUGUUUUCUAGUCCCGGUUUAUACACGACAUCAAAAUUGUAGCCAAGAAGCUUAGCAAUCCACCCUUUGUUCAAUAAAAGUUUCAAUGAUCGUUGAUCAGUUUUCAGUACAACCUCCUGCCCAAAAGAUAAGGUCUACACGUUGCACAGCCAAAACUACAACCAUUAAUUUCCGUUCAUAAACUGGUUAGCACGAUCCUCAUAGCUAAUGUCUGGCUAAAAUAAGCAAUUGGCCGAUGAUUUUGAAUUAAGACAGCACCUACCCCGUAUCCAGAAGCAUCGGUCUCUAUUUCAAAUGGUAAGGAAAAAUCUGGCAGUGCUAAGAUUGGGAGAGUCAUUGUAGCCAUCUUUAAAUUCUCAAAAGUUUCAGCAGCUGCAACAGUCCAUUCAUAAGCUCAUUUCUUCAAUAAUUGAGUCAAAGAGCAGCCACACUUCCAUAAUUCAUUACAAAUCUUCGAUAAUAUCCUGUCAACCAAGAAAUCCACGAACUUCACGGACAUUAGGGCACGGCCAUUCUUUGAUAGAUAUAAUUUUCUUGGGAUCAACCUCUACACCCUUGCCCGAAAUUAUAUGGCCAAGAUUACUCCACUUUCACUUUGGCAAACCCACACUUGUGCAUAUUAGCAUAUAAUUUAUUCUCUCGCAGCACCUCUAACACCCAUUUAAAUGUUGAAGAUUUUCAUCCAAACUUCUGCUGUAAAUUAAAUAUCAUAAAAAAGACUAAGAAAACCUGCGUAGGUAAGGUUUAAAGAUACUAUUCAUCAAAGCUUGAAACGUUGAUGGUGCAUUGGUGAGCCCAAAAGGCAUGACAAGAAACUCAUAAUGCCCCUCGUGAGUUCUAAAAGCUGUUUUCUUCACAUCCUUUUUACACAUUCUAAUUUGAUGAUAUCCCUUGAGAUCAAUCUUCGAAAAUAUAUUAGCCCCAUUAAGUUCAUCAAACAAUUCCUCUACUACUGGAAUAGGAAACUUGUCUGGAACGGUCACACUAUUCAACGCACGGUAAUCUACACAAAACCGUCAACUACCAUUUUUUUUUCACCAACAAGACCGGGCUCGAAUAUGGACUAGUACUAGGUUUUUAUGCCAAAUGCCAUCAUUUCAUCAACCAAUCUUUCCAUCUCAUCCUUUUGCUGGUAUGCAUAUCUAUAAGGCCGAACAUUGACUGGAUUAGUCCCCUUCUUAAGAUGUAUAUGAUGUUCAAUGGUACAUUGUGGUGGCAACUCUCCAGGCCAAUCAAAAAAUCUUCAUACUUAGCUAACACGGCUGGAAUAGACUCAUGAAUGGUAGACUUCAUCAACCCCAUACAUCGCUGCAAAUGCCAUUCCACCUUCCAAAGAUCUACACUCAAUCAGAAAUCCCUGAUCAAGUUCUGUCCAUGUCUUCAUCAUGUGCUUCAAACUCACCCUAGCCUUCGUAAGACUCGGAUCUCCCCUUAAUACAACCUUCUUCCCAUUUUGUAUGAAUGUCAAAGUAAGUUUUCACCAAUCUACUUCGGUUACUCCUAAUGUAUGUAGCCAUUGCAUACCAAGAAUGACAUCCACUCCCCCCCAAUUCCAAUGGCAGAAAAUUAUCCACAACCUUCCAUUCACCCAAUAGCAGUUCCACUUGUUUACAAAUUCCCUUCCCUUUUACAGCAGAUUCAGACCCCAAAUAACCCCAUAAUCAGAAGUUUCCUCAACUGAACAACAAUUGAGUUACUAAAUUUUCAGAUAUAAAAUUAUGGUCGCGCCGCAAUCUAUCAUACUACUACUGACCUUUCUCUAAUCAUACCUUUAAUUUUCAUAGUUCCAGGGUUUGUUAAUCCACCACCGAAUUUAUUGAUAAUUCGAUCACGGUUCUUCUGUUUAACAACUUCAGUCUCCUGUAUUUCAGUUUUUUUGAAUCCUCUUCUUCAACUACUUCUAGUUCUUCCCCAUUUGCCCCAACAACUAAAACUCUAAGUUCCUUAUGAUCUUUCACUUUACACUUAUGGCCCACAAAAAAUCAUUCCUCACAACGAGAGACCUUUCUCACGUCUAGCCUGAAAUUCAGCAUCAGAAAGUCGUUUUAGUGGUCCUUCUCGUCGAUUAGGUUCACCAGCCACUCCUCGAAGUGUAAUCAUCCGCAUUGGAACAAUCCCUCCUGACUUAUUAUCAUUAGAAAUCACAGGAAUUUGAGGUUUAAAAGAAGCAGAAACCUGGAAUUUUCCAUCCGCUGCACGUUUGAAACUUGAUUCUCCCCUUAUCACUUCUCGGUUCUCAAUCUUUUGGGCCAACUUCAUCAUUUGAGCAAGCCCCAUAGGUUCCCAACAUUCCAUGUCUGCCUUAAUCCAUGGUUUCAAACCAUUCAUAAAUGUUUCUUCUAAGACAGCCUUUUGUAGAAAAGGCAAUGGUGCUACUGAUUUAUCAAAUAAAUUCAUAUUCUUCCACUGUAAUUUCUUGCUUGAUCUUUAAAAAUCUUCCCAGAAUUGAUCCCUCACGACUCGAUCGAAAUCAAACAAUAAGUCUCUUCUUUAAAUCGUCCCAAUUAACAAACGGUUCACGAUCUUCAUGAGAUCUAUACCAAUCAAAGCUGCUCCAUCAAAACUAAUAAUGGACACAGUCAUUUUCUCUGACUCACUCAGUUUGUGUAUCUGAAAGUAUCUCUCAGCCCUAAACAACCAAGAAUCAGGAUCAUUUCCCACAAAAACUGGCAUUUCAAUUUUUUAAAUUUGCUUCGGUCGCCCGCAGAAUCUUCACCCUCCAACUUGGUAUGUUUUUCCUCAGAUUUUCCCCCAUCAUCGUUGAAUCACUGACAUCAACCAUGCUGUCAACUUUACUUGAUGAUCCUUCUAGUACUUCUUCCAUCGUUGUCUUCCCUUUGAUCAUUCCUUCAAUAUAUUUCAACAGUGUUUCUGGUUGAUGUUGUAGCUUCUCAGCCUGUACUCCUAACCUCUCAAUACUCUUUGCCAAAGAUGACAUGUUUUCCUUGAUUGUUGGCAGAUCAUGUAAUUCUGCUCGAAUGCGGAUAUUUCUUGAUCUACAUUUCCAACUUUUCCUCAAUUCGCUUUUGAGCCAUGAUAUAGAACUUCACAUAUUCGAUUUCUCUGAUGCCAAAAUGAUAGAACACCAAAUAGUGUUUCUACUAAUUUAUUAAUCAGCCAAACUUUUACAGAAAACAGGUUCUAACACAGUCUUGAAAACAAAGUACAACACAAGAACUAAUACAAGGAUAAACCAAGUUCAACAUAAAACAUCAAAACAGUAAAGUACUUCACGAUAAUGGAAAUAACUUGCUCCAGACUACAGAAACUGAACACUUCUGCAUUCCCUGCUCUCAGGAAAUUACAGCCCUCCACUUCCAGAAACCGACUAACCACCCCUCUCUUCCCUCCAUUCUUUCCCUUUUAACUAUCUCCCAUGUAACUAACCUUGGUCCCCACCAAGGUGGUUUCCACUUCUUUUUCCAUUUCUCUCCAUUUCCCUUCUCUUAUUCACGUGCAACUGCUCCCUUUUUCCUCCUACUAUAUUGUAAAAUAAUUGGUGGUCUAUCACAUUACUUAUGUGAAGGUGAACCAUUAUUUUGUUUGAAUUUGAAACUGAUAUCUCUCUCUCUCUCUCUCUCUGCUUUUUGUUUCUUUGGUUACCACCUAGUGCUUAUGUGCCUGCCUGGUGGGCCUUCAAAUGUUUCAAGUAUGCACUUUUUCUAAUGCCAAUUGCUUCAUGUUUUUUUGUUCUUGAAGAGGAGGGAUAGUGUGAAGAAUCAAAUUCAAGUUUGUGGCUGUACAGGAACAACUAUGUGAAAGAGACCACCUAUUCACGAACUGGAAAGGAGAAUAGAAGAUAAAGAUAGAGAAUUGCAAUCAAUUACAUUAGACAACGAAGUAGUCUGUUGUUUUUUUCCUCAUGCUUUAUUUACUUGCAUAAGAAUGUUUUUAAAUGAUUUGUUUUUUUCUUCACUAACCCUUUUAUUCUAUAAUUUCUUCACUGGCUUGGGUCAAGGAUGAUCUUCUGCGGGAAAAAGAAAAAGAAUUAGCAACUUACAGGUUACAUUUUGUUGAAGUCUUUCAAUUUUUCUCUUCUUUAGCCAUUGAUUUUACUUUUUGCUUACGCUCACACCUUAACACAUUCUUUAGUAUUUUAAUUUUAUUGCAGUACAUUAUAUACAAUCUUCAUUUUUCUUGGCUCUACUGUAAAUGGUGUUUAUUUUAUUAUGGAUUUGUAUAUUAUACAACACUGCCAUAUUGAAGUCAUAAAGUUAUGAAAAAGGAAUGAAGAGGCUUAUCCAUGCAAGCUUCAAACCAAAGUCAAGGAUGUUGAUCCUUCUAGGGAGUCCACCGUUCCCCCCCUUAUUUUUCUCCCUUUACUUUGAUUUUCAAAAGCUUUAAGGACGAAGCAAUUUUUUAAGCGGAGGGUGGAUAAUAGCUCGCUUGUUUUGUCUAAACUUGGGGGAUUUCAAAUUUUGCCCAAAUUUCAAAAAAUUUCAGAAGUUUUUCAUUACAACAAUGAGCAUUAUAGCUUCUUAAAUCUUGCAUAAAAGGCAUGACUAUCAACCCUUGAGCACUAAGCUCGGGUUUGUGACGUGAGAUUUUGAAUUUUGAUGAGUAUAUGUACUGAAAUUUGAGAAUAAGCUUUUGUCCUUUUAAGCCCUUUCACAACUUGUACAUAUCCUUUCUUUUUUUCGUUUAGGGCUUACUUUAGUUUUGUUAGUUGGAUGAAGCAAUUUGGAGUUUCAAAGUUCUUGAAAAGGUUAAAUUUUUUGUUUGAAAUUGGGCACUCGGUACUAUUGAUACAACAGUCAAACAGUAGUAGUUGAGACGUGAAACCUCGUGAUUACCUGCAUUCUAGUGUUUGCAGUCUGUGAAAAAGCAGAGAACUGUGACAACUCCUUUUUUUUUCUUCACCAGGGUAAUAAGAAGCAUUGGAACUUCCCUAUUAAUUGAUAGAGUCUUACUUGCUGUCUCCACAUGGUAGUAAAAUAUUGUUUACUUCAUCUCUUUAGCCGUAUGCAUCUUAAAUGCAAAAGCUCACAAUAUAUGGGUGACAUAGUCAAAGGGAUCUAAGACAAGGAGACCCCCUGUCCCCAUUCCUUUUUACCCUCCGUGGUGAUGCUUUCAACAGAUUAGUUUACUUCUAUAUGGAGAAAUAAGCUCUUGAAGGUUGGGAGAUCAGUAGAAAAAAGGUGGCUAUCCUUCAUCUUCAGUAUGCUGAUGACAUUUUGUUUUUUUGUCCAGGGGAUGUUCAUUCUUUAAUUUGAAUAUGGCGAAUUUCUUCCUAAUUUGGAUUAAUAUGAAGGAGCAUAAGGUGUUUGAUGGAACUCCAAUUGGUAUUAACGUAGGAAUUUCAUUGAUAGUAGCAAGGGAAUGAAUUCCCAAAUACAAGCUAACACUCAUACCUUCUGCAACCUAUCUUUCAAGGGACUGAAAGGAACUCUUUACUUGAAUCUCUAACUAACUUUCCCACCUUUCUAUUUCAUCUAUUUAUACUAGUCUCUCCUUCCUCCUACUAACUAACUCACACGUGCUUCUCACGUAUUAAUUCUUUUUCUUUUCUCUUCUACUAUAUUGAUAUAAGAUAGGAGGUCUUAAGCUUGCGGUUGAGUUGGGUUGUAAGAUGGAACCUCUCACCCUUAACUCGCUAGGCUUUCCUUUGGGUGGUAAGCAUUGGUUUCUGGCCUUCUGGCUUUCUGGGAUGUCGACAAAAUUAGAAGUAAGAUUGCUAAAUGGAAGAAUUUGUUUCUUUCCAAAGGUGGCUGGUAAUCAUUGAUUGCUCCGUUGCUCAAUGAGUUGCCUUUGCAUUUCCUUUCCCUCAUCAAAGCUCCUUACAGGAUGAUUAAAAGUAUGGAGAAACUGUUUAGAUAUUUCUUCUGGGGUGGUGAAGACAACUCAGGAGUCAUCUUGUUAUAGGAAAGUUCCAGCACUGAUUGAGAAAUGAAAAUUUAUGGAAUCAGUUACUUGGUUCUCUGUGAAUGAUAUGUUUAAAAUUUUUCAUUCAUAAUCUAUAAUUUGUACCCAUAUAGGUUCUCAGGUUUUAGCAAGUCAUUUGAUUUAACAACAUAUUGGUAAUAACUUUGACUUUUAUUUUGCAGCCUUUUUACUGUAUGCAGCAUCGGUUAUGACAGCUGUGUUUAUUGUGGUUAUAUUGCUGUUUUUGUUGUCAAUGGCGAUAUAUCUGGGCUUUUUGUUUUUGUUGUUGUUGUUUGGUGGUGAUGGUGGUGAAAUAUUUUAUUUAAGCCUCUAGUUAAUAUUUAUGUUUACUUAACAAAAUUUGUUGCUUGAGCUUGCUUCAUUUUGUCCUUUUACUUGUUUAAGUCCUCUCUACCUUGUCAGUUUAUUAGACAAGCUUGAUGCUUCAUUUAUUUCCUGGAUUGAUGGCUAAUGAAAAACUUCUUGUACUCUUCUUUCUUCCUCAAAAUCGCCGAUUCACGACCAUCUUCUUCUCCUAGCCCUAACAGCGCCAGAUUUCUCAACUAUCGAUCGACGUGACAAUCAUGCCUGUCUGCUUGACAAAGCCUUUUUCGGUCUACCAAUAAAGGAAAAAGGAUUGCUGGUGACACGAAAGUUGUGCUCGACGCUCCUUUUCCUAUUCCACUGCGCGUCGUGGUCUUUCCCUUGCUGGCUUGGAUGACUACUAUGGAUGAUGAUCACAAUGGAUCACAAAUACCCAAGGAUGCCCAAGGAUGCCCGAGAGAGCUCCUUAGUGGAUCACAAAUGCUUCCAAAUUCUUUGUUCGUAGACUAAUUUGAAAUCCUUCCAAUUUUAGGGUUCUAAAAGGUAGAAUUUGACCACAAAAUCCAAAAUUUUUCUUUGAUUAUUAAUUUAUUGUAUUCAACUUUCUGUCGGUUAUUUACAAUACAUUAUAGUUUAAAGAUUUGAAGUAGCUUUACCUCACCUAUAUAACUACAUUUAAAUCGAAUAUUUGUGGUUUCAUGGAGAUACUUUUAUUUUUUUUACUUAAGGUCUUGUAGUAAUAACUUUACUUUCUUUUAACAUCACAACAUUCCUCUAAACUUGAAUCAUGUGUUAAAUUCUUACUUCAUUCAGGAAAAUAUGGAUCCAUGUUGUCUUUGAUAUCCAUAAGAUACCAAUUAGAUUGUAUUAAUUAUUGUUUAUAAGAAAAUAUUUGUGUGCAGAGUUUCAGUGGGUAAAUCUUAAUGGCUGGCAGAGCAGAAAAUUGGUCCGGGAUAUAUUACUCUCAAGACAAAGUAUUUUUUAUCAGUUUAUUUCCCAUGGGGUAUUUGUUCUUCCUAUGCUUUAUCCUUAUCCCAUCUUUCUCCGAUGUAGUCUUCAUAGGAUGGAUUUCUGUGGUGUAAAUUUAUUCAUCUAGUUUGUUUGAUUUAUGGUUGCAUUUAGGGAGAAGGUAAAUUACAUAAGCCGAAGUAGUUAUGGAAAACAUCUCCAAUUUACAGCAAGUUAAAGCAAAAAAAAAAAAAAAAAAAAGAGAGAGAAAAUAGCAGUUAAAAACAACUGGGCAUCUUGCUUUUUCUUAUUGAAAGUUAUGUCGUUUAUUUCAAGUCAAAUUGACCACAAAAUGCUCAAAUGAGAUUCUUCAAUAGAAUAUGUAAAAAAAUAUAAUAUGUAAAAGAAUUUUUAUAUUGGAAUUGGCAGAUGGCUGAGGGCCUUCGUGAAACGUGGAGCGAAGCGAUAACAUUAUCCUUCAAAAAAUUCAGGAGUAAAUAUUUAUGUGAAAGGACAUAUUAUUUGCCAUUUGACCUUAUUUAUUAUUGAAUUAUUUGGUUGGAAAUGAUAAACUACACAUUAUUGUUUCUUCAGUUGUGAUCUUGAUUAUGGGCUAUUUGGUAUUUUGCCUACAAACUGUAUAGUUAAUUAUCUGUUAGCUUUUGUUUUCUGUCACAACUUUAUGUUUAUGUGGCUAAUUGUAGCCAAAGUUUUAUUUAUCAUCUUAUUUUUCACAGCAUAAAUGAAACUGUGUUUCAAGAACAGGUGCUGCUACAUCAUUCAAGGAAAUUCGUCGUAGAGGUCCGUAAGUUUUUUCCUUUGGAGUGUGAUACUAACCUGUUUGAAUAAAGGAAUCUGACUUGGUCUUUUCCUCUUUAACAUUAUGGAUUAGGUCUUUCUCUUUACCAGAUUUCGUAGCUGAAGUUUAUGAAGUAAUCAAACGGUGUUAACUUCUUAUAUAAAGGUUAGUGCUAACUGCUAAGCUUAUUUCUAAGAUGAAAGAUGCUUUUAUCCCUCCCCAAAGAAUAUCAUUACUAUUUAUGUUGUUUCUGAUAACUAAUUCUUGCAUAGCAUCUGGUUUGAUAAUUAAAGUAAAGUUUCUGACAUGGAGGUUUUCAAGUUGUAAUAUAUAUUUUAUGUUUUAGGUAGAUUCCCAAACUUUGAAGAAACACUACAGUACUGAGGUAAUUGAAUGUUGUAAGGCAGAGCAUCGGGCUUACCAGAGCCAAGGUAUCUUCUUCGAUAACAAGGUAAGGAUAGUCCGGAUACUACAUUUCUUUUGUUAUUGAAGUUUAGUGUUCCUUUUGUUGGGUGCUUGGUGGUUGUGCACCUAUAUUGAUUUGUACUUCUGUUAAUUAAUUAUAGUCCUUCUCUCUUGUCUGAGUAAUUAUUGUCUACCAUCUUGUUAGCAAAGGCUUCCCAUGGAAAUUCAGUUUGUUGUGCUGCAUGUCCACGAUGAUUUUCGUGAUUUUAGUUUUAGAUACAUAAAAGGGUCUUUACAUCACAACAUGAAUGACUAUUUUUUAAUAUGAACCUACAAUACCCCAAAUGAAUGCUAGAUUAAAUUGGAUACAAGGCAGAUAGAUAGUGAGAUGGAGAGUGUUUGUGUGCUUUAGAGCCAUCUGUCUCUAAAACAUAGUUUCUUCCCCCCCACCCCUAUAAGAAGUAAUUUUAUUGAUGUAUGAAAUUUACAAAAGGUUUGGUGGAACACCCACAACAAUCUUUUUGAACUUUUUGGUAGGUUAUGAGUUACGAACUUGUAUUGAAUAUUUGUUAGGUCGUUUUAAUAAUUCAAGUGAUACUUAGAAAAUGCAACCGAACUUAAACAAUUCUGCACAUUUUUCUAAAAUUUUUAGUUUAACCUCUUUAAUAAAAUUAGAUGGAAAUUCUUGUUUUCUUUUUGUAGGAAUAAAGGAAAAUGAAAUAUAACCAAACUUGGGAUCUUUGCAAGCAAGCUUCCAUGAAGAAACUAGGUUACAAGGGGAGGUCUUCUGUUUUCCUUUUUUUUUAUCCAUCUGUACAAUAUUGCUGAAAAUGCUUUGAGGACAAUGCAAAUUUUUAAGUGGGGGUGAGGUUGUAGCCUUGCACAUUCCAUGUCCUCUGGGAAAUUUUCAUUUUGCAAAUUUCGCUAAACAUGUCAAAAUUUAGAAACUUUUGCAAUGCUCUAUGCUUAGAAUAAGUACCAUGUCUACUUCGCUUUUUAGCAUAAAAAUGCAUGUAUGCCUAACCCAUGAGAACGGAGCUCGGAUUUGUGAUUGUAUUUGUUAUUUGAAUAUGUUACAUAUGUUGAAAAUGCAUAUAUUGAUAGCUUAGAAAUGAGUAGAACACUUGGUUCAUUUUCUGAAUAUUGUGAAUUAUGUACGUAAUAAUAUGUGCGGUUGUCUUUUUUAUCUCAAUUUUAAUCCCCCUUUUUUGCCAUAUUCUACUGCCUUUUUUAUAUUAAUUUUAAAUCCCUCUUCUGGCCAUACACAUUUGUAUAAGAUUGUUUGAAAGCAAAAUACGAUUGUUAGGUCAAGUAGAAAGCAAAGCCGGCAAGUUCUUAGAGUUCUUCACCCAACAUAACAGUCGAUAAAAACAAAACAAGAACCCUAAACCCUAAACCCUAAACAAAACAUGACUGGCAACCCUUGACCACUAAGCUUAGGUUUGUGAUGUAAAAUUCUGAAUGUUGAUGAUUAUAUGUGCUGAAAUUGAGAAUAAGUUGCCGUCUUUUUUGGUUUAAGCCCCUUUUUAACCACAUCUUAUUGAGAUGUGAAUGCAUGAUUGAGAAAAUGGUAUGUGUGUUGUGAAUGCUUGAUUGCAUGUAUAUAAUAAAUAAGUAUGGAUACUUUUCUAGCUUUGUCUUCCUUUGUUGCUUUGCCGACUUACCUAUGAUGCACUUAGUCCAAACUAACCUAGAUAGAGUUAAAAAAGGAUAGGAGGUACUCUUUAGAAAUUGAGAUGGUUUUAACAAAUUUGUCUUGUCAAACAUGAGUUAGGAGCCUCUUGUCUAGCCACAAUGAACUAAAUCCCUUUAGAAAAUGGUGGGCAUUAACAAAACUUGUUGUCACUUCGAAGGGAGCAGUCAAACUUAGAAACUAAGUGUACAACCAUAGAAAGGUUAGUCCACCGGUUGUAGCAAGACCUAGUUACCACAUUGCAUUCCAAAGAAAGAAAAGAGAGACUUGCAAACGUAAAACAGUGAAACAAUUAAGAGAUAAAAAAACAAACAACAUAUGCAAUAUACAUCAGAAAAAGGCCAUAAAAAAUGAGAGGAAACUUCACUUUUGGCCUAACCAAAACCAAACCACCUACUCUUAGCGUUCUAGACAUAGCACUGAGUUUGAUGAGGGCUUUGAAAAGAGGAGGAAUCCUCCAUGUUCCACACUAGGGAAAACGAAGCUUUUCUUCUUCUUCUUCUUCUUUGUUUCUUCCUGCUGCCUAUUCGACCUGCAACUUUGAGUGUAGUUGCUUGGCUGUCUAAUUGCCACCACUCAAAGUCACUCCCUCGCCUUCUUAUCACUCUUAAUUUCCUUGACAACAAAGUCAAACUGCUACAAAACAAUCGAAUUUUCGUUUGAUUAAUUUUCUAUCCACGGGAGGCUUUUGUAUGUUGAUCACCCUUGUUUUCUUUGAAAAGUUUAAAAUUCCAUACACGAUAUAUUGGGAAACUUGAUUUUGAAUAAUGCCAGUUUGAGGAUUUUCAAAUGAAAUGGGCUUUUGAAACAUUACAACAUUAUCAUAAGAGGUUCUGCAUGUUCAACGAUGACAUACAAGUGAGUAGUUCAUGUUGUAUUCAUGCAGUUGAUAAUUACUUAAAAGGACAUUCAUUUUCGUUUAUUUCAUUUCAUAAAGGGAACUGCUGGUGUUGCUCUCGCUGGACUAUUGGGAAAUGUGAGAGCUCAAGGGCAGCCAUUGAGUGAUUUUGUUAACCAAAAGAUAGUAGUGGUAGGGGCUGGAAGGUAUUGUCAGCUGUUUAACUUUAACAUUUUCUCCAAAUAGCAAUACUGCUAACUAUUUAGGGAUCGUAAGCCUUGUCCUCUUUGUUGAAACAAAAGUGGUUGUUUGAAAGAGGAAUUACUAUUACUAUUACGUGAAUAUAAGAGAAAUGAAAACUUUGGAAACUAUAGUUCAAUCCUUUUGGUUUAACCUUCAUUUGUUUCAACAUGCUGUUUUUUCUCCUCUUUCAACUUCAGUGUUGGGUCUGUUCUUAACAUGGCUAUUCAGGCUGUUUUGAGAAUGGUAGGGAACAACGAUUCUACUGCAAGAAAUCGAUUUUUUUUCUAAUAGACAAAGAUGUAAGAAUCUUUUUCAAACUUUCAUUUCUCAAUUUAUGCAUCAGUCUGUCCAAGUUUUUCCUUCCAUGAGAGUUACUGAUUUCAGAAACUCGGAUGGGGUUUGGAAUUUGGGUAGCUUUAUUAUGGGUUAAUUUGUAUGACGCAGUUUCGUGUGAAAAGUAUGAGGCAGUUGAAGAAGUUAAAUGACUUGUGGUGGUAGUAAUCAGUGUCAAACUCAUGUGGUUUUUAACUUACAAAGAAAGAGGAAAAAUAUCAACUUAGUCCGAUGCAGAUUAGGGUUUUAAGUCUUCUAUCUAAUUGUUUGUGUGAUAAAUGCAGUUACUUUAUCAAAAACAAAGAAGAAAAGGAAGGGACCACAAGAUUCUUUAGUAUUUUAAUUUUAUUGCAUUACAUUAUAUUCAAUCUUCAUUUUUUUGGUUGUGCUGCAAAUGGUGUUUCUUCUAUUAUGGAUUUGCAUUAUACAACAUUGCCAUAUUAAGUCAUAAAGUUAUGAAAAUUAGAAACACACCCUUUGUAGGAGAGAACAUGAUCCUUCCUUUGAAGUAAAUUGAGAGAAUUUCCUCUACUGCCUCAAUUUUAAGGCUUGAGGUUUGAAGAACAAGGAUGAAUAAUCAACGAAAAAGGAAUGAAGAGGUUUCUCGUUUAGGGAAAAUAGCGAUUUUUCGUUUUUCAUACUUCCAAAACGACACAAGUAUGAACUUAUUGUGUAUUAAAUUGAUCGAGAGGCCUUCCAAUUUUUGUUAAUCUAUAGUUUCUGUCUCUAUUUUAAUUAACUGCUACAUGUAGAAGCCUAACUAACUUAGUUAGAGUUCUAUCAAAAAAAGGAAAGAAAAAAAGGAAGAAGAAAGAUCAUGUGAUAAAUUUAUAGAAAUGCCAUGCAAUUAUUUUCUAACUAUUAAUUUAUGUUUCUGUGGUAAAUUACUGCUACUAGAAAUCUAAUUGUGUUCGGUUAGUUAGACUUCAUGGUUUGAUUUUUUUUUUUUUUUUGUUAAAGAGGUUCCAUAAGUAUACCGAUGGUUUUGAAAUUUUGAUUUGAUGCAUGUCUGAGAAAUUUCAAGGCUAAAUUAUACAGAAUACCCAUAAACUUUGUACUUUAUAUAAAAAUACCAUUGAAAAUACACCAAACAUAAACUACCAAAAGUGUUAAAAAUACAGUUAAUAUAAUUAUCUAAUUUUAGUAAUAAAUGAAAUUGAGAGAACUUUCUUUGAUUUUCAGGAACAAGGAUGAAUAAUCAAUGAAAAAGGAAUGAAGAGGUUUAUCCAUGCAAGCUUCAAACCAAAGCCAAGGAUGUCGAUCCUUCCAGGGGAGUCCAAAGUUCUCCCUUAUUUUUCUCCCUUUAUUUUGAUUUUCAAAAGUUUGCAAUUUUUUAAGUGGGGGUGGGCAAUUGCUUGCAUGUUUAGUCUAAACUUGGAGGUUCAAAUUUUGCCAAAUUUCAAAAUUUCUAAAAAAAAUUUCCUUACAAUAAUGAGCACUAUACCUUCUUAGAUUACUUAGAUCUUGCAUAAAAAGCAUGACUAGCAACCCUUGAUCACUGAGCUUGGGUUUGUGAUGUAAAAUUCUGAAUGUUGAUGAGUAUAUGUGCUGAAAUUUGAGAAUAAGCUGCCAGUGUUUUUUGGUUUAAGCCCAUUUUUAGCGAUAUCUUAUGGAGAUGUGAAUGCAUGAUUGAGAAAAUGGUAUGUGUGUUGUGAAUGCUUGAUUGCAUGCAUAUAAUAAAUAAGUGCAUGGAUACUUUUCUAGCUUUGUCUUCCUUUGUUUCUUUGCCAUGACUUACCUAUGAUGCGCUUAGUCCAAACCUAGCCUAGAUAGAGUUAAAAAAGGAUAGGAGGUACUCUUUAGAAAUUGAGAUGGUUUUAACAAAUUUGUCUUCAAACAUGAGUUUGGAGCCUCUUGUCUAGCACAAUGAACUAAAUCCCUUUAGAAAGGGUGGGCAUUAACAAAUCUUGUUGUCACUUCGAAGGGAGCAGUCAAACUUAGAAACUAAGUGUAGAACCAUAGAAAGGUUACCCACGGUUCUGGUGUUCGCAUACCAAAGAAAGAAAAAGACACUUGCAAAUGUAAAAUUAAAGACAGCGAGACAAUUAAGAGCUAAAAAAACAAACAACAUAUGCAUUAUACAUCAGAAAAAUCCCAUAAAAAAAUGAAGGGAAACUUCACUUUUGGCCUAACCAAAACAGACCACCUACUCUUAGCGUUCUAGACAUAGCAUUGAGUUUGAUGAGGGCUUUGAAAAGAGGAGGAAUCCUCCCCGUUCCACACUAGGGGAAAAACGAGACUUGUUGUCACUCCGAAGGGAGCAGUCAAACUUAACAUUGAGUUUGACGAGGGCUUUGAAAAGAGGAGGAAUCCUCCCCGUUCCGUAGUAGGGGGAAAACGACGCUUGUUGUCACUCAGAAGGGAGAAUUCAAACUUAGAAACUAAGUCCCCACCCCACAAGAAACUUGUCCAAUGAACCUUAACACUACGAGGAUGAAUAGUAUCCCAUGCACUAGCAAUCAAAAAACCACUAUGACGACCAAGAACCCAAACCCACCUAUCACCAACAUUAGGACACGAACUUACAACUUGAACCCUAUCCCAUAAAGUAAUCAAAUACAAAGACACCCUCGACAACUCAUUCCCUUUCGAACCAAUAAACUUAGAGAGCCUAGCCUCCUAUCUACUCGUUACAUUAUAAAGCGCUCUCUCACCAACUUGUUGAAGGAUAGGACCACCCUGCAACCACGGAUCCAGGCACAGUUUACAAUGCCUACCAUCCCCAACCUCCAUCCGAACAUGCUCUUUUAGACUAGCUUGGCUAAUUCUGAUUUAUUAGAGGAAAGUUGUGUGAAGAUACAAAUUCCAAAUUCAGUUGCCAAAAGGUCAGUACUGCUUGUUGGAUCGAUAUGGCAACCCUAGAGGGGGUGAAUAGGGUUUAAAUAAUCUUUUUGACAAAUAAAAAGUAAAAUCAACCAAUUAGAUAUUUUUUUAAUUUAAAUAAAGAACUUUGUAAACUUUGUUAAAUAACAAGAUUGAUAAAAAGAUAUGAAUUGAAGUAUGCAAUCAAACUCAACCAAUAAGAAUAUGUAUCUAAAAUUGAAUUAAAAAAUAACUAGAAAAGAGUUAGAGAAGAAGACACCGUAAUUUUAUAGUGGUUCGGAUAAACUCAACCUACAUCCACUUUCCCAAGCACCUCUUGAGAUUUUUAUUGAAAAUCUUCUUUGGACUCUUUCCACGGAUUUGAGUCGGACCGAUUCUUGCUCCUUUUUCGGGUUCAAGAGUAAACCCGAUCCUUUCCACGGGUUAGGAUCCAACCGUUACAAUAUGUUGAAGUUUUUAAUUCACACAAAAGAAAACUCUCUAAAAGAGUGAGUAUACAAUUUGAAGCUCACAAAUUUAAUCCUCACAAUACAAUAAGAAGCUCUCAAGAAUAAGGUGAAAAGAAUAAAAAUUGGAAGCUUUAGAGAGAAUAACAAUGUUGGCUUUUUGCUUGAGGAUUGUAAAGAUUUAAUGAUCUUGUCUUUUAAAAUUUGAGAAAAGUGAAGUAUUUAAAAAGAGAGGAAAGAUAAAUUCAAAAUCAUUUUGGAUCAUUAGAUAUAAGUAAAAAAAAAUGAAUAGUUGAGAUUUUUAAUUAGUCGUUAGACACAAUACAAAUAAUAAUAUAAUAAUAUGUCUUUUCAAAAUAUUUUGUUUAAAAAGAAACCAAUAAAGCAACUUCACCAUCUUUUAAAAAAAACUAGCCGUUAGACACAAGGAAAAAUAAUAAUAUUAAGUCAUUUUCUUUUUAAAUUCAUUUUCUUUAUAAAAGCCAAUAAAACAUAACAAAAAGCCACAUUUGUUAUUCCUUCAUUGCUCCAAGUGGCUUUGUCUAAUUGGUUCAAAUUGAAUGCUUGGUCGCCACGUCACCAUCUCGGGUAUUUUUCCGUUAAACUUUUUUUAGCAAUAUUUUCUUCAUUUGAACUUCGAUUUGGGUGAUUCAAGAGGCGUUAGAAUCAUUUUUCCAAGCUCUACGAUAUGGUCUAUUCAAAUCAAUAAAAUUGUCAAUAAAAAAAAAUCAGAUUUGUUAUCAUCAAAACAUAAAUUAAUUGAAUAAUUAAAAUAAAUUAAUUUGAGAUUAAGGGCCAAAAAGCCAACACUGCCUUCCUCCUUAAGUAAUAAAUUUUCUCAAUCCUCCUCCAAACUUUCUGGUUCAUUCUUUAAUUUUGUGCAAGAUACUUCUUGUCUAAAAGAAGUUGAGAACUUAGAAGAUGAAUUCAUGGAAGUUGAAUCAGUCACCAGUGUAAGUAGUGUAGAAUUUGAGGAAGAAAUAAUUCAAUCAGAGACAGAGAAACGAGAGGACAGUGACUGUCUCGGUCCAGAUUUUAUUAAAUUGUUUUCCUCCCCAAAAAAAGAAAUUUUGUGCAGGUCGCAAGUAUCCUUCUCCCUCAAGAGUUGGUUCCUUUCUUGGCAGCAUGUGAAGUUGAAUUGAUAUAAGGCAGAGGUAGCAAAGAUGGAGAUUAUAUCAUGGAACGCUAGAGGAUUCAUGGGCCAUUCGAAACAAUUGGCUAUUAAAAAUCUUUUGAAGAAAGCUAAUCCAGAUAGAGCAUUGAUUCCGGAGACCAAAAGAGAAGAUAUUGCCAAUUGUAUUAUAAAGGCACUAUGUUGUUCAAAAGGAAUUGGUUCAGUCUUUGUUUGAAGCUAGUGGCAGAUUAGGAGUUUUGUUGAUUAUGUGGAUAAAUAUAAGUUGUCAAUUAUUGAAGUUCGGUCAAGAGAAGGAAGGUCAUUACAGUGUGGCUUAUAAGUUGUUUCAACAUUAAUUUAUAAGUUGUUUGGAAAGGUUCUCGCAGAAAGAUUAAAGAAAGUCAGGCCAAGUAUUACUUUGUAAGACCUCCUAUUAUCUAUACCUAUAAAAGGAAGGGUAGAAAGGGAAAUUCCUUAGCAACCAAUGAUGAGAGAAUAAUGGGAGAGGAUCGUGCAGGUGGGGCCCGUCAGGAGGGAUGAGAGAGAAGUAUAAAUAUGUAAUGUUGGGGUAGGGGAGGCUAGGUCUUUUUUUGGUUAUUUUAAGGAGAGUAAAGGUUGUUGUAGCCUGAGGGUAUCCAGCCUAGUAUAAAGGAGCUGGGUAAGUUUUCUAUGUUGUUCUUCCUUUAUUUUUCAGAUCUACUACUGUUGAAUGUGUUUUGGCUUUUACAUAAAUAAAAAUUACAGAGUGCUGCCUUGUUUAGCCAUUUGGUUAGGAUAUUUUGUGUUUUAUUGUUAGAAUCCUAACAGACUGGUAUAGGGAAUUUAUAGAAAUGGUCACUUGAAGAGUUAUUGGAUGAAUUGAAUGGGGCAACAAUUUUCUCGAAGUUGGAUAUGAAAUCAGGGUACCAUCAGAUCAGAAUGAGGGGGAAGAUAUUGAGAAGAUUGCAUUUCGUACCCACGAGGGACAUUACGAAUUCUUGGUAAUGCCUUUAGGCCUCACUAAUGCACUGCCACCUUCCAAUCUUUAAUGAACCAGAUAUUUAAACCCUUCCUAAGACGAUGAGUGUUAGUUUUCUUUGAUGAUAUAUCGUCUAUAGUACCGACAUUGUAGAGCAUGAAAAACAUUUGGGAAUGGUCUUUGCGGUUCUGAGAGACAACCAACUCUUUGCCAACAAAAAGAAAUGUGUCAUAGCACAUUCUCAAAUUCAAUACCUGGGUCAUCAAAUAUCUAAGAAAGGAGUGGAGGCAAUAGUGAUAAAAUCCAAAGUAUGGUAAAUUGGCCUCAACCGAAAGGGGUAACUGAACUCAGAGGAUUCCUAGGCCUGACUGGGUAUUAUCGGAGAUUUGUAAAAGGAUAUGGAGAGAUUGCAGCACCCCUAACCAGGCUGUUACAGAAUAACGCAUUUAAAUGGGAUGAAGAAGCUUCGGUAGCCUUCGAGAGGUUGAAGAGAGCAAUGACUACUAUUCCAGUAUUGGCUCUACCAGAUUGGUCUCUUCCUUUCACCAUCGAAACUGACGCAUCUGGAGUUGGUUUAGGAGCCGUGAUCUCCCAAAAUGGACAUCGAUUGCUUUCUUUAGCCAAACUAUCCCCAAGGCUCAAUUGAAAUCUACUUAUGAAAGGGAGCUUAUGGUUGGUGCUAUCAGUACAAAAAUGGAGACACUAUCUUUUGGGAGAAAAUUCACCAUUUUUCAGACCAGAAGGCCUUGAAAUUUUUGUUGGAACAGAGGGAAGUGCAGCCACAGUUUCAGAAAUGGCUAACAAAAUUGUUAGGGUAUGAUUUUGAAAUUCUCUACAACCGGACUUCAAAAUAAGGUUGUCGAUCCCUUUCGAGGAUGGAACCACUUGUGGAACUGAACACGAUAACGACCACUGAAUUGUUGAUAUGGAAGUUGUCAUUAAAGAGGUAGAAAAGGAUGAUGAACUUCAGAAGAUCAUAACAGAAUCGAAGAGAGAUACCGGGAAACACGCGAAGUACCAAUGGAGUGGGGGGAGAUUGUUUUACAAAGGAAGAGUAGUUCUAUCGAAGACUUCCUCUCUGAUUCCCACCUUGUUACACACUUUCCAUGAUUCCAUCUUGGGCGGUCAUUUCGAUUUUUAAGGACUUAUAAGAGAAUGAGUGGAGAAUUGUACUGCACGGAAUGAAGGAAGAGGUGAAGAAAUAUGUAGAAACAUGUGACACAUACCAAAGGAAUAAAUUUGAGGCCACCAAACCUGCAGGCGUGUUACAGCCCAUUCCAAUUCCUGAUCUAAUUUUGGAAGAUUGGUCUAUGGACUUUAUAGAAGGGUUACCUUUGGCGGAGGGAGUUAAUGUUAUAAUUGAGGUAGUAGACCGAUUGAGUAAAUACUCCUACUUUGUAACCUUGAAACACCCUUUUUUUGCCAAGCAAGUGGCUGGCGUAUUCAUUGACAGGGUUGUCAGAAAACAUGGAAUUCCUAAUCCAUCAUCUCAGAUCGUGACAAGGUUUAAUUUCCUUAGUAACUUUUUGAAGGGAAUUAUUCGAACCAUGGGUACAAACCUCAAGAGGAGCACACCUUCCAUCCCCAAGCAGAUGGGCAAGCUGAAAGAGUGAAUAGGUGUUUGGAAACUUAUCUGAGAUGUUUUUGUAAUGAACAACCUCACAAAUGAGACAAGUUCAUUCCUUGGGCAGAAUUAUGGUAUAACACAACGUUCCACACCUCCACCAAAACAACUACAUUCCAAGCAGUAUAUGGCAGACCUCCUCCUCCUCUGUUAUCCACGGACAUAAGAAGACCCCUAACAACGAAGUCGAAACUCUAUUACAGGAGAGAGACUUGGCACUUAGUGCCUUGAAGGAACACUUGUAUACAGUUCAGAAUAGAAUGAAAAAAAUGGCUGAUCUGAAAAGGAGAGAAUUGAAGUUUAAGGUGGGAGAUAAGGUUUACUUGAAGCUAAGACCCUACAAGCAACGAUCUUUCGCCCGAAAGAAAUGUGAGAAGUUGGCACCCAAAUAUUAUGGACCGUAUACCACAAUAAAAGGGAUUGGAGAAGUAGCAUACCGACUUCAGUUACCACCAGAAGCUCAUAUCCAUAACGUCUUCCACAUCUUCUAACUAAAAUUGAAACUUGGCAAGCGGCAAGAGGUAUAACUUCAACAUUCCAGCCUAACUGAAGACUUUGAAUUGCAAUUGUAUCCAGAAACAGUGCUGGGCAUACGCUGGAAUACAGAUCUGGGAGCUAAUGAAUGACUCGUGAUAUGGAAGGGAUUAGCAGAUAGUGAAGCCACUUGGGAGUCAGUUUAUCAAAUGAAUCAACAAUUUCCCACGUUUCACCUUGAUGACAAGGUGGAUUUAGAACCGAGGGGUAUUGUAAGACCUCCUAUUAUCUAUACCUAAAAAGGAAGGGUAGAAAGGGAAAUUCCUUAGCAACCAAUGAUGAGAGAAUAAUGGGAGAGGAUCGUGCAGGUGGGGCCCCAGGAGGGAUGAGAGAGAGAGGUAUAAAUAUGUAAUGUUGGGGUAGGGGAGGCUAGGUUUUUUUGGUUAUUUCAAGGAGAGUAAAGGCUGCUGUAGCCUGAGGGUAUCCAGCCCUGUAUAAAGGAGCUGGGUAAGUUUUCUAUGUUGUUCUUCCUUUAUUUUUCAUAUCUACUACUGUUGAAUGUGUUUUGGCUUUUACAUAAAUAAAGAAUUACAGAGUGCUGCCUCUGUUUAGCCAUUUGGUUAGGAUAUUUUGUGUUUUAUUGUUAGAAUCCUAAUACUUCUCCAUUACAAUGUGGCUUUCUGGAAGAGUGCCAAAUCUUGGAUCCUAUUUUAAUAGCAAAAGAAACUUGGAGGUAUAUAGUAUCGAAAAAAGAAAAGAUGGAUCAUUAAAUUAGACCUUGAAAAGGCCUUUAACAGAGUGGAUUGGAAAUUUUAGAAAAUGUAAUGCAAAAGAAGAUCUUCGACGUAGGAUAUUGUGUUAUAUUGGCCAGCCUUUACAGCAUCCCCACUUUGAAGUCUUUGAUGAUCAGGACUUUCGGAUCAGCCCUCUGCUUCAAACAGUUUUUGCUCAACCAAUCAAGGCUUAUUCUUCUUUGUUCUCAGCAUGCUGCCUUUGAUUAUGAUUUUGCUUUGGAAAGAUUCUUUUUAUCAUUUUGUUUGUCUUUGUUUUUGUGGCUUUUUGUUUUGAUCUUGUGUUGUCGCUUUUUGGAUGUUUUGAGGGCACUAAGGGGGUGUCAACCUAGUUUGAGAUGCCCGGAUGCGCCUGUUGAUCUUCCCUCUCCCCUUUUGCUCUUUGUAUAAUCCUCAUGUACAUUGAGCUUUGUCUCUUUCUUUAUAUUAAUAAUAGUGAGACUCGUAUCCUUUUUUAAAAAAGAAAGAAAAUUCAAUUAUAUAUCACCAACACUCUCCUCACUUGUGGGCUUGAAAUAUUUGAAAGGCCCAACAACUGGAAAUGGAUUUUAAUUGGGGAGGAAACGACAAUGCGAGGCUUGAACGAGACCUUCUUGGACCACCUGCUCGGAUACCAUAUUGAAAGGGAGACAAACAAACACACAACUUUACGUGGAAACCUGUGUACCAGGAGAAAAACCACUAUAUUUUUCUUCUUAUUAUUUUCUGAUGAAAAAUACAAUAGGUACAAGGGAGAAUAAAUAGAAUAUACAGAGGAAUAAAAAAGGAAAAUAUUUAGGAAUUAAGAAAAAUAUUCCCAUAAACUUUUCAUAAAUAUUCUAAGAUUCUAACAAUAAAAAGUUCUUUUAUUCCAAAUUGUGACUGCUCUAAUGUGCAGUUGUUUUCUGAUUUAGAUGAUUGAGGAGCUUGGUGGUUCUCUCACUGCUGAUGGGAGUACAAGCACUCAUGUCAUUACAGGAAAAGUGCGGAAAACUCUAAAUUUUUGUAUUGCUCUUUCUUAGUCUUGCAACCUUAGACGAACACUCUUCUAUGUGUCCUUUUGGCCUUUGAAUACCGAUAAUCAUCUCAUUUGCACCAAAGUUAGCGAUUCCAUGCACACAAGGCCUUUGCCGUUAUUCUUCCAUUGCCUCGUAGUUGUGCUUAGGCUGGAAAUUGUUGUGAACCUUCUAGAUCUAAAAGGGCAUAGUUUCUUAUUCUACUGCCUGUUUACUUUUAGUUAAACAUCAAAAUCAAUUCUUAUGUUUGAGUUGGAUUGUAUCAUGCUCUUCCUUUUCAGUUGUUUCUAUCGUGAUGGUGGGUAGUGGUUGUUAAGACAACCAUUAGGCUAAUUUGGGUUUCAGGCUUACUUUUCCCAUUUUACGUGUAAAAUGGCUCAAGCUCACUAAUGAAAGAUAUUUGUUGGCUAGCUAGUGUUUUUAUCCUCGAUUUCCUUCUUCCCCUAAUACAUUAUGUUAUGGAAUUUGUUAGAUACCUAGAUUAGUAUAGGGUUGGGGUAUAAGGGUAAUUAGAUAUUUAGGAAGUUACUAGUAGUUAUUGUGUAAGUGUGGUUACUAGUAGUUAUUAUGUAAAUUUGGUAACUAGGGUGGUUACAUCUUAUUAUAAAUGGAGGGAGGGUAAGUGGGGAGAAUUCUAGGGAGUGAUAUAAGGCUUGGGUGAGAGUACUCAAGAGGGAAGGUUCCAAAGCUUUAUACUUGGUUUUAUCUUGUAUUUUCUUAUAGUUACAUUAUAAUAAAUUCAGAUCUUGUUCUUGUUAGGAAGUAUCUGUCUCCAAUAUUAUUUAAAUACAGUAGAAGAAUUAAAAGGGUAAUAUUGUCCCACACGAGAAUAUAGGAGAGAUUAUAGGAGGAGAGAAUAUUGGAGGAGAUCUUUCCCAUUAGUUUGUUAGUAAAGCAAAAUAAAAUGGAGGAAAGAGGAGGGAGAAAGGGGAGAAAAUAUUCCAAAGAAGUAGAGGCUGCCGUCUUUCGGGAGAACUAGAGGUCCAAGUCAAGUUCUUUUUAUUGUUUGUUUUGUAAUUUUCAUGGUUGUGUUUGUUCUUAAUUUUUCUUGUUCUUUGUGUGAUCCUCACUAGAGUGAGCCUUUAGGAAGUAGAUGUGAGUGAUUUUCUAUUCUCUAUAUUGUAAUUCAUUGAGGUAAUUCAAUAAAGUAAGAUACACUUGCCAUAUAUUUACAGUAUCUUAACAAAUUGGUAUCAGAGCAUUUUUACUUGGGAGAACGAUAGAGCAGCACAAAAACGGAUCGAGGAGAAGUUGGAGACCUCUGAUAAGGAAAUCUCGGGGAUACAAGUGGAGUUACACAAGUUGCUGGCAACUGAAGAAAACUUGUUAUCCUUGCAAAAAGCAUCGAAAGACUGGUUAUCUAGUUGGAAAAACAAAACGGUUGCUAAAUGCAUCGAAGGAAGAGCAGAAGGAUAAUUCGACAAUCUCCGGAAGAAUGGAAGGAUCGUCGAGCAAGACCAACGAUUGAGAGUAUCAAUAAAGGUGGAGGUAAGACAUUGAAGGAAAUCAAGGUAGAAGGUAAAACAAACAAGUUUGAAAGGGAUGAAAAUCGAACGAUCAUAGCAAAUUCAAAAAGGUUGAAAUGUCUGUGUUUAGUGCACUGAUCUGGAUUGAGUUUAUUUAGAACAGAUUGGAAUCUUCAGGUCCAUAAAUCGAUGGAUUCCAAGAAGUUUCUGAAUCCAUAGAAGAAUCGAGGAAAACGCGAUUGCAACGGUUAUACAACGAAGGUGAAGAGGAUGGCAAAGAGUGACCAAGAAGAAACUAUAGAGGAAGGUCGACGAGGAUUACCUGUGAGGCUCGAAAUGAAGACUCGAGUGAAGAAAAAUUUGUUGCUCAAAGAAACAGAAAAUGGAUGGUUGCAAUGGAGAAAGAAGAAGUCGGCAGUUACCGGUCUACGGAGGCUCGAGAAGGUGGUCUGGAAUAGGGGUGAAUCACGUGACGAGGAAGAAGUUGCUGCACACGUGAUGGUGCCAAUGACGUGGUAGAAAUUGGUAUGAAAGAGGAUUAGGACAAAAGGUAUGAAGAUAUUAAAUUAAUUUUAAACUUUUCACGACGUUUGGUUUUUUGUGCAUCGUGGAAUGUCUUUUCGCCGACGCAUCCAAUGUGGCUUCGCCGAAAGGUGGUCAACACCGACGAAUCUUUCGCCGACAUUGUUUCUGGCAUCGUAAUUAUUCCAAUUUCUUGUCGUGGCUUUUUUUUUCUUCAGAAUUUCAUAUUUGCCCUUAUUGGUUUAUAACAAUUUUCAAUUCUGAUUUUUCUUUUUCUUGAUUUUUUUCACUUUCUUUUCGAGUUAUUCAUAUUUUUUUUAUAUAUUUUUCAUCUGGAUCUUUCUUUCUCUUAUUUAUCAUCUUCGACAAUAUUCUUUCUCUUCUUCGUCAUCUUCGUCAUCAAGAUUGUUUAUAUUACUCUGUCAAUAUCAUUGCAGUGAUAUUGUUUUGGUGAGAAUUCUAAAUAUUAUAGAAAAUUAUAACUGUUUAGACGAUUAUAAAAUUUUGUUUAGAAUUCUAUAUCUUUCCCUAUGAAGAUCAUUUUUGUUUUUGUUUGUGGUAAAAAUUGUAAAUUUUGUUUUUGUUUAAAUAUUUAGAAGAUUUAAUUAUUAUUGUAAGAUAUUCUAUAUUUCAUUAUGAAGAUCGAUAGUUUGAUGGUUCAUGAUUGUGUACAUUGAACUAAGAAAUUUAUAUUUCACUAUGAAGAUAGUUUUUGUUUUUUCUUAUUAGUAAGAAUUCUAAAGUUUGUUUUUGUUUCAAAUUUUUACAAAUUUUAAGUAUUAAUGUAAGAAUUAUGUACUUCAUUAUGAAGAUCGAUAGUUUGAAGUUUUUGACGAUAAUUUACAUGAAAUUAUACGAUGAGUUACCACUAUCAAUAGAAUUACUUACAAAUAUUAACACGAUCGUGUACCGAUAACAAGACGAUUGUUUACACUAUUCAAUACGAUCACCAAGAUCAUAUGAUCGUGUACCCAUGUCAACAUGAUAAUUUAUUUUAAUCAAUACUAUCAUUUACCAUUGUCAAAUGGUCGUUUAUCAUGGUUAAUAGGAUCGUUUAAUGUAUAUUAUUUCAUUGCACGAUCGUUUACUUAUUCUUGCAUUGUGUUUAGUAUUAUCAUUUUGUACAUUUUAUUCUUUCAUUCAGUAAUAAAUGUAUAUCUAUGUCUAUCUAUUUCUUUCUAUCACAAUUAAAUACUUCAUUUUAUUUUAUUUAUUUUUUUACAGAUUAUAAUGUCUUUUCCUAUUGUUGUUUUUUAUGGAAGUCAAUGGAAUGGAUGUAAAUAUUUAUAAGAAUUACUUAGUUGCUGGAAAUUUUGGUAGAUGUCCAAGUCAGCUUUAAUUCUCUAGUUGAUUUAAUAUGUGAACAGAAUUCAAUUGGAUGGAUAAGUAGAAUUAUCUGUUUUACUUGAUUUUGGUAAAAGCAAGGUCCAACUGUGGUGCCAGUAAAGAAAGACAAUGAUGUGGCUUGGUAUUUAUCUUUUGCUAAAGAUGCAACUGGUAUACAUCCAUUAGUUGCUCUAGUGUAUGAUAGAAUGUUGAUAUGUCAUUGAAUGUAGGUUCUCCUUCUUAUGUUUCAAAUGAUGAAUUUAUAAGAACAUCUCAUAUCAUGGUGAUUUGAAGGAAAAUAGUUUAUUUGAAAGUAAAGAAGUGCUUUCAAAGUGUUUUGGCAUAAUAGAGUGAAUAAACUUUCAAUUUAGAACUACAAUAUCAAAUUUGGGUCUCUUGAAUUUAGAUGUUUACUAGAAGGGUGCAAAUGGUUAUUAGGACAUCUCGUUAUAAGAAGAGCGAAUUGUGGAUGCUAUGAAAAUACAUUUAUGAACAUGACUGUUCAUUGAAUACUAGUUGUCACAUGCAAGUUUCUUCAACAGUAAUUGACAGUUUCUUGAUAGAUUAGUUCAGCUUCAUGUCUACUGAUCGUUUCAUUCCAAAACAAUUUUGCAUAAGCAUGUACAAAUCUUGGAGUUAAUAUAAGUUAGCAGAAAGCUUGGAGGGCAAAAGAACACAUAGUAAAGAUAUUAAAAGGUGACAUAGUUAAAUCAUACAUGUUGAUUCCAAUGUUUUUGAUAAAUUGGUUGAAUCUAUCUCAGGCAUAAUGAGUUUCAUAUAUCGAAUUUAAAUUCAUUUGAAGAUAGAUGGGGAUAGACAAAUGUUACAAUCUAUCUAGAUAGACAAAUAUCACAGUCUAUCUAGAUAGACAAAUGUUAGCAUUUAUCACAGUCUAUCUGUUUUUCUUAUUUUGGGUGUUGGAUACAUCCACUGCUUUUAGAGAUGGAUGAUAACAGUCACUUCAAGUUUUACUUUAUGACUUUUGGUGCAUCAAUUGAAGGGUGAAAAUAUUGUAGACCUAUCAUUUUUAUUGAUGGCACAUUUUGAAGUGUAAGUUUGGUGACGUCCUAUUAACAACCUCAUCAUAAGAUAACAAUCAAAUCUUCCCUUUGCUUUUGCUAUUGUAGGUUUGAAAAUGAUGUAUCAUGAACAUGGUUUUUGAGAAGAUACGAGGUAGUUUUUCAGAGCAAGCUAAUUCGGUCAUUGUUUCUUAUAGGCAUCUUAGGAUCCUUAAAGGAGUUUUAAGAGUGUUUCUUGAUGUUGAAUAUUGUGUGUGCACAAAACAUCUAUUAAGUAACUUGAAACUCCAUUUUAAGGAUCCACUACUUGAUAAAUACUUCUUUAGUUGUGCUUAUGCUUACACUGUUGAUGAAUUUGAGUACCACAUGAAAUGUAUGGAGUUAGUUUGUCCAAAUAUUAGAGAUUAUCUUAGCAGUGUUGGUUUGAGAAGUGGUCUCAGACAUAUUCACAAAGAUGAAGGUAUAGAAGGAUGACAUCAAAUUGUGUAGACAGUGUAAAUUUAGUUUUUAAAGAUCUUAGAGAACUACAUGUAGCUACCAUGCUUAGUUCAAUUAGAGAUGUAUUGCAAAAGUGGUUUUAUGAAAGAAGUAAAGCUACUUUUACAAUGAAGAGUUGUUUGACUUCUUGGGCUGAGAACGUGUUGCAUUUAGAAUAACAUGAAAAGUCAAGAAUUUUAUUGGUAAGGUUUUUUUUUUUUUUUAAUGUUUGUAUCUCAGGUAGAUAUAAAUAGACUGCUAUUUUUGUCUAUCCGAUAGAGAAAUAUAACAAUUUAUGUGUGCUUAUUUCAGAUAGAUAGAGAUAGAUAGCUAUCAAUGUCUAUUUGUCUCUAUUUGUGCAUGUUUUUUUUUUUAAUUUUUCUAUAUUUGUUUUAUGUAUUAGGUUGAUCCAAUUAGCAUGACUGAAGACAAAGUAAUGGAUGAUACAAAAUGAUAAUGUGAUUUAUUUAUAUUUGUUCUAAUUUGAAAUAUUCAAAUUUACUUUGGGAAUUAGUAUAAUUAGUAUAAUGUAUAGUGAUGCAUUAUAAUAUAAAGUUUAUAUGUUAAUGAAACUUUAUUAUAUAAAUUUAAUUUUGGAUAAAGUUCAAAAUUAAUUUAUGAGAGAUAAAAUAUUUAAAUGAGUUUAAAUAUUAAUUUAAUGUGGAUUUGUUUCAUAUUAAAAUUAUUAAUUAUGAGAUAAAGCUAUAUUUGAAUAUGAUUCAAAUUUAACUUAAGUUAAAUAUAAAAUAUUUAAUUUUGUUAUUAAUUAAUUGAAGAAUUAAUUAAUAGUUUAGUUUAAUAUUAUUUAAUUAAAUUAAUAUAAAAAUAAGAUAUUGGAGAGAUAUUCAUUCAAUAAGAUUUAAAUGAAAUAUUAAUUAAAUAUGAUUAAUUAAUUAUUAACUAAUUGAUUAAUGGUUAAUUAGUUAGUUGAUUUGAAACUUCUAUUAAUUUAAUAUUUUUUAAGUUAAUAGAAUCCUAUGAUUCUCUCCUACCCCGUCUCCUACUCAAUGAAAGAAAGAGAGUUAUAAAUAUUUAGAAGAAAAACAGCUUUUCUUAACCAAAUAAAACAUAUGAUUUUCUUUUCUGCAAAAUAGAUUGUAACGACCUAAUUUUUCGAAUUAAGCUGAAGUUAUUACUUUAAGACUAGAUUCGUCCUUUAACCAUAAGACUUUAUAAUUUAAAAAAAAAAAAAACUUAACAACAUUAAAGAAUUUUUAUUCGGGUUCUAUCUCAAAUAAAAUUUUGAAAGUUUAAAAGUAUCGAUAAUAAAGAAAAGUUCAAGAACAUAAAAGUUGUUCAAUCAUGAAACCCAAAACAAUCUCAAUUACUAAAGAAAACCAAAAUAAAAAAAAUAUAAAGCAGAAGCAAUUUGAAGGACAUUUCCCUAUGGCAGUUUCGUGGAAAAAGAUUAAACAUAAAAGGGUGAAUAUAAACAUACCCAGUAAGAGACCCACUACUGAUCCUAUUAGGAGAAAAAUAAAAUUGUUAACUUCCUAUUGGAGGUGCCCUGCACUUUAAUAGUCUUGUGAUCAUGUGGGAAUACACAUAAUUAGUUCAAUGCCCUAAAGGACACAAUAUUAGUUUAGUGCUCUGCAGAAAGCAUGGCUGUAUGUAAAACUAACUUAGUUUGUAACUCAUAACUUACCAAAAAUUUCAAAAAGUGUGAAAAAAAUCUUUCAAGACUCAAAGUGGCAACCAUGGCUGUAUGUAAAACUAACUUAGUUUGUAACAACCUAAAAGGUGUUCAAAAAAUGUUUAAGUAUCACUCGAACUUUAAAAACGACCUAAUAAUGCUUUAGUGUUACUUCAUAACUCAUAACCUACCAAAAAGUUCAAAAAAUGUAGAAAAAACACUGCAAAAUUCAAAAUGGCAACCAAGUGUGUAAGUGUAACAAACUUAGUCUCAACUUUAAAAUUAGUGCGAGUUGGGAAAUGUAUUAACUCAAGCAUGAUGUACAAACUUGAAACGACUUAAAUAUUUAUUCACCAUCACAUAAAAAUAGUAAUUAAAUAUAGAUAACAUGUGUAGAUAAAGGGAGAAUCACCUUUCUAGCAGUAGCUUUAGAGUAAGACCAAACACCAUCUUCCUACUUGUAAAUCUGCUCGAUUGUCUACUUUGUUCUACACUCGUCAUUUCACCGUCUCAAGCCAUCCAGCCUUGGCAUACAAUAGUAUGUCUCCGCCUGUUAACAAAUACCACUAAAACUAAGCAAGACAAAGAAAAAAGUUUUAAAAAAAUUACCUAACUUUUAGGUCUUCAUGUGACCUUUAAGUUCUUCUGUCUUCUCCUUCAACUCUUUGACAGAUUGCUGAAAUUAUGUGUUUCUGCAAUGUUUACCAGAACAUGAAAGAUUCAUUACGAAAAAACAGUCAAUACAAGAAGAAAAAAGUUCACUUGAAAACGACCUAAAACAGUAUCACUUGAACAAAAUGUGUCUAAGUAUCACUUGAACUUUCAAAACGACCUAAAACAAAAUGAGUUACGAACCUACACGUAAGCUUUUUUAGGUCGUUUUGAAAGUUCAAGUGAUACUUAGACAUGUUUUGAACUCGUUUUAGGUUGGUUUGACACUAAGUUUUAAACACAUUUGAUUGACAUGUUGGGUCUUGAAGUACUUUUUUCACACUUUUUGAAAUUUUGGUAGGUUGUGAGUUACAAACUUACACUUAAGCAUUGCUGGGUCGUUUUGAAAAUUCAAGUGAUACUUAAACGUUUUGAAUACAUUUUAGGUUAGAUUGAGUUUGUUGCACUUACACACAUGGUUGUCAUUUUUGGUCUUGAAAUGCUUUUUUCAACCUUUUUGGUAGAUUAUGAGUUACGAACUUACACUUAGGAUUUGCUAGGUCGUUUUGAAAACUACAAUAAUACCUAGACACGUUUUGAGCACCUUUUAGGUUGGUUUGAACUAAGUUUGUUGCACUUACACACUUGGUUGCCAUUUUGGGUCUUGUAGUGCUUUUUUCACAAUAUUUGAACUUUUUUCGUAGGUUAUGAGUUACGAACCUACACGUAAGCUGUUUUAGGUCAUUUUGAAAGUUCUAGUGAAACUUAGACACGUUUUGAGCACGUUUUAGGUCGUUUUGAGCAGGUUUUAGGUCGUUUUGAGUAAAUGGUAUGUAUGUUGUGAUUGUUUGAUUGCAUGUAUAAUACUUAUUGAGAUGUGAAUGCUUGAUUGAGAAGCUGAUAGAACACCAAGUAAUGGUUCUUAUUUGUUCAUUAAGCAACCAAACUAUUACAGAUACAAUACUCAAACCAGUCAUGAAAACACAGAACAAACAAGUACUAUUACAGACAAUAACCAAGUACAAAAUAAAACAUUCAAACAUCAAAAGUAGUUUACGAUAAUGGAAAACACUUUCUAAGAUUAAAGUAACUGAACAACUUCUGUAAUUAUGCUGCUCUCAGAAAAUACAGCCCUCCACUUCCAGAAACUGAUUAACCAACCCCCAUCUUUCCUUCCAUCUCUCCCUUUUAACUCCCCCUGUAACUAACUAUUGUCCCCACUAAGGUGGUUUCCACUUCCUCCAAUUCCAUUGCAAUUCCACUUGUCUUUCUUAUGCUAUAUUGUAUUGCAAUUGGUGGUCUAUCAUUACUCUCCCUCUCCAAAGUCACCUUGUUCUCAAGGUGGGAAAUGAGGAAGCUUUUGUGUAAAAUCAUCACAAUUCUCCCAUGUAGCCUCAUGAGGUGGUAUUCCUUUCCAACUAACAAGCACUUCCCACUUCUUUGUUGUGGAUUUUUAGGAUAGCCAAAAUUGUCUGCUGGUAGUAACUCUUGAAAUGUAGGAACAUCAUCAAUUCCAUAUAGUUCGGUAAAUGUCAUUCCUCCUCCAUAGCUCGACAUUUUGUCAAGAAACCUUAAUCAGAUGGUGUCCAUGUCUCCAUCAUGUGUUACAGACUCACUCUAGUCUUUGUCAAACUCGGGUCACCCCUUAUAACAACAUUCUUUUCAUUUUGUAUGAAAGUUAAAGUGAGUUUCCGCCAAUCCACUUCAGUUACCCAACGUGUGCAGCCAUUGCAUUCCAAGGAUGACAUCCUGAUAGAACAUUAAUGUAGUGUUUCUAUUAUAUUGAUAAUUCAAACACAACUUACAACAUAAGCAAAUCGUGAACCUUAGAAAAUGAGUCACGUUACAUAUAAUUCACAAACAUCAAACAAAAGAAAAACCUCCUAAUCCAAAAUUCUAAACAACAAAAUACUAAUAAGCAAACCAGAAUAUAGAACACCAAUCUUCUGCUUCCCCAGUCUUUCAAGGAGUAUUGCAGACCUUUUUCUUCACUCCAAAAAACUCACUUUAACAAAGAGGCAGCCACAUUUUCAGGUAAGAAAAUAAAGUAGGUAGUAUGUAGGAAGGCUAACCAAAACUGAGUUGCAUAAGGUUUGUCUUCCGCCUCUAGAGAUGUUAUAUCUUUUCCACCUUCAAGUUUCUUGUGAAUUCGAUCAAUGACUGGUUGCCAAAAAGACUUUUGUCGAGGCCAAAGGGAGACGGAGACCUAAAUAUAUAAUCGGAAGCUUUUCUAGCUUGCACCCUAUCAGAUUUGUUGUUUGAAACAAAUCUUCCUCUCCCACAUUAACGCCGCUAAGGGCUGAUUUUUCCCAGUUUACUUUCUGCCCCAAACACCAUUCGAAUAAUCUAAUGACGUUUUAAAGUUUAAGGAGCAUCUUCACAUCAUACUUACAAAAGAGAAGAGUAUCAUCGACAAAUUGAAGCAAAGGGAGGUGGAUCAAGUCUUUUGCCAAACAAGGAAACCUUCAAACUGGCUGUUAAUAUGAAGCUUGUUUAUGAUUUCUCCUAAAACCUCACUUACUAGGUGGAAAAAAAGGGGGAGAGAGGGUCCCCUUGGCGGAUACUUCUAGAUGCUGUUAUCUGGCCUCUAGGCUUACCAUUGAUGAAGACUGAAUACUUUGGAUUUUUGAGGCAGCCCAUUAUCCAUGAUAUCCAUUUGGAACUAAACUUUUUCAAAGAUAAUUUUUUUUCUAAAAGUUCCAAUUCACCCUAUCAAAGGCUUUUUCCAAGUCAAGUUUUAAAAUCCAUCCUUUUUUCCGUUUUGCUCUAUAAUCUUCCACGGCCUUGUUAGCAAUUAAUUUGGGUCAAGAAUUUGCCUACCUUCAUAAAGGCGCUUUGAGUGGGGCUUAUAAUUGCAUCCAUAACUUGUUUUAGACGUUCAGAUAAAACCUUUGCAACGACCUUGUAUGCUAACGUAGUAAGGCUGAUUGGACGGAAAUCCUUGCUAGAGUCACAUUCUCUUUUUUCUACACUAAACAAAUGAAGUUUUCUUGGAUGCAAGCAUUUAAUCUUCCAUUUAUGUGGAAAUCAGACAUUAGUGAUUUGAACAUAUCCUUUAAAAUAGACCAUUGGGUGAUUAGGAACUUCACUGUGAAGCCAUCUGGGCCCAGAGCUUUAUUGUUGCCAAGUGCCUUUAAUGCCUUAAAGAUCUCCUCCACUGAAAACUGGGCAACAAGAGCCUCAUUCUGAAUUGAGGAAACACAAAGACCAAUUACUGUUAAUAGGGAUGAAUUGUCCCCCGGAAUUCUGGUAUAAAGUGACUCAAAAAAUUCCAGCACCCCAGCCUUUCAAUGUCGUGGAAUGAGUCGAGACAACCCAUCAUCAUCUUUUAAUUCAGUUAUGAGGUUCCUUCUUUUUUUCGCAUUUAGAAAGCGGUGGAAGAAGCCCGUAUUCUCAUCACCCAAAGAUAGCCAAUUGAGUUUACUCUUCUGAAUAAAAUUCCGCUCUUCAUUUUAAUAAAUACUAAGUAAUUCCGCUUGCAAAGCAGCUCUAGAAUUCAACUCUUCUUGAUUUAAUCCAAUCAACUCAGCCACAGAAUCAUAUUUUUCUAAUUUGACAUCAAGGAUUUCUCUGUUUUUUUUUUUACCUUAGCUUGCGCAGCAAUAUUCCAAGCUUUUACUGCCAAUUUAACUAAUCUCAACUGCUCAUGAAGAAUGAAACCAACCAUCCCUGGAAGUUAGAGUUGCUCACUGUUUCAACAAUAAUCUGAUUAGAAUCACUGGGACACCAACCAGCUGUUACAAAACCAAAAGGAGAGGGACCCCAAAGAAAAUAAGCAACCUCCAAGAAUAAAGGAAAGUGAUCCGAGAAGAUGCAUGCUUUUCGAGAAACCUGAGAAUUUUCAAAACAAACAUCCCACAUCUGAUUUAUGAAGAAUCUGUAUAAUAAUGAUCUUCAAGGAGAAUUACCGUCUCUAGACCAAGUGAACCUUCCAUUUUGCAAUGGAAUUUCCAUGAGAGAAACCAUGUCAAUAAACAUAUUGACUAAUGACAUUCCUCUAGUACUUCUACCAAAAGGAAAUCUUUCCCAGACCCAACGAGUGAUAUUAAAAUCCCCACCUAUGCACCAGGCCACAGCCGAACAAUCAGCUAACGAAGACAAUUCGGGCCAAACCAAUUUUCCUUUCUCUGCAACCACAAGGGCCAUAGACAUUUGUGAUCCAACAAAACUUUUUGCACAAAGUGAGGCAUUUGAUUGACAAAGAGAAGCGUCUUUUUAAUGACCUCUGUUACAGAUAUUUUAUUGCUGUCCACAUGGUAAGAAUUCCCCCAGAAGAUCCCAUAGAAACCACAUAAUCCCAGCCAAUAUCCUUAGAACUCCACAAUGAUUUUAUAAAAGCCGAGUUCAAGGUAUCAUUCUUAGAUUCUUGAAUCAUGACUACAAUUGUUGAUGAAUUUUUUAAGUGCUGCACGUUUAGAGGAGUCGUUCAACCCUUAGUGUUCUAGGAGACAACCUUAAUAAUGACUGGGAGGAGCAAAAGGCAGUUGCACAUCUAAUUAAGCCAGAAUGAUUCCACAAUCAUCGACUAUAGACACUAAAUCUUUAGGCAAAUCCAAGGAAUUUUAAUAGGGAGAAUAUCUUUAUCAUUGAACAAGACAUUCAGAUCCAUCCAUUAAUUUCUGGGACUAAUUUAGGGUCAACUUCAGUGUUGGGGACUGCCAAUUUAACUGAUCUCAACAGUAAGUUGAUUAAGUUGGGCAGUAGGAGGACACGAGACAAGGCAUCUGCUGCUUUGUUUUCUAGUCCGGUUUAUACACGGCAUCAAAAUUGUAGCCAAGAAGCUUAGCAAUCCACCCUUUGUUCCAAUAAAAGUUUCAAUGAUCGUUGAUCAGUUUUCACUACAAACCUCCAGCCCAAAAGAUAAGGUCUACAGCGUUGCACAGCCAAAACUACAGCCAUUAAUUCCCGUUCAUAAACUGGUUUAGCACGAUCCCUCAUAGCUAAUGUCUGGCUAAAAUAAGCAAUUGGCCGAUGAUUUUUGAAUUAAGACAGCACCUACCCCGUAUCUAGAAGCAUCGGUCUCUAUUUCAAAUGGUAAGGAAAAUCUGGCAGUGCUAAGAUUGGGAGAGUCAUCGUAGCCAUCUUUAAAUUCUCAAAAGUUUCAGCAGCUGCAACAGUCCAUUCAUAAGCUCCUUUCAUCAAUAAUUGAGUCAAAGGAGCAGCCACACUUCCAUAAUUCAUUACAAAUCUUCGAUAAUAUCCUGUCAACCCAAGAAAUCCACGAACCUCACGGACAUUAUGUUGGAAUUUUUUGUCCUAAAACUCGUAGUUUGUAAAUCAUAUUCUAUUCAAUAAAGUUGUUAUUGAGAAAUUAAAUAUUAUAAUCUUAAAUCCAAUAAAUCAAAGUUCCAAGGCUAUUUUUUGAAUAAACUUGAACUUUAGUGUAAACAUAAACGUGGAUCAAGUUCGAGUAUAUAGCCUAAAUAGUCUAUAGUGUAUGAAAUAAAGGUUGCGGCGCUUAUUUAGAGAAACUAUGGAUGCGGCCCACUUUGUAGUACAAACGAGGUGAUCCUAAUCGUUCAUGUAGAGACAUGAAAGUGGGGGCAUCCUAUGUAAAAUGUUUACAUAAGACUGAACCAUGAAUAGUCAUUUUUACGUUAUAACACCGUUUACUGUUUAAAACUGACUAUCUCAAUUAUUGAUGACCUAGGUAACUUAGUCUUAAUCCUGAGUUAACUAUGAACUCCUGUUCAUACGAGAUUAUCCUUAGAUCUGCAUAGGUGAGGGCAGCUCAUCAGCGUUGGCCCAAUAAGCCUCCCAUUUCAGGGGUAAGAUCGGGUGGAUAGCUGGGAACAUAGGGUACAAGAUGGAAUUCACUCCUACCCGCUUUAGGGUUAGUAGAUAGGUUGCUCUCUUAAGCACUGAAUCCAAGUCUUGAACAAGGGGCCCCACCCUCUCACUGGCCCGAGAGGGAUUAAGUUUAUAGGUUGAACCUUAAACCAAUUGUUCAAUAGUGGAUUAGUGGGACUUAAGGAGCAAGAUGUAAUCUUGGGGGUAAAACGGUAUUUUGACCCAGCCAAGGUUACGAGCAACCUGUGAAGGAUUAACUUACUGAUUAUGGUUUUAUCAAAUGGACACAAAUAUAUCUAUAGUGAGGGGAGUGCAACUACGGGACUUUAGUGGAAUGACCCGUUAGUUAACGAAUGUUGAUUAACUCGGUUUAAAAGAGUUUAGCUAGUUAAUCUUGAAUCGUUGGAGCCCAUGAUCUAUAGGUCCAUUAGGUUCCUCUGCUAGCUCAUAUGGAUUAAACUUAGAACAGUGUGAUGAAAUAAGUCGAAUUGUUCGAAUAGGCGAGAAGAAAGGAAAACCGACAUAUACAGUGAUAUAAUCGUCGGUCUUCUAAUUAGAAAUAGAGCUUUAUGUUUUACAUACUAUAAGUAUGAAUGCAGAUUCAUACUAAGAAGCUCGGAAUUGGUCAAAAAUAGUAAAAAAGUCAAAAUGUUGACUUUUGACUUUGAAAAGUCAAACUUUGACCGGCCUUAUAUUCAAAUGUGAUUUGAAUUUUGGAAAAAUGAAUGCGGAUUCAUGCUCGGGAGGUUGGAAUUAGUCAAGACGGACAAAAUGGAAAAAAGUCAAAAUAUUGACUUUUGACUUAGAAAAGUCAAAGUUUGACUUUUGACUAGAAAAUCUAAUGACCAUUUUUACCCUUGGACUAAGUUAGUGGGAAAAUCCAACAUUUUGUUGGAUAAUCCCACUAACUCUUAGUGGGAUAUGUGGCUAUAUGAGAUAUAGACACCUAGCCCACUAAGUUCCACUAAUUGUUAGUGGAAUAUUAGGUGUUGAGAUUUGGCAAUUGAAUUGCAUGCAUUUUUGCAUGUAAUUAGGCUAUAAAUAGAGAUGUUUUCAAAUGUUGAAGGACUUUUGCCUCUUUUAUCAUUUUCAUAAUCUCAACAAAAGAAAAAAGAAAGCUUCCAAUCUCAUUUUAUCUCCAUUACUUUCUACACCAAAAUUGGGUCCCACAACCCGGUUCUUUGUCUAGAGGAUAGCAGUUGAGUACUAGUGGUGGUCUCGGGUAGAAUUGGUAAGAAGACAUCAAACCUUUUGAAAGCUUCAAAGGUAAUACUUCUUAAAACCCUAAUUUGAUUAGUUUAUGGUUAGAUGUUAAUUGUGGCAAUUAGGGUAGAAAUUCGAUUCUUUUUCCGCUGUGCAUGACUUAGUUCUAUCACAUUAGUGGGCACGGGCCAUUCUUUGAUAGAUCUAAUUUUCUCGGGAUCAACCUCUACACCUUCGCCCGCGCGCCUUCGCACGACCCGUGUGCGCCUGGGCCGGUUCAAGCCAAUAAAUUUGGUUUUUGGGCCGGUUCAAGCGGUUUCGGUUGGUUUUUUAGCCGGUUCGAAUUUUUGGGAGUGGUUCUGUACUACACCAAAUUAAUUAUGUAAUAAUUUAGCACUUAGCUUAAUUUAGGAGCCAAAAAUCAGUCCAUUUUAGGGUGUUUUUUUUUAUUUAUGCAUGUGAUGUAUGAUUAAAUUACUUUAAAUUUGUAUGUGCAUUUUGAAUGUCAUAUAGAUUUAAAAUCCCACCAUAGGUUAACAUGUUCAUGCAUUAAAAUGUAUGAUAUAAAGGUUAUAUUGUAUUGUAUGCAUGUUAAUUGAUUAAUAUGGAAAUUAAUUAAUAUGAUUAAUUAAUUAUUUAAUUAAUUAAGUUAUUCUUGAUUAAAUAUGAUUUAAUCAAAUUAAUUAAUUAUUGUUUGAUUUAAUUUAAUUAAAUAUGAUUUAAUUAAAGUUAAAUAAAUUAAAAUCCAUAUUAAUUGAUUGUUUUUAUUAUAUAUUGAUAAAAUGAUUGAUUAAGUUUAAAAGUUUUUAUAAGUGUUAUAAAAUAAAUUAGACUUUUAAAAUCAAUAACAAAGAUUAAAUGCAUGCUCACUUAGGUUAAACAUAUCUUCCAUUUUUCAUAGAAAUAGGUCGAUAUCUUGUAAAACUGGUUACAAAAGGCUCACCUGGUUCAAUCUUGUCAACAAGUCAGAUAAGAUGACUAAGGUUGGAGGUUCUUAAGUUGACGGUUUACGGAACACCUCCUACCUGGAGAUCGUAAUCAGUUCUUGAGCCUAGUUAACCUAGUUUUAUGAGCAUUCGUGAGAGGUGUGAGGUAAUAAAAAUGGUUUUUCACCUAGACAUCAUAGGUUAAAAUCCUGUAUAAUGGUUAUACUUGGAUGUUUUAUCUAGACUUAAGAUUUGUUUAAGUUAGCCUAAAUAUAAAUCUUGAAGUUUGGAUUACCCUAUUUUUUCUUUUAGAACACUUCAACUAGAGAAAAAUAAUGUAUUUUAGCUCUAGUGUCCCUAAGAGUUCACACCGUGAGGUCCAUGCAGGGCUUUGUGCCGUGCAUAGGAGCGGCCUCCCUUCGGAGAGUGUUUGCAUGGAUCAAAAUCAAGGUGAAUAGGGGAAGUAGUUCAUAGUAAGUGGGUGAGGGAUUUGUGGCAGCACAUCCCACGGUCUCUUCCAUUAGGUCGCACCGUGAGAUUUCUAUAAUAUGCCUGCUUGUCUGCCCUGGAGCGACGUUCCCUUCGGAGGGUUGUAUUAUAGGAUUCGGAACACCGCGAACUCCAAACUGGAUAGGAUUUCUUAGAUUAGUUUUCAUAAAUGAUUCUAAUCUAUGAAAUCUGAAAAUGGUGGGUAACACUUACAAGAAUUACUAAGUUGUUAGUAUAUUCUUGACUAAAGUAGCGAUAACUAAGUGCUAUAAAGAAUAAAGAGUUAUUCUGAGAUAGCAUCUAGUCAAGAUUGUCUUGGUUCAAAGGAGGAAUAAUCAACUACCCUUCGGAGAAGGUUGUUCUAAACCUUUGAAAUAUUGUUGCAAAUACAAAAUAAUGAAAGGGUACAUUAUUAGUAAUUGCUAAAUUAGAUUGGAUAUUUUUUAUGAUUAUAGUUUUUUCCUAAAAGGAAUAUGUUUGUUUUUCAGCAUGAAUAGCUCAAUAGUUCGACUUUUAGCUUCCGAAAAACUUAAUGGCGAUAAUUAUGCGGCUUGGAAAUCAAAUCUUAACACAAUACUAGUGGUUGGUGAUUUAAGAUUUGUCUUAACUGAGGAAUGUCCUCAAAACCCUGCCUCUAAUGAUAACCGAACUAGUCGGGAUGCAUAUGAUCGAUGGAUAAAAGCUAAUGAAAAAGCCGUGUCUACAUUCUUGCCAGCAUGUCUGAUGUAUUGGCAAAGAAACAUGAAUCCUUAGCCACGGCUAAAGAGAUUAUGAAUUCAUUAAGGGGAAUGUUUGGGCAACCAGAAUUGUCCUUAAGACACGAGGCAGUCAAAUACAUUUACACUAAGCGUAUGAAGGAAGGGACCUCUGUUAGAGAACAUGUUCUGGACAUGAUGAUGCACUUCAACAUCGCUGAAGUGAAUGGUGGUCCCAUCGAAGAGGUUAAUCAAGUUAGUUUUAUCUUAGAGUCUCUUCCGAAGAGCUUCAUUCCAUUCCAAACGAAUGCGUCUUUGAACAAGAUAGAAUUUAACUUGACAACCCUUCUGAAUGAACUCCAGCGAUUCCAAAACCUUACUAUGGGUAAAGGAAAACAAGUGGAAGCAAAUGUUGCUACCACAAAAAGAAAAUUUAUAAGAGGAUCGUCCUCUAAAACCAAAGCUGGACCCUCAAAACCUAAUGCUCAAAUAAAAAAGAAGGGAAAGGGAAAGACUCCCAAACAGAACAAGGGUAAGAAAGGUGCAGAAAAAGGUAAGUGUUACCAUUGUGGCCAAAACGGGCACUGGUUAAGAAACUGCCCAAAAUACCUUGCAGAAAAAAAGGCAGAGAAGGAAACACAAGGUAAAUAUGAUUUACUAGUUGUAGAAACAUGUUUAGUGGAAUAUGAAAAUUCUACCUGGAUACUAGAUUCAGGAGCCACUAAACCAUAUUUGCUUCUCAUUUCAGGAAAAUAGUUCUUGAAAAAGCUUUCAGAAGGCGAGAUCACUCUCAAGGUUGGAACAGGAGAGAUGGUCUCAACUUCAGCAGUGGAGAUUUAAAGUUGUUUUUUAGAGAUAGAUAUGUCAUACUUAAGAAUGUCUUAUAUGUACCUCAAAUGAAAAGAAAUUUAAUAUCUAUCUCUUGUAUUUUGGAACAAAUGUAUAGAAUAUCUUUUGAAAUUAAUGAAGCGUUCGUUUUCUAUAAAGGUAUUCUAGUUUGUUCUGCUAUACUUGAAGACAACUUAUAUAAGUUAAGACCAACUAGAGCAAAUUUUGUCUUAAAUACUGAAAUAUUCAGAACAGCUGAAACUCAGAAUAAAAGACAAAAAGUUUCUUCUAAUGCCUAUUUAUGGCACUUAAGACUUGGUCACAUAAAUCUCAAUAGGAUUGGGAGAGUUAAAAGUGGGCUUCUAAGUCCGUUAGAAAAUAACUCUUUACCUCCUUGUGAAUCUUGUCUUGAAGGAAAAAUGACCAAGAGAUCUUUUACUGGAAAAGGUCUAAGAGCCAAAGGACCCUUAGAGCUCGUACAUUCGGACCUUUGUGGACCAAUGAAUGUCAAAGCUCGAGGUGGAUAUGAAUAUUUCAUUAGCUUCAUUGAUGAUUAUUCAAGGUAUGGUCAUAUUUACCUAAUACAUCAUAAGUCUAAUAGUCUUGAAAAGUUCAAAGAAUAUAAGGCUGAAGUAGAAAACGAAUUAGGUAAAACAAUAAAAAUACUUCGAUCAGAUCGAGGUGGAGAGUAUAUGGACUUACGAUUCCGAGACUAUUUAAUAGAAAAUGGAAUCCAGUCACAACUCUCUGCACCUAGUACACCUCAACAGAACGGUGUAUCAGAAAGAAGAAACUGGACCUUGUUAGACAUGGUUCGCUCUAUGAUGAGUUUUUCUCAGAUGUCAGAUUCUUUUUGGGAUAUGCUUUAGAAACAGCUGCUUAUAUUUUGAAUAAUGUUCCCUCUAAAAGUGUUUCAGAAACACCUUAUGAGCUAUGGAAAGGGCGUAAAGGCAGUUUACGUCAUUUUAGAAUUUGGGGUUGUCCAGCACACGUGUUGGUACAAAAUCCAAAGAAAUUGGAACAUCGUUCAAAAUUAUGCUUUUUUAUAGGUUAUCCAAAAGAAUCAAGAGGUGGUUUGUUUUAUGAUCCUCAAGAAAAUAAAAUAUUUGUGUCAACAAAUGCCACAUUCUUAGAGGAAGACCACAUCAGGGAUCAUCAACCUCGUAGUAAACUAGUAUUAAAAGAAAUUUCCAAAAGUGCUAUAGAUAAACCUAGUUCAUCCACUAAGGUAGUUGAUAAGACUAGGAAAUCUGGUCAAUCACAUCCUUCUCAACAGUUGAGAGAGCCUCGACGUAGUGGGAGGGUUGUUCAUCAGCCUGAUCGCUAUUUGGGUUUAAUUGAAACUCAAGUCGUCAUACCUGACGAUGGCAUAGAGGAUCCAUUAACCUAUAAACAGGCAAUGAAAGAUGUAGAUCGUGACCAAUGGAUCAAAGCCAUGGACCUCGAAAUGGAGUCUAUGUACUUUAAUUCUGUCUGGACUCUAGUAGAUCAACCAAAUGACGUAAAACCUAUUGGUUGUAAAUGGAUCUACAAGAGAAAACGAGACCAUGCCGGUAAAGUACAGACUUUCAAGGCUCGACUUGUGGCAAAGGGUUAUACCAGAGAGAGGGAGUAGACUAUGAGGAAACUUUCUCUCCUGUUGCCAUGUUAAAGUCAAUUAGAAUACUCUUAUCCAUCGCCACUUUUUAUGAUUAUGAAAUUUGGCAGAUGGAUGUCAAGACAGCUUUUUUGAACGGUAAUCUUGAAGAGAUCUAUAUGUCUCAACCAGAGGGGUUUAUAAAACAAGAUCAAGAACAAAAGGUUUGUAAGCUUAAAAAAUCCAUUUAUGGAUUAAAACAAGCUUCUAGAUCCUGGAAUAUAAGAUUUGAUAUUGCGAUCAAAAUCUUAUGGCUUUGAACAAAAUGUUGACGAGCCUUGUGUUUACAAAAGGUCGUCAAUUCCAUUAUAGCAUUUUUUAGUCUUAUAUGUAGAUGAUAUUCUACUUAUUGGAAAUGACUAGGAUAUCUUCUGAUAUCAAGAAAUGGCUAGCUAUGCAAUUUCAAAUGAAAGAUCUGGGAGAUGCACAAUACGUUCUCGGAAUCCAAAUUGUUCGAAACCGUAAGAACAAAACACUAGCCAUGUCUCAAGCAUCUUACAUAGACAAAAUGUUGUCUAGAUAUAAAAUGCAGAAUUCCAAAAAGGGUCUGCUGCCGUACAGAUAUGGAAUUCAUUUGUCAAAGGAACAAUGUCCUAAGACACCUCAAGAAGUUGAGGAUAUGAGAAAUAUUCCCUAUGCUUCCGCUGUUGGAAGUUUAAUGUAUGCAAUGUUAUGUACUAGACCUGACAUUUGCUACUCAGUAGGGAUGGUCAGUAGGUAUCAAUCCAAUCAUGGACGUGAUCACUGGACAGCCGUUAAAAACAUUCUACAUGCUCAUGUAUCGUACAAAGGAUCUGAUCCUUACUGGAUACACUGAUUCAGAUUUCCAAACUGAUAAAGAUGUUAGAAAGUCUACAUCAGGAUCAGUAUUUACUCUAAAUGGAGGAGCAGUAGUUUGGAGAAGCAUAAAGCAAACUUGUAUAGCUGAUUCCACAAUGGAAGCUGAUCAUUUUACAAAAGCCCUCAUGGCUAAAGUGUUUGAGGGUCACCUACACAGUUUAGGUGUACGAUGUUUGUAAACUAGGACAAGUGGGAGACUUAUUGGCCAUGUGCCCUAGUUUCAUAUAUAUUCUCUCACACCACAUCUCUCAUACCACUAGGAAUUUUAGUCCAAGUGGGAGUUUGUUGGAAUUUUUUGUCCUAAAACUCGUAGUUUGUAAAUCAUAUUCUAUUCAAUAAAGUUGUUAUUGAGAAAUUAAAUAUUAUAAUCUUAAAUCCAAUAAAUCAAAGUUCCAAGGCUAUUUUUUGAAUAAACUUGAACUUUAUGUGUAAACAUAAACGUGGAUCAAGUUCGAGUAUAUAGCCUAAAUAGUCUAUAGUAUAUGAAAUAAAGGUUGGGCGCCUUAUUUUGAGAGACUAUGGAUGCGGCCCACUUUGUAGUACAAACGAUGUGAUCCUAAUCGUUCAUGUAGAGACAUGAAAGUGGGGGCAUCCUAUGUAAAAUGUUUACAUAAGACUGAACCAUGAAUUAGUCAUUUUUACGUUAUAACACCGUUUACUGUUUAAAACUGACUAUCUCAAUUAUUGAUGACCUAGGUAACUUAGUCUUAAUCCUGAGUUAACUAUGAACUCCUGUUCAUACGAGAUUAUCCUUAGAUCUGCAUAGGUGAGGGCAGCUCAUCAGCGUUGGCCCAAUAAGCCUCCCAUUUCAGGGGUAAGAUCGGGUGGAUAGCUGGGAACAUAGGGUACAAGAUGGAAUUCACUCCUACCCGCUUUAGGGUUAGUAGAUAGGUUGCUCUCUUAAGCACUGAAUCCAAGUCUUGAACAAGGGGCCCCACCCUCUCAUUGGCCCGAGAGGGAUUAAGUUUAUAGGUUGAACCUUAAACCAAUUGUUCAAUAGUGGAUUAGUGGGACUUAAGGAGCAAGAUGUAAUCUUGGGGUAAAACGGUAUUUGACCCAGCCAAGGUUACGAGCAACCUGUGAAGGAUUAACUUACUGAUUAUGGUUUUAUCAAAUGGACACAAAUAUAUCUAUAGUGAGGGAGUGCAACUACGGGACUUAGUGGAAUGACUCGUUAGUUAACGAAUGUUGAUUAACUCGUUUAAAAGAGUUUAGCUAGUUAAUCUUGAAUCGUUGGAGCCCAUGAUCUAUAGGUCCAUUAGUUCCUCUGCUAGCUCAUAUGGAUUAAACUUAGAACAGUGUGAUGAAAUAAGUCGAAUUGUUCGAAUAGGGAGAAGAAAGGAAAACCGACAUAUACAGUGAUAUAAUCGUCGGUCUUCUAAUUAGAAAUAGAGCUUUAUGUUUUACAUACUAUAAGUAUGAAUGCGGAUUCAUACUAAGAAGCUCGGAAUUGGUCAAAAAUAGUAAAAAGUCAAAAUGUUGACUUUUGACUUUGAAAAGUCAAACUUUGACCGGCCUUAUAUUCAAAUGUGAUUUGAAUUUUGGAAAAAUGAAUGCGGAUUCAUGCUCGGAGGUUGGAAUUAGUCAAGACGGACAAAAUGGUAAAAAGUCAAAAUAUUGACUUUUGACUUAGAAAAGUCAAAGUUUGACUUUUGACUAGAAAAAUCUAAUGACCAUUUUACCCUUGGACUAAGUUAGUGGGAAAAUCCAACAUUUUGUUGGAUAAUCCCACUAACUCUUAGUGGGAUAUGUGCUAUAUGAGAUAUAGACACCUAGCCCACUAAGUUCCACUAAUUGUUAGUGGAAUAUUAGGUGUUGAGAUUUGGCAAUUGAAUUGCAUGCAUUUUUGCAUGUAAUUAGGCUAUAAAUAGAGAUGUUUUCAAAUGUUGAAGGACUUUUGCCUCUUUUAUCAUUUUCAUAAUCUCAACAAAAGAAAAAAGAAAGCUUCCAAUCUCAUUUUAUCUCCAUUACUUUCUACAUCAAAAUUGGUCCCACAACCCGGUUCUUUGUCUAGAGGAUAGCAGUUGAGCACUAGUGGUGGUCUCGGUAGAAUUGGUAAGAAGACAUCAAACCUUUUGUAAGCUUCAAAGGUAAUACUUCUUAAAACCCUAAUUUGAUUAGUUUAUGGUUACAUGUUAAUUGUGGCAAUUAGGGUAGAAAUUCGAUUCUUUUUCCGCUGUGCAUGACUCAGUUCUAUCAUGUGGUAUCAGAGCAUGCUUCAUUUUUACCCAAUUGCAUGUGGUGGGUUCAAAUUUAUUAGAUAAAUUUUGGUUUGAACUAAAAUGGAUAUAUUAUGAUUUUGGCUCUAGAUUAAGUGUUUUUGUUCUAAUUAUUGUAAUUAGCCUUGUUAAUGGCUUAUUUUUAUUGUUGCAAAGUGUUUGUAAUUUUUUUAAAAAAUAAAAAAAGUCAUUAGAGUUGAAGCUAGGCUGUAAUUGGUUCAACCGGGUGAGAGAAUUGAAAAAUGAAGAAAAGAUGGUCACAGACCCGAAAACCCGGUUUUGACCCGCUUCGCGACCCGCACGCGCCCGCAUGCCCGCGCGCCCAUCCUGCGCCCGCGCGCCCUCCUGUGCCGCGCGCGCCCUGCGUCCCACCGGGUGCCCGCGCGCGCUCCUGCGCCCGCCUGCGCCCGCGCGCCUGCAUGCGCCCGUGCGCCCGCCUGCUGCCGCGCGCGCCACAUGCGCCUGCGCGCCCGCAUGCGCCCGCGCGCCGCGCCUUCGCCCGCGCGCCUGCCUUCGCACGACCCGUGUGCGCCUGGGCGGGUUCAAGCCAAUAAAUUUGGUUUUUGGGCCGGUUCAAGCGGUUUCGGUUGGUUUUUUAGCCGGUUCGAAGUUUUUGGGAGUGGUUCUGUACUACACCUCGAAGUUUCUUGCCCACAAAAGCCGAACGGAUGCGCCCAGACUCGGUUUCUUGGUUCCGUCCCAAAACGCCGAAGAAAGGCACAAUGGCCUAGAAAGGGAUAGUCGGACUUGGAACGGGGUCCGAGGCCUCGAAAGUCCACAUCUAGCUACUGGGUGGUCCGAUUCUGAGUGAUCUCGAACUUUCUUGUCCACAAAAGCCGAACGGUGACGCCCCAGACUCGGUUUCUUGGUUCCGUCCCAAAACGCCGAAGAAAGGCACAAUGGCCUAGAAAGGGACGGUCGGACUUGGAACGGGGUCCGAGGCCUCGAAAGUCCACAUCAAGCUACUGGGUGGUCCGAUUCUGAGUGAUCUCGAAGUUUCUAGCCACAAAAGCCGAACGGUGACGCCCCAGACUCGGUUUUUUGGUUCCGUCCCAAAACGCCGAAGAAAGGCACAAUGGCCUAGAAAGGGACGGUCGGACAUGGAACGGGGUCCGAGGCGUCGAAAGUCCACAUCUAGCUACUGGGUGGUCCGAUUCCGAGUGAUCUCGAAGUUUCUUGCCCACAAAAGCCGAACGGUGCGCCCCAGACUCGGUUUCUUGGUUCCGUCCCGAAACGCCGAAGAAAGGCACAAUGGCCUCGAAAGGGACGGUCGGACUUGGAACGGGGUCUGAGGCCUCGAAAGUCCACAUCUAGCUACUUGGUGGUCCGAUUCUGAGUGAUCUCGAAGUUUCUUGCCCAGAAAAGCCGAACGGUGUCGCCCUAGACUCGGUUUCUUGGUUCCGUCCCAAAACGCCGAAGAAAGGCACAAUGGCCCAGUAAGGGACGGUCGGACUAGGAACGGGGUCCGAGGCCUCGAAAGUCCACAUCUAGCUACUGGGUGGUCCGAUUCUGAGUGAUCUCGAAGUUUCUUGCCCACAAAAGCCGAACGGUGACGCCCCAGACUCGGUUUCUUGGUUUUGUCCCAUAACGCCGAAGAAAGGCACAGUGGCCUAGAAAGGGACGGUCGGACUUGGAACGGGGUCCUAGGCCUCGAAAGUCCACAUCUAGCUACUUGAUGGUCCGAUUCUGAGUGAUCUCGAAGUUUCUUGGCCACAAAAGCCGAACGGUGACGCCCCAGACUCGGUUUCUUGGUUCCGUACCAAAACGCCGAAGAAAGGCACAGUGGCCUAGAAAGGGACGGUCGGACUUGGAACGGGGUCCGAGGCCUCGAAAGUCCACAUCUAGCUACUGGGUGGUCCGAUUCUGAGUUAUCUCGAAGUUUCUUGCGCACAAAAACCAAACGGUGACGCCCCAGACUCGGUUUCUUGGUUCCUUCCGAAAACGCCGAAGAAAGACACAAUGGCCUAGAAAGGGACGGUCGGACUUGGAACGCAGUCCGGGGCCUCGAAAGUCCACAUCUAGCUACUGGGUGGUCCGAUUCUGAGUGAUCUCGAAGUUUCUUGCCCACAAAAGCCGAACGGUGUCGCCCCAGACUCGGUUUCUUGGUUCCGUCCCAAAACGUCGAAGAAAGGCACAUUGGCCUAGAAAGGGACGGUCGGACUUGGAACGGUGUCCGAGGCCUCGAAAGUCCACAUCUAGCUACUCCGUGGUCCGAUUCUGAGUGAUCUCGAAGUUUCUUGCCCACAAAAGGCGAACGGUGACGCCCCAGACUCGGUUUCUUGGUUCCGUCCAAAAACGCCGAAGAAAGGGACAAUGGCCUAGAAAGGGACGGUCGGACUUGGAACGCGGUCCGAGGCCUCGAAAGUCCACAUCUAACUACCGGGUGGUCCGAUUCUGAGUGAUCUCGAAGUUUCUUGCCCACAAAAGCUGAACGGUGACGCCCCAAACUCGGUUUCUUGGUUCCGUCCCAAAACGCCGAAGAAAGGCACAAUUUCCUAGAAAGGGACGAUCGGACUUGGAACGGGUCCGAGGCCUCGAAAGUCCACAUCUAGCUACUGGGUGGUCCGAUUCUGAGUGAUCUCGAAGUUUCUUGCCCACAAAAGCCGAACGGUGACGCCCCAGACUCGGUUUCUUGGUUCCGUCCCAAAACGCUGAAGAAAGGCACAAUGGCCUAGAAAGGGACGGUCGGACUUGGAACGAGGUCCGAGGCCUCGAAAGUACACAUGUAGCUACUGGGUGGUCUGAUUCUUAGUGACCUUGAAGUUUCUUAACCACAAAAGCCGAACGGUGACGCCCCAGACUCGGUUUCUUGGUUCCCUCCCAAAACGCCGAAGAAAGGCACAAUGGCCUAGAAAGGGACGGUCGGACUUGGAACGGGGUCCGAAGCCUCGAAAGUCCACAUGUAGCUACUGGGUGGUCCGAUUCUUUGUGAUCUCGAAGUUUCUUGACCACAAAAGCCGAACGGUGACGCCCAGACUCGGUUUCUUGGUUCCGUCCCAAAACGCCGAAGAAAAGCACAAUGGCCUAGAAAGGGACGGUCGGACUUGGAACGGGGUCCGAGGCCUCGAAAGUCCACAUCUAGCUACUGGGUGGUCUGAUUCUUUGUGAUCUCGAAGUUUCUUGCCCACAAAAGCCGAACGGUGACGCCCAGACUCGGUUUCUUAGUUCCGUCCCAAAACGCCGAAGAAAGGCACAAUUUCCUAGAAAGGGACGGUCGGACUUGGAACGGGGUCCGAGGCCUCGAAAGUCCAUAUCUAGCUACUGGGUGGUCCGAUUCUGAGUGAUCUCGAAGUUUCUUGCCCACAAAAGCCGAACGGUGACGCCCGAGACUCGGUUUCUUGGUUCCGUCCCAAAACGCCGAAGAAAAGCACAAUGGCCUAGAAAGGGACGGUCGGACUUGGAACGGGGUCCGAGGCCUCGAAAGUCCACAUCUAGCUACUGGGUGGUCUGAUUCUUUGUGAUCUCGAAGUUUCUUGCCCACAAAAGCCGAACGGUGACGCCCCAGACUCGGUUUCUUGGUUCCGUCCCAAAACGCCGAAGAAAGGCACAAUGGACUAGAAAGAGACGGUCGGACUUGGAACGGGGUCCGAGGCCUCAAAAGUCCACAUCUAGCUACUGGGUGGUCCGAUUCUUUGUGAUCUCGAAGUUUCUUGCCCACAAAAGCCGAACGGUGACGCCCCAGACUCGGUUUCUUGGUUCCGUCACAAAACGCCGAAGAAAGGCACAAUGGCCUAGAAAGGGACGGUCGGACUUGGAACGGGGUCCGAGGCCUCGAAAGUCCACAUCUAGCUACUGGGUGGUCCGAUUCUUUGUGAUCUCGAAGUUUCUUGCCCACAAAAGCCGAACGGUGACGCCCCAGACUCGGUUUCUUGGUUCCAUCCCAAAACGCGGAAGAAAGGCACAAUGGCCUAGAAAGGGACGGUCGGACUUGGAACGGGGUCCGUUGCCUCGAAAGUCCACAUCUAGCUACUGGGUGGUCCGAUUCUGAGUGAUCUCGAAGUUUCUUGCCCACAAAAGCCGAACGGUGACGCCUAGACUCGGUUUCUUGGUUUCGUCCCAAAACGCCGAAGAAAGGCACAGUGGCCUAGAAAGGGACGGUCGGACUUGGAACGGGGUCUGAGGCCUCGAAAGUCCACAUCUAGCUACUGGGUGGUCCGAUUCUUUGUGAUCUCGAAGUUUCUUGCCCACAAAAGCCGAACGGUGACGCCCAGACUCGGUUUCUUGGUUCCGUCCCAAAACGCCGAAAAAAGGCACAAUGGCCUAGAAAGGGACGGUCGGACUUGGAACGGGGUCCGAGGCCUCGAAAGUCCACAUCUAGCUACUGGUGGUCCGAUUCUUUGUGAUCUGGAAGUUUCUUGCCCACAAAAGCCGAACGG